AUGGCUUGUCUGGCCCGGUGUGUUUGUUUUGUUUGUUUCCCUCGGCUCAGCUUUGUUGGUUUCGGGGGGCUUUCCGCCGGGAGGGGAGGGGAAGGGGACAGGGGAGAGCGAGCGGGAGCAGAGCGUGGAGAGAGGGAGGGGAGGGAGAGCUGCGAGUCGAUUGUCUGGCUUCAAGACAGAAGUAGGAGGCAAAAAAAAAAAAAAUCUCUCCAAAGAUCUCGCUCGCUCUCACUCUCUCCCUCCCUCUCUCGUUCACUCUCUCGCUCUCAGAGCUGGUGUGCAGCCCAGGAGGAGUUGGAGGAGGAGGAGAAGGAAGAGGAGGAGGAGGAGGAGGACGAGGACGAGGAGGAGGAGGAGGAGGAGGAGGUGGAGGAAGAGGAGAGGCGACUGUCCGGGGGCCAAGUCCAGGGCAGCCCACAGUCAGCCAUUCAGGAAAGCCAUCGAAAUCAGGAGGACUGGGAGAGCAGAGGCGCCGGGCGCGGGCGCGCCCAGGGAGCCCGGCAGGCCGGGGCGGAGGCCGGCGGCCCGCGGAGUGGCCGGAGCGCUGCCCGGGUCCGGGGGAAUCAGCAUGAAAGUGGUCCGCGUCGAGCGCUGCGCGGCGUCGUCCUGGCGCUGGGCCGCCGCCGCCGCCGCCGCCGCCGCCGCCGCCUGCCCCGGGCGCCCGGCGCGCGCCUCGCUCGCUGCGGCCGCCGCCGCCCGCUGUCGCCGGGUGGAGGCCGCCGCCGCCGCCGCCGCCGCUCCCCGCGGGCCGCCGCCGCCGGAGCCGCCGCCGGGUCGGGCCCGGAGCCGCCGGAGCCGCCGCCGCCGCGUCUAGCGCCGCCGCCGCCGCUGAAGUCGCUGCUGCUGCCGCCGCUGCUGCUGCCGCCGCCGGAGCCGCUGCUGCUGCCGCUGCCGCCGCCGCCGCACGCACAUAGGGAAAGAGUCAAGGCGCCGGCGGCGGGGGAGAAAUGAUAGAGGAGAGAAAGGAGGGCAGAUCACCACCUAGAAGCGCAUCCUCGGUGCGCGCAGGGGAGAGAGAGACGGAGAGGGAGAGAGGGGCAGAAGAGGCAGCGCGGCGCCCGGAGCAGGCGAGGAGGAGGAGGAGGAGGCGAACACACACGCGCGCACGCACACACACACCGCGGAGAGAAAAGAACAGAGCAUCAAAGUGAUCAAAUAUGCUAAAAAGGGGGGCGCGGGAGGGAAUGCGAUUUAUAGGCGCCGGGGCUGGCAGAAGUGGCUUCUCCGCGAUCGGCUCACCGAGCUCUCUAUAUAGUGAACUUUGACACGACUGCUGCAACUUAGCGCACGUUGCCAUGGCGACGGCGCGCCUUAUAAGGCAGCCGCCGGGGUUGGCCUGGCCAGGCGCGCGCGCGCCGCCCCCUCGCCGUCAUUGGCCGGAGCGCGCGGCGGCCCCGCCAUGGCGGCCCGCGGGCGCAGCCCGGUCCUAGCGCGAGCGGCGUGGCGGGGCCGCGACGCGGGGCGCGCGGGGGGCGGGGACGCGGGGGCCGUGCCGUGGCGGGGCCGCCGAGGCUGGGCGAGGCGGGGGGGGGGAGGACGCGGAGAUGGGCGCACGGCCGCUCGCCCGCCCGCCGGCCCCGGGGAGCGCGGCCCCCGGCUCUCCGCGCGGCCCGCACCCGAGGUUUCCGCCCCGGCGGGGAGCCGAGCGCGGCGCGCACACACAACGCCUCUUAAAGGCUCCGCGAGCGAGCGAGCGAGCGAGCGAGCGGCUCGCGAGGGAAUCGGGGACUGCGCCUCGCACAACUUGGCGAUGCCGCGCGGCGCGCCGCCCGGGGACUCGCGGCGCAUCCCGGUGGCCUGUGGCGCCCGGGCCGGAGAAAAGUUCUCCGCCGAGGGGCAGCGGGCGGGGGCGGGACGCUGAGGCGAACGGAGCCCGCGGGCGUUCCCCACACGGAAGGUUUGGCCAAAUCCGGGCGGUGGCACAGCCUUCGCUGGGUCGGCUCAGUUCUCUGGCUCGGUUAGGUGGCUCUUUUCCCACCCCCCACCCCCGCCCCAACUCUUUUUUUUUUUUUUAAGGGGGUGGGGGUGGGGAAGCCCUGGUGUGCCCGUCUGCUCUCGGCAGGGCUAACGUUUCUGGGGUAGGUGGCCUGACAUCUAAUUGCUCCAAGUAAGCAUCUCGGAUGCUGAGAAGCAGAAGUGGGCUUCCUCUCCUGGUCAAGGCGCAAGUGCAGUCGGUUUCCGCCAACUUUAUCCUCUCUCGCUGGUCUUUGCAAACUCCGAAGCCAGCGCUCUGCCGCCCGGUCGUGGGGCCAAGGGAGAGGCCGCUCGGCUGGCUGACGGACAGGCGGGGGUGGCCGCAGCCUCGCCGCGCACACGCAUCGGAUGCACAUUUGUCAAUGUACGCAGACAAAGAAUUCGGCGACUGUGUUCCUCCGUCGCAGAACAGUUGAGGACGGACCUCAUUGUUCCUCAGCUGCCUUUUAAGCAUUCAUACAGUCAUUAAAACACACCCAGAGAUUCUGCCCCAAACUGGAAGUGAGACCAGCCCAAGGCUCACAGCAACCGCGCACAAGCCACGACUUCUCCCUCAGGAGAGCCCCUGCGACAACUUCAAAGCCUGCUCCCCCAUGUGCGAAAACUAUCGACCGACCGCGGCCCGUGUCUUUCAGCUCCAGGGUGUUUGGUCUUAAACAUCAGAUAUAUACAAUUGCGCCUCUGGAAUACACUGUAUAUUCGCACGCCUUUUCCUGGGCUACGGUUCUCUCACACUGAUACCAGAAAAUCAUGAUUCCACCAGACACACCCUGCACCGAGAAAAACUGUAAACCGCCAGUCAACCAGGUUGAUGAACAAUUAAAAUAUUUUACACAAAAGACGCUGAGCCCUAGGAAAAAAAUGAACACUUAUAAGGAGUAAAUUGACGACUGCAGAAACACAUCCCUGGUAGCGCGAAAAAUUGGUGAGAUAAGGUAUUUUAAAAAGGAAACGCCACAUUUAAUUGACAUGUGUAGAUUGUAGUUUGUGUUCAAUUCCCUUUGCCCACACAUAGGCAGAACAGGAGGUACGAACUAGACGUAAGCAGACAGGGGCUGGUUUUUUAGGGAAGGAGAAAUUCCACUUAAACUUUACUCCUGAAACUCCUUAGCCCUUGCUCUUUCCCCACUGAAGUCACACUUUUCGCUACAGCUGCAGGUGCUGGGAUUAUUUGAAAGUAUUUAAAAAAAAAAAAAACACCCUAGAGUGGACCCUCAACUAAGAUAAACCUGGUGUUUAAUAAGAUUACCACAGAGUGAAGCCAGACUGAGAACUUCAGGUUGAUGAGAGACACAAUAUAGCUUUCUCCUGAAGAGGACCAGAAGGAUGGAAAAGAAAUCAUUUCAAAGGAGACGGUUUUGGGUUUUUUCCUCUUCCUUUCCAACCUCUAUGAUUCGAGCAGUUGCCCAGUGCCACAAAUGUCAGUUAAUUAGGGGCAAACUCAGCCUAGAUGUAGUGGGACUGGAAUCGAGAUGGGAAAUCUAAUGGGUAUACUCAUCUCAAUUUAAUAGAUGAGAAUAAUUGAUUAUAGGGAAAUUUUAAUCUUGACUUUUGAGUGCGGAGCGGUCCACGGCAACAUCAUCUUUUAUUAAAAAAAAAAAAAAGAAAAAAGAAAGAGAAAAGGGAGAUCAGCUUCCAUGGGUCAUGUAGAGAUUUUUGGAAUCUGAAGUACGCUCUGAUGGCCUUAGAUUGAAAAUAAAGAAUUUCCCAAGCCAUCUCUCCUGUGAAAUUGGAGCCUGCCAGGCACACGACCACAGGGCUGCCAUAAAGUCAGAGGUGUUUCUGUAUUUUUGAGACUCAUUCAGUCAUGGAAGUGCUGUCAAAAAGGUUUUAAAAAUCACCAUAUGAAUUGUAGUUAAUUUUACUGCAUAGAAGACAUAGGUAUGGCAGACUGCAAAGGAAAAAGAAACACAAAUAUUUUAAAUGUCUUCUUCAGAGAUGCUGGCUUGCCUUGAUGCCAAGAUUAAAAACCUCAAAGACUAACCAAUAAAUAUCAAUAUAUUGUUCUUUUUAAAGGAAACCCAGGCCAGUCUCUUAUUGCAGAUGUAAAUUUAUUUUAAUGAGAGGAAUGACAAGCUUUAAUUUGGCUGGAGAAAGCUGGAAUAGCAUUUCUUUUAAUCUGGGGAGACAAACAAACACACACCCAGGAAUAUGAUUUUUUUUUGCGGAAAGUGGCUGGAUGGGCUGUAAUUCUUUACAGAUUAAAUCACACUAUGAAUACAGGCCCCAGCAAAUGCCGAGUUUAACUCUGAACUCAGUGGAAACCAGUUCUGUCCACCAGGAUUCAUUGAAUUCCUCCUUUCCCCCAAUCUCGUCCGUGUGUGUUUUUCUCUUCCACCACACUGGAGCUCCAUGAAUAGGGAAAGGGGCUUCCAUUGUGUCCCUCUGAACUUCCAAGUCAAUGCAAUUUUUAACCACUGGCUUGUGGUACUUUGAAAAUCACCAGGGGCUGUCAGAGUUGGGUCCUCUGAAAAAUUUACAGUGCUAAAUCAGAGCAUAUGCUGGGAGGGAAAGAAUUGCUGAAGAUUGGAGCAAGUACAGUAUCUGUCUGCCCCCUAGUGUAAGAGCCCUCGCUGCCUAAAAUUCAACUUUAAAAGAAAAGGAGCUCUUAAAGGGAAACGACUUUGGGCUCACGUAGGCAUAGCAGAAUGAAACUUCUGUACAUUUUAAUCUGAAUAAUUCUUCAGGAUUUAAAAUUAAUUGGCUCUGGCGUGGUUGGACUGCACCGGGAUCUCGCCACCUCUGCGUUCCCCGAGUCACUGGUGAAGAGGUGAUUUUUUUUUUUUUGAACUGGGUUUAUGUGAGUCCCCCUCACCCCCUCCUCUCUUUUUCUUUCUCUCUGUCUCUGUCGUCUCUCUCCCUGGCUUUUUAAAAAUGAGGAACCGUUCCCCGAACGUUCUGGACAGAGCACAGAAUUACUGCUUAAGUCAGCCCGGCGCGGUUGCAAAUAGACAGCCAAAAGGUAAACGUUUGCCAGAAACCCGCACGCCAGCUCCGCCACCCCGCCGAUGGUUUUCCUCUCCUUUACUCGGAAGGAAAGAGUGGACUUGCUCUUCUGAAUUGCGACCCAGUGGUUUCCUAGCGCUCUGAGGCACAGGAAGGGUGUGGCACUUGGCCAGGGUCAGAGAGCCAGAGUCCCUGAGUCCUUCCUAAACCUGAUGCCUUCCCAGAACGUCACGUUGCCUUCCCUUGCACUUCUCCAUGAUUUUGCUCAGAAGAUGAUGUCACAAGUCAACUGGUAUCAGGCCAAGUUCACGACUGUGCAUCACCCUCAAGAAUCAUAUCGACAAGAACAUACUGUGCUGGCAUGAGACAGCGCCCUGUUCUGAAAUCCUCCUGACCUGCCUUGAGGAGGUGGUCCUGUCUGCUCAGCUUUCUCAGAAACUAUGCAAGUUAUUCUUCGGUCUCUUCAAAAGCUGCACGAACCAACUGGUCCUCCAGAGAGCUCCCCUCUGAGCUCAGGUGACAUGCCUCAUUGAGUUACACCUUCCCUGACUUGCGUCCGGACCUGGACUGUGCCACUCCGUGCUGUUUUCCACCUCGUGAGAAGAAUAUUUAUCAAUUGGCUUCCCCGGGUUUCCAAAGAGUGGGCCUGCCUGCACCAGCUCCCUACCCAGGGUGAGCCAUGAAUCCCUGGCCCUGGUGGCGGAAAACCAGGCCAGGACACUGCUCUUCCUCCUGCUACUUCUCUGAGCCAGGAAGCCACAAGUUUUCCAGGGUUAGAGUGAACAAACGCACAGCACACAUCACCAAGACUCAAAGGUUGUGCCUGAUUCUCUAGCAAAGAGGAAACUUUCACAAGGUGAGUGGCAGCAGUGUGCAUGGCUUCUCCUUCCACGGUGGCACGAAUGUGCUCUCAGGAAACACAUGUGUUAGGUGCAUGUGCAUGAGGCGCAGCGUUAGGUGGACAUGAGAAAUGGGUGGAUGAUGCCCUUGGGGGAGAUUCCACUAGGACUCUUACGUGCUGAUGUUUGGAAGAACUCAGACGUCCUCUUGCCACUGUCAGCCAGGCGCUAACAAGAUUACAGCCACGGCAUGAUCUCCUUCUGUGAGAUAUUUUCAUCAUCAGGAAGAGGGAAGUUAUUUUUUCCAUUUCUGCUUUCCAAAAUGGAAAACUUCAAUUUUGCAAAUUCUGUACCUCCUCUUCAGGACUGGGCCACGGAAGACGGAAACACCAUGUUAGAGGUCGUUGGUCCGUUUGCCCCAGGAACUACUCCCCAGCAGCCGUCCCUUCCUGAGUUACAGGAGACGGCAGAACUACGGGCCUCAUGCAUCUGGCCAAUUAUGCAAUGCCCAGUCACAGGGGGAAAUUCCUCCUUCACCCCAGCUGGUGGACACUUAUGCCCUGGAGCUCAGGACGGACAUGCCUUGUAACUUUUUAACCUGGUUAGUGCAACUGCCAAUAUUAUUCCUGUUCAUAUAAAUGUCUAAUCCUUUCUUGAAUCUUGCUAGACUAUUUGCCUCAAUAAUAUCCUGAGGCAAUGAAUUCCACAGGUAGAUUAUAUGCUGCUUUAAGAAGUAUUUCCUUUUAUUUGUUUUAAAUUUGUUGCCUUUUAGCAUCACAAGAUGGCCCUUGUUCUUGCCUUGAGUGGCACAAGAUACAGCCACUUCAGACUGAGCUUUCCUUCUCCCAGUCACUUUCUUCACUAUUGUUUCAUCCCAAUGUUCUUUAUAGAUCGGGUAUUCUGGCAGUGGAUCAGUCCCAGAGGCUGGGUAAGUCUUGGUGGGUCAAAGUCCAAGAUUGGUCAGCUCCACUCUGGUGAGGCCCCUCCUUGGCUGGGUCACCUCAUGGCACCUGGUACCACGGCAGGGACAAGUACACGAGUGAGAGGCCGCACGUGAGACAGGAAGUCAGAAGGAGGAGGGACCAAUUUGCUCUCUCGUGCACUAACCAGGGUUCCAUGAGAAUUGCACUAAUAUCUUCUGAGAACAGCAUCUCCAAUGACCUUGCAUCAAGUCUCACUUCCUAAAAGUUGCACCAUCUCUUAAUACCACCACAUUGAGGACCAAACUUCCGAAUACGUGAAUCCAUUAGGGACAAGCUGCACGCAAAUCAUGGAAGGAACCUGUGAUUUUGACUAAGUGAGAUGAUUGAAGUAUGCAUUCUCAUACUAUUUCAGACAACAGUAGGCUUGGGGAAAAAAGCUGUACUUGAUGUUCAAUGUCAUUUAUUGGACAGAUAAUGCUUAUUAUGUACUUAUUUGUUGGACACCUACUAUGUUCUAAAUCUGGAGAGCCAUUUUUGAAUGAGACUAGGUUUUUAUUCUGAAAACCUAAGUAUGUGGAGAGAGAAGCAGGCCAUAAAAGGAUAAAUGCACACCCGAACAAUGGAAUUUCAGAUGGUAUUGAGUAUUAAGAGUGACCAGGACAGGACGGCAGGAGCCGCUUGAGAUUGCAUGGGCAGAAGUGGCCCUCCUAAAAGGUGACAGCUGUGAUUGGUGGCUAAGGGCUCAGUUAUGUGAAAUUUCUGUGAAGGUGAACUCCUGCUUGCAGAAAAAUGCCCACAGUAGUCGAGGCUCACUCCUAUGUGUUCAGCGUGUGGCUGAAUCAAUGUUGAGAAGUCACAGUGAGUGACUCAGUUGAUCCAGGAGAAACUUGUCCAAAGACUCCUGGAGUGGGGCCGGCGCUGUGGUGUAGUGGGUAAAGCUGCUUUCUGCAGUGCUGGCAUUCCAUAUGGGCGCCGGUUCGAGACCUGGCUGCUCUACUUCCAAUCAAGCUCUAUGCUAUGGCCUGGGGAAGCAGUAGAAGAUGGCCCAAGUCCUUGGGCCCCUGCACCAACAUGGGAGACCCAGAGGAACUCUUCACUCCUGGCUUCAGAUCCACGGAGCUCUGGCAGUUGCAGCCAACUGGGGAGUGAAUCAGAGGAUGGAAGACCUCUCUCUCUCUCUCUCUCUCUGCCUCUCCUUCUGUGUGUAACUCUGACUUUCAAAUAAAUAAAUAAUAAAUCUUAAAAAAAGACUCCUGGAGUAAGAAAAGCAGAGGAUUUAGGCAACUAGCAAGACUUGAGUUUCAAGACCUGACCUUGUAUCCAACUAACCAGCUAGGUGACCUUGGGAUAUCAUUCAGAGUGGCCUUUUUAGAAUGAGAGCCAAGUUUCCUUGUUGUGAAGGUUUUGGAGAUCAGAGGUAAAGUUAUGUAGAAGUUCUUUAUAAACUGUCAAAUGGUGUGGAGAUGUUGGUUAUUCCUGUAGGAAUCAGCAUGCUUUGGUCUUUCCCGCUUUCCCCUUGUCCUACCUUACUUCCUCUGAUUGCUACUUUAUUCCUUUCUAAAGGCCACCACUGGCAGCCAAGGUACUUUACUCGUUGCCACAGAGGUGGCUUAAGCAGAGUGGAUUUACCUUCCUGAAAUUCUUGUGUGUUUCUUAAGGACCUUAAAAAUGGAAUCAUGCAAAACUGUUGCUUUGUGAUACAGGAGCUGGAAGUGGUUUUCCGGCAGUGAUGGUUUGCUUUGAUUUUGUGGAUUGCUAAAUCUCCUGGGGUCAGGCUAACUUCUAUCCAUAAAGACGAAGUCCUUGCCUGCACUUCCCAGACCUGGAGGCCUGGCUGAGCCGGCCUGAGCACUACACUGUGGUGCCGUGGGUGCAUACUAUUUCCUGACACUGCCUCUUGCUCUUCCUUUUAAUUGCCCCAUCAUGCACCUUUUUUCCUGUUUAGGCUAUUUGGAGCAGAGGCGUGUGCAGCUCUGCAUAAUGAUGUAUUGUAAAGACAUUUCAAGGCAUAAAUUAUCAGGAUUGUUUACAUGCGUGGCUCCAAUUUAUUGGCACUUGUGUAGGCCUUGGUUUUAUGAUGUUGCUGCCAGCCAGGCUCCUUCUGGGUAAAACUCUGAAACAGGAGAAGCUGCCUUUUGCCAGGCCUCACCAGCACUUCCUCUGCCUUGUUCCUGCCCUUUCAACACCUGCCUCCUUUCCCAUCCCCAGAAAGCACAGUGGAGAUGUCAGAGCUUUUCCCCCUUCACGUGAGGACAUAUCGUGGGUCCUCCCCAGACCUGCCUCCAGCGAAGGUGAGACGCACAGAAUAAACCUUCAAUGAUAUAAUUUUAGAACGGUGGCAACUGCAAGGGUGGCUAUUUUUGGCUGUGGGGCUUUCUCCUUGACCUGAGAUGAUACUGCUCUGCCUGCUGCUGGUGUGGCCAGCCAAUCCUGUUAGCAACGUGCUUGCCAUUCCUGGGGGGUGGCUUCUUCAUUCCUCUGCCCAGCAGCACUCUGCUUGCCCAGAAUUCUGUGCGUUUGUGCAAGGUCAAGGAUCUGUUGACAUGCGCCCACCUGGGCUUGUCCCAGGCUGACAUUCCACGGUAAUGUUCCAGGCCACCCCGAGGGGCAACACAGAUGGACUAUGCCCUUCUACACAGAGGGUGGGGGAAACGGCUCGUCCGGUGCCUGCAGGUCCCUGCUCGUCUGAGCUCUGUCAGUUGCUCAGCAACGGCCCUCUGAGUCACUCCCACUCUGAGCUGGGUGAUCUGCAGGCCCCAGGGUCUCAGCAUUCCCACCUACACUGCCUCGGCUGGAGCUGGAUCCUCACUGUGAUGCCUCUGGCCACCCUGCUUGCUGCCUUCCCACUCAGGCUCCUGACACAGCUGCCGUCUGCAGACCCCCUGUGCUGGCCAGGCAAGUGAGUGGGAGCUCCUGCAGCAGAUGGGCGGAACAGCUACAAGAAGACCUGAAGGUGGCCAAAAAUAACAGUGCUCUCCAGAUGAGGGUGAUUAGAGCCAAGAUCAUCACUGGGUAGGGAUCUUGUUCUUCCUUUUACAACCUAGAAAGGGUGCAGAGACUGGAAGAUCACUCAGGAAGAAAGAAUAAGGUCAGGAAAGAGUGGAAAAAAAUGAUAACUGCUUUUGAAAAAAAAAAAAAAAGGAAUUGGAUUUCUUUAUGUCCAAAGAGAGAAAACAAAGGCCUUGUACAGGAGUGGGGAGCACCCAGGCUCUCUGCAUGGUAGCUCUCUUCUACAAUUUCCCUAGCCAUAGAAAACUGGGAGCAUUCUGGGUUUGGGGAGAGAAAAAAAGGGGGGGUGGCUAGGACUAGAAGUUAUGAUAAAAAGGGAGAGAAAGAUCAAGAGACAAUGUUGCCUUCUCUUAUCUGCUGUUUGAGCCAACUUUAUGGAUAUUUAUUGAGAACCAAUGAUGUCUGAUCCAGUUAUCCAUUUCUGCCUGAUAAAUCACCCUAAAAUGUACUACCGUAAAGCCACAGCAAGCAUUUUAUCUUUGUCUCUCAGGGCUCUGAGUGGGACUGUCUGGUUCUCACCACCAUGGGGUUGGUGGUGGCCGAGGCUGGAGCCCUCUCUAAAACCUCCUGGAUCACAUGUCUGAUGGCUGAUGCUGGCGUCGUGGCAACCUUAGCAGAGGCUGUCAGCUGGGACACCUGCUCAGGGUCUUUCGCACAGCGUCUCAUCCUCACGCUCCUUACAUGGCCACUCAGGACACCAAAGAUGAGUCUCGGAAGAGAACAAGGUAGAAGCUGAAUUUUCUGUUUUGUCUCAGCUGAGUCACUGGAGCUCUCCUGUAUGGGAGGAGUGCGGAAGAACUUGUGGACAUGUCUUCAAGCUGCCACCGUGGCCCAUCCUGUGUCGGCCGCUCCCGACCUCCUAAUCACCCUGAAGUAAUCCAAGUCAAUUAAGUAUUCAGUGAUAACUCAUGCAGUAGCCAUUUGCCAGGUGAGGGAGGAGAUGGAAGAGUGUCUACCUGCGUGUGUGAGGUCACAGGCAGGAGACGGUCAGGAAGACCUGUGGCCACGUAUCAUUUGGAGAGCAUCAGAGAUACAUAGGACAACAGUGGUCAACAUUCCUUGACCUUGGAGAGAGUGAUCUUCUUACUACCUGUUCCUAGGAGCCAGCGCCCAGCACAGUACCACAGGACUGAAGGCAUGAUCCACCAUGCCUAGAAUCCCCACCAGGGACACCAUUCACAUCUUUGUGGUGAGAUCUGCUGCAGCCCAGGGACGUUCAGGUUGAGUUUGCUGAUCAGAUGCUCACCUCUUUUGAUGUGAUCUCUGGCUUCUGCAAGUGCUCCUGCUGUGAUGACGUCAUCUACCAGGAGGUCCUCAUUAGAGCUGGACGAAAGCUGGCCCCAUGCCCUGAGUCUUCAGAACAGACAGUGGACUCAUGAACAAAUGCCUUCAAAAUUAGAAGGAUGACUCUCAGCCAAGCAAGCACAAAGGAGUGGUUUGAGGAAGACUUCAGAGAGACAGGUAAGCAUGAGGGCAUUGAACUAGACUGUUUCCCAGCUCCUCCUGCAGCUGGACGUAGAAGGCUGAGUGGACGAAGGGCAUCUCUCCAGGCAUCUGAAGCUCAGAGACGGCAAUGGAGCCACCAAGUGCUGGCUGGAGACCAGGAUCAGUCAUGAACAAAGCCUCAGGCUGUGCAGACCAAACACGAGAGCUCUCUGAAGACCCUGAACUGGUGUGCUCCAGUAAGAUCAUUUGUUCCAUCACCGAUUGUUCAGACACCAGGUUAGGCACAGACAACAAAGACUCCAGGCCUUGCUGGCUGGACGUCCUACCUUGUAUUUAUUGGGUAUUUAUCAAAUGCCUUCCACUGACCCGGUGAUACGAGUGGUUACCUUCCCAUUAGCGUGCACUGCGUGAGUAUUUGGUUACAGGCUUGAAAGAGUUAAUGUGCUGCAGAUGCCUCCCGUGUGCCUGGGGAGUCCUGCACCUCCCCUGCCCAGGCUGCAGAUGUGUUGGGCUCAAGGAUGUGUUUUCAUUUCCUCUCAUGUUUAUGUUUCUGCUUUCUGUAAAGUCUCCCGAACUGCAGCAGUAUCUUCCAAGUUCCCUGACAUCGUUAUAAAUUUCAUUAGGAAGAUGAAGCCUUAUGGGGCAAUUAACUCCAAAAGUGGAACAAAGCAACAGCAAAGAGAUACUGGCCUGCAGUACUUAGCACUUAGCUCUAAAAUUGAGAUAAGCCCUAUCAGCCCAGGGUUGUGUUUAAUGUUCACUGCCGCCUCUAUACCACAGCUACAACCUAGCGGUCACCGUGUUAACACUCCCCAAUAUCUAUUACAAUUAGUUUUUGAUUAAGAGGCCUAACGUGGCUUUUGAAGCUUUUUAUGUUGUGUCAAAUGGCUGGUGAUGGAGUGAAAUGCACAGACGCUUGGCGGUAACAAAGCCGAUUGGAAAGGGUUUCCGUGAACUGUUUUAUCAUCCUAAUGGAGACCAGAUGACUCCAACUCCCCCCUGAAUUUCAACUAUUUACUGAAGAGUCCUUGUUUUGAAUUACCGAAGAUUUAUUCUUAAAUGACGACCUCAUGCAUUAAGAAUCGCUAAUAACUGAUCCGUUUGAAAUUUGGGAAAGCUCUUAAGGAUGACCAGAGCGAUGUUCACAGAGGAUAGAGUUAUAGACAGUGAGAGAGAGAGAGACAGAAAGGUCUUCCUUCCGUUGGUUCACCCCCCAGAUGGUCAGGAGCCAGAUGCUUCUUCCUAGUCUUCCAUGUGGGUGCAGGUGUCCGAGAACCUGGGCCGUCCUCCACUGCGCUCCUGGGCCACAGCAGAGAGCUGGACUGGAAGAGGAGCAACCAGGACUAGAACCGGCGCCCAUAUGCGAUGCUAGCGCCGCAGGUGGAGGAUUAACCAAGUGAGCCAACCCUGACUAAUGUACUUUUUCACUGUCUCUGGCCUUGGCCAUACCCCUCCCUUGGAACCUCAGUCUCUUCCCUGGAGCCUGGGGCUUUGACAGAUGCUGCCCGAGUUUUUGUUCACUUCUCUCGGUCACUGAUACUGCGCCAUCUGAUGUUCUAGAUAGCUAAGUCCUGGAGUGCGGGAUCUUGGUAUGGUGUGCUGGGUUCAUACCCAACUCAUGAGACUUGUUCUUUCCAUGCAAAAUAAGAGCAAUGUUGGCCAUUUCAUAGGGUUAUCCUAAGUAACCUAUGAGGCGAUCAAAACCAAGUGUCUGGAGUGCCUACUAAGUAGUAGCCCAGUAGUGAUUUCUAUUUCUCCUUUUUUCCUUUCAUAUUAUGUCUUGUCUAAUGGCCCUUUGUAUGAUUUGAAUGAAAGAAAUUGCCGUGAUGUUUGGGGCAUCCAUUGUGGCACUAUAAAAUUGAGCAAGUACUUUCUAUGUGGUGGAGAAGGUGUAGAAAUCCUGUGUGAGCUCUGGGGAUCCUGAGAGAGUGCCGGGUCUGUGUUGCUACACAAAUUGUGUCAAAGCAGCAGACAGGGGAUUUCAGUAGAAGCAGAGAGGAGAGUGGGGAAGGCCAUGCUCAGGGCUGACCCUUCACUCCAGAUUGAAGUGGGGCUUCACCACUGAUCGGGUGGUUAAUCUCAUCAAGUUCACAGCAGGGCAGGUGUUUGGUCCACGGGUUAAGAUGCUUUUUGGGACACUUGCAUCCCACAACAGAGUACCAGGGUUUGUAUCUCGCCCCAGUGCAGGUCCAGCCUUUGUGGGCAUAUGGGGAGUGGGUGGAAGCUCUCUUUUUGUCUGUCAGUUGUGUCUGUUCUUUGUCUCUCAAAUAAAUAAAUAAUAAGUAAAUAAAUGUACAUACAUCUCUAUCAAAAAAAGGAAAGGUACACAGAAAGUAUAUACAUUGGAAAGAGUAUGCAUGGAUCUCAAAUUUUUUUGCAUCAAAAUAAAACUUAUGUUUUACUUCUAUUUUUCCAUGAACUUUUUGAAGUACUCUUGUAUAUCAUUUUAUGUAGUUUCCUCAACCAAUCCCUGAGCCUAAAGCAAGAACUAAAGAAUUCAAUCACUGGAUAUUUUAUUACUACUACUACUAAUAUUCAUCAAAAUAAAACUUGCUAUCACAAAAGUAUUGCCGUGAAUAUGUGCAAAGAUUUAAACCAGGAAAAUAAAGCUGAACAGAUCCCUUGUUAAUAUUUUACUUUUCAAUUCUCUUUUCUAAGCAUUAGAGUCUGGAGACCCAUUCAUCUCACGCAUUUAUGCUUUUGUUCAACACUAGGGUGCUGUUUCCCAAGCACAUGUGUUAUGUUUUGAGUAGUUUGUCCCUCACCCCACCUGACCCCUGUUGGAGCCUGGUCCCCAGCGCAGCAGUGUUUGGAGGGUCAUGAGUGGAUUCAUAGUGUCCUCACUGGAGCGAGCUGCCUAUCACGGGGUUCAGCCCUUUCUAUCUUCCACGUGUACUUCUCUGCUCCUCUGCCUGAGUUGAAGCAGCAUUUGGCCCUCACCAGAUGCUGCCAAUCUCAGACUCCCUAGGCUCCAGCUCCCUGAGCCAAAAUAAACGUCUUUUCUUUAUAAAUUACCCAUUCUCAGGAAUUCUGUUACAGCACAAUGCAGGAAGCAGACUCAGGCCAGGGCUAGGGGAUAGGGUUCAAAGAUGAAACUCAUGACCUCUGCCUUUGCGGAGGAAUUUGUUGUCCAGUGGAGUGAUGACGUGUGCACCCAGGUCUGCAGUGCAGAGGGGCAAUCCCAGAGGCUGCGAGGGGCUCCUGGUUACGUGGAGGGGACUGAGGUGCCGACACUUGAACUUAGGGGAAUUUUACAGGACCGAGGAAGACCUCCUGUGUCCAGCGUGAGGGUGGCGUGGAGAAGAACGUGGGCUAAGGGUGGUGCGGGCAGCUGAGAAGCAUGGUCCAUAGUGGUCCAUAGUGGGAAGAAACAGUGUGGUGGGAUGUGGCUGGGGAGAUGUGGGGAGAGGACCAUAUGAUGGGGCUGGCAGACCCCUGGCCUCGCUCAGCGGCAGUCUCUGAUGCCAUCCCUGUGCCCCUGUGCAGCACAUGCCCAUCAAAGCCUACCCGCAUGCAGCUGGUAACCAAGGCUUGUGUCUUGUUUCUUUCUAUCCCCUCUUUACCUCGUCUCAUCUGCUGCCUUUGGCUAGUCUAGAUUUAUAGUCCACCUUAGCAGCUGGUUAGAGGCUGUUAUUAGUAUAACCAACCUUAAAUAAUUUGAUUUUCAGGUUGGGCACAUCACAAUAUCUCCUGUGGGCUUGAUAGUCAAACUACACAUUUAUUUAAAAAAUCAGUUUCCUCACAAUAUAUUUGAAAGUAGUGCUGCUCACUCAUCUGUAAACCAUUAGGCCUCAUGUGCAAAAGUAGCUCAUCGGAGUUUUCUUCACAUCAUUCUGAGGAUAAGUUUUAGGUGUUCCAGCUCUCUAUUAAGCCUAUUGUCUUAUUUUAUUAGUUUUCCUUUAAAAACAUUCCUAUCAGAACUCUGUUUUAAUGGAGGAGAGAAACUGCAUAAUAAAAUUUAAAUAUAUACUCAAACAUUCCUCUUCCUUAAUAAAUUUUCAGGGAUUUUUUUUCUUUGCUUCUUUAUUAUAGUUUUAGAUUUAAACAAGAGAUUUACACUGACCUGAUGUCAUUGGUAUUGGAUGCAUACUGUUUGAACUGAGCAAACUUUGAAUGAGUUGUGAGGAUUUAAAAGUCCUGAAAUCAAGAAAUUUGGCUUAAAAAAAUCAAAGGAUGUGAUAUUCUGGGUUUGCAGGGUAAUGAUCUGGGUGGCUCAGGCGCAAUCAGUGCCCAGCUCUGCAGGGUCCAUGGGCCUCACCUCACUCACAGGAGUUCCCUGCCUGAUCUCCCUUCAUAUGUCUUCCUGUCUACAGAUCUGAGUUUGACUUUUCCCAAUUAGAAAGCUGGGGUGAAUGCCAGUAGCAUGUGCAGAAUGCAACCCCUUCAUCUCAGGCACACAUAAUAACUGAUACUUUUAGAGAGACUGUAGGUCAGUGAUAAAAUAAAUUUCUGGAGCAACUUUGCACAUGACUCUGGAAGGAAAACAAGGAAACUGCAGUGUUAGGCUGAGUAUAAUUUAUCAAGGGAAAGGUUACUGAAAGUUUUUACUCCAUUAUCCCACAGACCUGUUAUCCUGACCAUUGUGAAACCGAUUUUUAAAAAUUUUUGGUGGGGACAUGUGACAUGCGAAAAUGGAAAAACCAGGUUUCUACUUUCUAGCACCCAGAAAGUACUACUGGACUUCCUUGUCCUCUUCCGGGGGUGGGGGAUAUCUCCUCUGUGGGCACCCACCUUCCUGAGGUUGGCUGAAAGUGCUAGUAUUUCCUGGUGUUAAUUAUUAAUGUGACCUGUUUAUGUACCAGUUAUCCGGCUAACCAUUAAUAUCUGUUUACUCAUUGAUGACCUUUGCAAUCGCGUACCCAGCUCCUGGCUGUAAAUGUCAACCUUUUUUAUUUAUUUAUUUAUUUAUUUUUUUUGCUAAAUGUUCUCUUCAUAUCUUCUGAGUGCCUGAAACAGUUGGUUAAGAAAGUAAAAUAAUAUCAAGUAACACAAGUAUAUCCUUUAUGUAAACGAGAAGGUGGCACAGUGCUAUUGUUCACAGAGAUUAAUACACAGAACUUUCUCUGUGGAAUGAGCAAGAGGUGUACACAAAUGGCAAAUCCAAGGAUCCCUGGGGGGUAAGAAAAAAAAUCCCACAAUUGGCAAGAAAAAAGUUCUUUAACUUCCAGGCUUAGGUUGGGAGGGGGGGGACAAGGAAAGGACUCUGACCUAGUCCUGGGGAAUAGACCAGUUUUCCUCUUCCAUAUAUCAGUGUUCAGUGCUUGUACACUAAAGCAAGCCUAUAGGAUUUAUCUCUGGUUACUCAGUCAGUCUACAUUAACUCCAACACUAGCAAGAUAUUUUCUUCCACAAUUGUAAUGGCUAAAGCCGAGAUUAAGCAAUGCAGCUGGAUUAGGGCUGCAACCAGUGACCUUAAUUUUACCCAUCAUUGGAGCCUGUGUGUAUUUGACUCUUCUAAAUUGCAUUUGCCUAAUUUAAACAGACAAUAGCAGCCCAAGACAUUUUUUUUUCACCCUCAAAUAAUAAAAAAGGAAGAAGAGCUCUUUCUUAGAAAUUAACCCCAGGACAGUCUUGCCAAGGCUGCUGAGCGGCCAACGAAAGCAGCUGUUUUUCUUUUUCUUGCCCCAUUAACAUACCCACACGGGAAAGGACCCAUUGAAAUAUUAUUGUCUUUGCAUAACAAUACAAUUUUAAAGUCUCGCAGCGCUUCUUUAGUGAAAUAGUUUAAAAUGUUAAUAUCAUUCCAGCCAUAAAUAACCAUUAUGGCUUUCACAGAGAUUAAAGUUUUGAGGUAUGCCCUAGGUGUGCAUUCACAUUUUCUCGUUCAUUGAGUUCUAACUUCAGUAAAAUUAGUUUUUUUAGAUAGAGCUCUGAACACUUGCUGUGACUGUCACUUCAUGUUGAAUUUAUCAUAUAGAAUUUAAGGCGGAAGACUCAGGAGCAAUCUGUCACAAGCGAUUGUAUUCCUAAUCUUUGAGGGGUGGGCUGGGGGCUGGGCAGGAGAUAAGCGCUUUGGAGCCUGGAUGUUUGCUGGGCUCUGGUGGAUGUGGCUACGGGAUUUGCUGGGGCUGCAUGUGAUGUGUUUCCUUCAAGCCUGCCUCAGUGUCUCUGCUGUUCUUCAUGCAUAUAAAUCCUAAAGAGGUUUUCUAGGCUCAAGGAAAAUUCAGCUUGUCUUUCCCAGGGAAUUCAAUAAUCAACAAAGCUGUGGGCUAGACGUGGGCUGUUCUAACUUAGGUAGAUCCCCUUGUACCUUAGAGUGAAGAAGUAGACGCACUCCUGCUGGCAACAAAACACACACUUUCCAGGGAAAUGGGCAUCGGGAUUUUAUGCUAACUUGGCAAAAAGCUGCACUGAAAAGCAAUUCAAAGUCAAGGUUAGUGUUGCAACCUCCUCGUCCAGUGCAUUUGCAGGGAGAGCAGUCAAAAUACAGAUCAUUCUCUGAACGCUGCACUUCUGUUGGGGUGGGGGUUGAAAUUAGAGUGAAGUAGAAUAGUUGGUUGCUACUGGAGCCCAUUGCAUGUGUACCUUUUGCUCUGGAAAUUAAGUAUUUUCCCAGGACUACUACUCAGUGAAGUGUUUUUUUUUUUCUUCUUUUUCUCUCUCUCUCUGAUGUGCCAGGCAGGCGUUUCUUCACCACCUCUGGAUUUUGGAAAUCAAGUGCUCAUAAUAACUUGCAGAUCUCUAUCUGGGUAUCAAAACCAGAGGUUUCUGAACUUUGCCCGUCAGACUCCCACAUUUACAUUUCCUUUUUAUGUCACAUGGUCAAUGCACUUACUUGACACAUGGAAAAUUUCCUUUGCAUGCCUUAUUCCAAGAAGUGCUGGGAGUUUGGGUUUAUGGAAUGUGCCGGCAGCCCCAAGCGCUCUUGGCAUCAUCACUGCUGGCUUGGUGCAUGGCCCAGGAUGAUGCAAGUUACGCGUGGCACAGAACUCCCACAGUAACUGCUGUGGCAGUGUUUGGAGUGUGCUUAGGCCCAGGAUCCACUCCUGAAGGGUGAAGUGGGAGUGGGGCAGGCAGAGGUUACUGUUGUUUGUAAAGACUCGGGCCAUUAACUUCUGCAGGAAACCUGCUCUCAUUCCCACCCUGCACAUGGAUAGAGCCCUUGCUCUGGGCCACAUAGGAUACUGGGCUUGUUCCAUUUGCAGCACACACACAUUGCACUGAAAGCUCAAGUCUCUCCUCCAACUAGACCAUGGAGGCCCUGUUGCAAGGACUCAGCUCCCGGCACAGCAUCUGGGUCACAGAGGUAUGCAGUGUGACUGCCACUGUAGACCCUGCGACCGUAGCUCCUAAUUCUUGCACAAUCCUCAUUGAUUCUGACUGCUGUAGUACAUGAUUCCUUUAACCCCAUUUCACAGGUGAGAAAAGUAAGACUGAGCCACGUUGAGUGAAGUUCACUGGCAACAUUAGGAAGCUGGAUUAUUGCCAAGAAGAAAUGGCACUGCAGGCUCUCUGCUGGAUUGCUGAUAGUGUGAGCGCACUCCGCUCUGUGUCAUGUGGAGGAGGAUAGCAUUUCCAUCCUCAGGAUACAGUUGGGCGGCAGCUGUGGCAGAGCUGGUCACCGCUAGAAGAAUCUAGGCCUGCUGUGGUCUGCCUUCCAGGGGCACUCAAAGUGCACUGCGUUUACAGUUUUGGUGAUGCCGGUUUUGACCCAUACAGGAUUUUAUACUUAAUAUUUUGCAAUAAAUUCAUGGCUUUGUCAAUACUUCUAGCUGGCUUCGCUGCAUCCUAGGUGUGUGAUCAUGGACAAGCUAUUUUGGUUUCCUCUUCUGUGUCCCUAGGAGUCCAGGGUUGUCUCGUAAGGUCUUGGAAUGGGGCUUGGCACAUUCUGAGCAGUCCACAGAUGUGCGAUGCUGACUUGCAGCUGGACUGUCCCUGUCUCCUCUGCUUGCUGCUGUCCCAGCCGGCCUGAGCUUUCCUGCUCCUGUGCUCUUCUUGGGUGCUGGGAGCGUUGGAUAGAACUUUGCUGAGUCUGGGCCAAGAUUCUGGAGGUCCACUCUCGUCCGAUAGCCACCACCACCCUCUUGGAGUCCCUGCCACUUCCCAGAGGCUGUCACGGAUUAUAACGCCAGGCCCUGCUACUGGCUUGGAGCUCUGGCCUUCACCCUCAUCCCACCUUCCAAACCUCCUUCUCUCUCCCUACUCUCAAAAGCCCCGAACUUCUCUCCUCUUCCUCCCUGUUGGCAUUAUCUCCUCCCAGAGUGUGGGCUUUGAGGAAACAAAAGCCAGGUGUCUUGGCUUUGGCCUCUUAAAACAAACCUCCCCUGAGGCAGGGGCAUAGAAAGGCCUGGCUUCCUUUGUAGAGCUGAGAGCCGGCAAACACUGAGAUAAAAACACAAAUUAAUAUAUCAGUAAAUUAUCCUCCACUUUGACAGGCUCUGUAAUCAGGAAGACAGUGAAAACAUGGGGAGUUUGCCAGCGAGGAAUCUACAGGAGGCGGGAGGAGCCACGGAGACAGCAGCUGAAGGAGGGGCAGGUCUUCGGAGGCUUCAAAGUCUGAACUUUUCCCCCAGAGAUUUCCCUGGGUGGGUGGGGAGCAGCAGCUUGCACUGCACGGGAAUUAUGGGAGGAGUGGGACCACCAGAAGAGAUGGGGAUUGGAGGAGCACAAGCAGGCCAAGGAGGCAGGGGCAGAGAGGCAGGGCAAGCACAAAGGCAGACGCUUCCUGACUCUCCUGCUGUCAUUGUAGCCGCCUUCUGAUAGUGGCCAUGCCUCUGUCAUCUCCGUGUUGAAGAACGGAAGACUGAGGACAUGAAGGUUAAUGGACUUUUGCGAUAUCCUACACCUCCUAAACGACAGAGCCAGGUUUUCUACCAGAUUGUUGGAGACUGGAGACGCACGUGUAAACACUUUGCUAGCAGUCUCACAGCUACUGAGCCUGUUUUCUGAUCACAAUGGGAAUGGGGUGGGUGCUCAUUGGAACCAGGAAAAAUUAAGAACAGGGAAGAGCAGGGAGUGCUCCUCCCAGGUCUUCAAUAUGAACAAAGAUCAAGUGAAAGACAGACACUAUCGCACCUCAGAAGUGAUGAACAACCUGCACAAACAUGGCCUCAUUGCCUGCCCUCAACCUCAGGCCAAGUCAAGAACACAAAGGUUCAGAGAAACUGAGCAACUGAGACAAGUGAAUUAGAGACAGGAUUGAAGGCUGAGCACAGCUCUGCUGGGUUGAAGCCAGAGGCUGAGAAGGUGGAGGACAUCCUCUGUCAAGAGCCCUGUAGCUCCAGACACUGGGGGUGCCCAGGGAAGGGAAAUGUAGCAACAUUCCUUACCCCGUGCAGACUGCUGGGCUCUGUCAGGGUAUGUGGGUGCUGCAGGUCAAGUGGCUGGCACAGUACGGAUGAGAAGAGAAGAGAGAUUCUCAGGCGGCUCCUGGCAUAAAUGUGAGAUGUGGUAGGGGAAGAGUGAUUGGGAUUCAAGAUCUGAAGCCAAUGUGCUGGAGGAGAAUGAACAAGAGCAGCAAAAACUGCAGAGCUGUGAGAGGAAGAGGAAGUGCAGGAAGGACUUCCAGGUGGAGCCCAGGCAAAGGACACUUGGCACACAGGGUGGGGAGGAAAGAGACGGCGGAAGGAAGCAGGAAGUGAAAACUGGCGGAAGUGGGAGAGAAAGUGAGCAUGUGGGUGAUUUGGAAGUCAUCCGUAUCAGCUAGAAAUGUUGCCUGGAAUUUGCACAAAACAAGGGAAGAUAAAGUUUGAGGCAUGGGAGGAAACACCUGUCCAAAGAAAACUGGGGGAGAAGAUGGAGGCUGACUGAUGGACAUCAUUACAGCAAAGAAAGGAAACAGUGUGCAGGUGUUUUAGCCAACUCAGAAGACAAGCACAAUGGAAAAAGGAAAAACAAAAAAUCAAUGCUUAGAACUUGCUAGGACCAUAAUUUUUUACUUAUAUUUUAUUAAAAUAAAGAGAACAGAUUUAAGGUAGUUCCUGGAGAGCCCUCUAAUAAUGUAAUGAUCUUUUGUUCUCUCAAUUUUUCUGAUAACUUGUUUUUAAUUUACUUUAUAGCCAAAGGCUUAAUGCUCCACUAAAUGAAGUGUUCAGCAAGUAAAAAGUAGAAAGACCACUGUAGGACCACAACUGAAAUGUUCAAGGACAACCUGCUGGGCCAAUGUUUCAUAAACUUACCUGCUAAUAGAUCCUCCUCUUAUUUUAAGGAACAUUUUUAAUAUUCUGUGAAGCUAUAACUCUAGGAUGAUAGUUCAUAAAAUACAGAUUUGGUAGCAUGAACAUGAGUGAGCUUUCUUUGCUUCUACAUUCCAUCUUCCCAAACUCUCUUAGAUUUUGAGCUCUGAACGGUGGCUACUAAUUCUCAGGCUCUUGCUGUUUCCACCAUGACCAUGUACACACAGCCUCUUUCAGGGUGUGUUGUGGAAAUCCAGGCUUGUCACCAUUUUGCCAAAGUACGAGUUGUAGGACUAUGAGUUUUGACUGUGGAGAUUCUCUCAUCAACAAACAAGCUUGACACUAAUACUUCUGCAGCUGUCUUUUUAAAAUAGAUUUAUGUAUUUAUUGAAAGAGUGAUAACGAGAGAGAGACAGACAGACAGACAGAGAUUUUCCCUCUGCUGGUUCACUCCUCAAAUGGCCACAACAGGCAGGUCUGGACCAGGUGGAAGCCAGGAGCCAGUAACUCCAUCUGGCUCUCCCAUGUGAAUGGCAGGGGUGCCAGCACUUGGACCAACAUGUGCUGCCUUACCAGGCACGUUAAUAAGAAGCUGUGGCAGAAGUGGAGCAGCCAGGACUCUAAUUGGCACUCUGAUCUGGGAUGCUGGGUCUCAAACAGUGGCUCCAAGUGCUGUCACACAAAGCUGGCCCCUUUUGGCUGCUGCUUUGACUGCUCUUGGGAUUUUUCUUGCUUACUCCCUUGGCUUGGAGUUUCCAUCAGAAAUUGGAACUUUUCAGGUAAUUGACCUACAAAUAGUUGAAGCAUGCUUGUGUUAUUUCUAAUAAUAAUAUUGGCAUUGCAUGAAGGCAACCGAGUCAGCCUGCAGAUUAUAUACUGCAGAGGUAAGGAAACAGUUAAUCCAGAGAUUAUGCUAAGUGUUUUGAGGACUUUUUCCAUUUUCUUUUAUCACGUACACACACUCAUCUGAUGUUUGUGACAGUGGCAAGCACAUUGUUUGCGAAAUGAUAGUGAACCCGAAUAAGAGAAAUAUAUGACAAUCUACUGGUAAGAUUGCAAAGGCCAGGAAUCCACUUGUGAUCAACUCACAUUCUUUUUUCUAGACUUUCAUGAGCAAGAUUGUAAACUCACUAAUGGAAUCUCUAUGGCUUUCCACAGAGGGCUAAGCGGCUCAUUGGGGAUAUUUCUGCGCUUUUCAUUUUAUGCAAUAUUUUAUUGUAAAAUGAACAAAAAAAAAUAAAAGAUGGACUCCUCCGUGGAGUCACACAAUACAUUCCUAGCACUAGUCCUGACAGAGCAAGAAGUGGCUUUGUGGGAGUGAGGGUGGCAGGAACUGCAGCACUGUGGUACAGCGAGUUAGGCUGCUGGCCUGCAGCCCCAGCAUCCCAUACAUGUGCCAGUUCGAGUCCCAGUUGCUCCACUUCCAAUUCAUCUCCCUGCUAAUGCCUAGGAAAGCAUCAGAAGAUGGCCCAAGUCCCUGGGCCACUGCAACCCACAUGGGAGACCCUAAAGAAGCUCUCGGUUCCUGGCUUCAACCUGGCCCAGCCCUGGUUGUUGCAGUCAUUUGGGGAGUGAAUCAAUGGAUAGAAGAUUCUCUCUGUCUGUCUCUCUUCUCUCUCUGUAACUCUGCCUUUCACAUAAAUAACUUUUUUAAAAGGAGGCUCUUUGGGUCAGUGUAAGGUAGGAUACUGCAGGGUCCAAUAAUGUGCACUAAGGCAAGAUAAAGCUCCCAUGAUAAUGGCCAAGGGAAGGGAAAUGAUGAUGUCACUGUGUGCCGCGUUUGGAGGAGUUGAUUUCAUAAUGGGCAUUACAUUGAUUCCCCUCUUUCCCAUCUUAUUAUGAAUAUCUUAUUCUGAUUUUUAAAUUUUAUUUUUUUGAAUUUUGAACAUAAGAACUAAAAGAAUUAGACAAUGAAUGUGCAUGUACCCAUUGCUCACUUUCAUCAAACAACAUUUUAUAUCCCCUGCUUAUCACAUUUUUGACCAUUGACCCAUCUUUCUAUCCAGUCAUCUGGCCAUUGAUUUUCUGAUGCAUUUCAAAAUAUGUUGCACAUACUGCUGCACUGCACCCGUACACACUUUGGCAUGCAGAUCAUUAACCAGAGUUCAGUAUUUAUUUACAUGUUUUCUUGCACCAGCUAUCAUGUAAUGUACAAACAGUAUGUGAACAUUUUGCUGAAUUCUUGGCAAUCGUGUCCAACUAUGUGACCCAAACAACUGUCAAGGCCAAGAAUGUUCCCAUUGUCUGAGAGCAUUCCCUCAUGCCCAUCCCAAACAAGUCAUGUCCCAUUUUCUCAAAGUCAAUCAUACUUUUUAUAUUUUUUAACCAUGGAGUCCUCUUAUCUGUUUUAGAAUUUCAUAUCCAUCAAGAACAUGGUAAGAAUAAGUUGGGUAAGGCUUUUUCACUUGGUGUCAUAUUGUGGUGAUUUGCUGGGUUGUUGUGUGUCUCUUUUGUAGUUUGUCCCUUUUUACUGCUGAGUAGUACCCCACUUCAUGAAAACACUGAGAACUAUUUUAUGAGAGAGAAUGUGUGGUGCUAAAGGCAUGCCAGAGAAGAGCUUUUAGGAAGGAAGAAGAGAUGGACUUGAGAUAUUUGACCAUAAACAAAGAGUACAUUUAGGAAAGGACAUGAGAACAAUUUUCGUGCAAGGGUCAGCAAGUAUUUCCUGCAAUUCACAGUUAAGAAGUAUCUUAAGGUUUGUUGAGCCAUGUAGUCUUUAUUGCAAUUAUUUAAUUCUGACCUUGUAGUAAAAGGAAAGCAGCCAUAGACAAUAUGUAAAUGAAGUGUGAUUAUGUUCCAAUAAAACAUCCUUUUAUGUACACUGAGAUUUACAUCUCCUAUGAUCUUCAUGUGUCAAGAGUAUUAUUCUUCUUUUGAUUUUCCCCCAACUGUUUAAAAAUUUAAAAUUAAUUCCUAGCCCAUAGCCUCUAUAAAAAAACUGAUGAUGGCAGGAUUUGGCCCACAAUGCAUCAUUUUCCAGGCUCUGAUAUGAAGGACUGCUAAACAGGGAUAUUUAUUUUUCUGUGUAGGGCUAGUGUGCACCAUGAAGACUUAAUAGGCAGGUUUUGCUCAGAAAACUGAUAUUCCUAUUAACUGGAGUUGAAAUGGACUCCAACUCUUCGCCCUGUCUCUCUCCCCUGCCUCUGUUGGUAGCCUAGAGUUAAGGGGGGUUGGCAUUUGGGUCAGUGUUGUGGGAUAGUGCAGCCUGCAACACCAGAAUCUCACAUGGGCACUGGUUUAAGUCUUGGCUGCUCCACUUCUGAUGCAGCUCCUUACUAAUACCCUGGGAAAGCAGCGGAAGAUGGCCCAAGUGCUUGGGCCCCUGCACCCAUGUGGGAGACCCAGAUGAAGCUCCUGACUUCGGCCUGGCUCAGCCCUGGCAAUUGCAGCCAUCUGGGGAGUGCACCGGUAGAUGGAAGGUCUCUCUCUGCUUCUUUUUCUCUAUAUAUAACUCUGGCUUUCAAAAAAAAAUAAAUCUCAAAGAAAAAUGUAAAAAUCACAGGGUGUGGCAUUGUGGUGCAGGUAUUGGGCUACUGCUUGAGUGCAGAAUUCCAGGUGGGAGUGCCAGUUGGCACCUACGCUUCCUGCUAAUGUACCUGGAAAGGCGGCAGAUGAUGGCCAAGGUGCUUGGACCUGUCACCCACAUGGGAGAUCCAGAUGGAGUUACUGGCUCUCAGAUUUGGCCUGUUGCCCCUACUGUUGCAUGCAGCAGUUUGGAGAGUAAACUAGUAGAUAGAGGAUCUCUCUCUCUCUGUCUCUCUCUCUCUCUCUCUCCCUUUCUCUUUAACCCACCCUGCCUUUCAAAUAAAUAAAUAAAUCUUUAAAAGGGAGAGAGGGGAGGGAAGCUCCAGGGCUGGUCUGUUUACUUCAGUCCCCCAGCUCUUCCAUGUUUAGCCGUGUGACUCCAAGAAAGUGAUUCAACACCUUUCUGUCUCCUUUUAUUCAUCUAUAAAAUACGAGUGAUAAUAGACUCUACCUCCUAAAGGCAUUUCCAAGGUUGAAUAGUAGUGUAUAGAAAGUUUUCAGAAUGAUGCUGGCUCACAGCUGGUGCUCAGGAUACACAGCACAGUGCCUGGCACAUGAUAGAUGCAAAAUAAGUGUUUAUUAUCAUCAUUGUCACUCAUUUUUGUUGUUCUGGGGACCCCCUGGAGGCUGCCUGGGUCUGUGUGGGAACUUUGUGAAAGACAUUGCUGCUUUUCCUGGGAGGCUGGACUCAUAGUCGCUUAGAUGCUGUCUUGUUCUAAACAUCAUUGUUUUCUUGAAUUUAAUGCCCUGUACGUCAACCCUGACACUGUUGUUGAAACCUGAGAAGAAAUAGCAGGAUAGUCUAGUUGUUAAUGUUAGCAUAGCUUACAUUGUAAGGCAAAGAGUAUUUUUUUUUAUCUUUUAUUUAAUGAAUAUAAAUUUCCAAAGUACGACUCAUGGGUUACAAUGGCUUCCCCCCCCAUACCGUCCCUCCCACCCACAACCCUCCCCUUUCCCACUUCCUCUCCCCUUCCAUUCACAUCAAGAUUCAUUUUCGAUUAUCUUAAUAUACAGAAGAUCAGCUUAGUAUACCUUAAGUAAGGAUUUCAACAGUUUGCUCCCACACAGAAACAUAAAGUGAAAAAUAAUAAAUGAUUUUUUUUAAAUGAUGAUGAAAUCAGAUCAGACCUAUUGUCAUGUUUAAUCCCAGUGAGAGUCAAGUUGGGAAUUGAUAAUUUCUUUUUUUUUUUUUUUUUUUUUUACAGAAGAUCAGUUUAGUGUACAUUAAGUAAAGAUUUCAAUCGUUUGCACCCCCAUAGAAACACAAAGUGAAAUAUACUGUUUGAGUACUCGUUAUAGCAUUAAGCCUCAGUGUACAGCACAUUAAGGACAGAGAUCCUACAUGAGGAGUAAGUGCACAGUGACUCCUGUUGUUGACUUUACAAAUUGACACUCCUGUUUAUGGCAUCAGUAAUCUCCCUAUGCACCAGUCAUGAGUUUCCAAGGCUAUGGAAGCCCCUUGAGUUCUCCGACUCCGACUAGACACGGUCAUAGUCAAAGUGGAGGUUCUCUCCUCCCUUCAGAGAAAGGCACCUCCCUCUUUGAAGACCUGUUCUUUCCACUGGGAUCUCACUCACAGAGAUCUUUUUGCCAGAGUGUCUUGGCUUUCCAUGCCUGAAAUACUCUCAUGGGCUUUUCAGCCAGAUCCGAGUGCCUUUAGGGCUGAUUCUGAGGCCAGAGUGCUAUUUAGGACAUCCGCCAUUCUAUGAGUCUGCUGAGUAUCUCACUUCCCAUGUUGGAUCACUCUCCCCUUUAUUUAUUCUAUCAGUUAGUAUUAGCAGAUACUAGACUUGUUUAUGUGCUCCCUUUGACUGCAAAGAGUAUUUUGUUUCCACUUGAUUUCUCCUGACCUUGGAUCUUAGACUCAUCUCUCAGAGUAUUUUAUUAACAAUGAGGCCUCUGUGAUGUUCACCGGUUGCCAUAUCACUUCAACUCUUUCUUUCUUUCUUUUUUGACAGGCAGAGAUAGGCAGUGAGAGAGAGAGAGACAGAGAGAAAGGUCUUCCUUCCGUUGGUUCACCCCCCAAAUGGCCGCUACGGCCAGCACGCUGUGCCAUUCUGAAACCAGGAGCCAGGUGCUUCCUCCUGGUCUCCCAUGCGGGUGCAGGGCCCAAGCACUUGGGUCAUCCUCCACUGCCCUCCGGGGUCACAGCAGAGAGAUGGACUGGAAGAGGAGCAACUGGGACUAGAACCCGAGGUGCCGGCGCUGUAGGCGGAGGAUCAGCCUAGUGAGCCGUGGUGCUGGCCUCAACUCUUUCUCCAUAGGAGAAAGUGAGGAGUAGGAAGCUUGCUUGGGAAAGCAAAAACAUGUCACUCCAAAGUACCCAGCAAGGAUGUGAUUCCUCCUAGGGGCUCUGUUCACCUGUUAGGCAGUGUUGAAUAGUUGUUUAGCUGAGGGACUAUUAUCCUGUUGUGCCCAGGUGUUGUGGGGUUUCAGGCAUCAUGAUUGCUGCUGCCUGCUGAGAAAAGAGGCAGCAGGUUGAGUUGACUACAGCCGACCUCCCCGGGGACCUCCUCACCCCUGGUUCUGACACUUACACUACAAUGUAGACUGUGUUUACUUUGUCUCUGACAUUUGUUUUCCCAGGCCUGUUUAUCUUGACUGGUGUUUUUAAUUGCUCCUCUUACUUUUUCUCUGUUAGCUGGCAGUGAGGAUGGCCCCUAGCAGUGGUUAAGUACAAUAUGAAGGCACAAAAGAGUACUGGAAGGGAACUCCACAAUUAUUUCUGGCAACACCUUCAUUUUCCAGAUGAGGGAAUCAAGGCUCAGAUAAGAUAGCACCUUGUGCUUUCAGUGUGUGCUUUUUUUUUUUUUUUUUAAUUACACCACAUCAGUCUUGUCUGCCAGUGGGUCUGACGUGAGGGUGUGUUGUGGAUGGUGGGGGGGAUGGGCAGGGGGAGGGGGAGAGUAAAUGGACAAGAGGUCUCUCUUCAUGCCUAAAACGCAGUUCUGGUAUGAUUUCCAAUUAGACUUGCACAAUCACUGAGCAGUACUCUCCAUCCCGUUGGACAUGCUCAGCUAAAUAUUGACAAACACCAAAUUUUAAACCUAAUCCAUUUUGGAAACUCUUUGGGGGAUGCUGUAUUUAAUCUGUCAGAAUCUGAAGAGGUGGCGUGGAACUCAUCUGAAGAGAAAGUGGAACUGCAGGAUAUUUGGAGAUUAGGAUGUCCCUCUGAACAGGUGUCCCAGGAAGCAGAGCCGGCAGGAGCUGGAGCAACAUGGUGGCAGCCUUGACUGACUUGAGAAGAUAAGUUGAAAAAAAGUCAGCAUGGGAGUAAAGGAAGAAUGACAGUGGGGAAGAAACGCCAGCCAGUGGGAGAGAGGGAAGGUGACGGAGCCCAGGGGCCCUCAGGCAGGUGGGCAGGUAAUGCAAAGCUCUCCUGCCAGGGUGAGGAGCAUUUGACAAAAACAGAAGUGGGGGCAUCCCUAUUCCCCCUGCUCCUCCAUGUCACUUAAUAAAGCCUCUCCAGUCGUCUCCUGUGUUUUUUGACCCACAGAGGAUCUGAAUGGACUCCUUCUGUUUUCCAGCUUGACCCCAGGAUGGUUUACAGCCCAGGAAGUUCCAAGGUUGCAUGUAAAAACUGCCCUGGGAGUUAUUAAUUUUCAAAGUAGAGUUGAUGGCCUCCUAACUGACUUUUUGAACUUUUUAGAUUUAGGAACUAUUGCUUUGAGUGCAAAUAUAUGCUUUCCUUGUAAAAAAAAAAAAGCCAUAACCCAAAAAAAAAAAAAAAAAGAAAGCCAAAGAUGCUUUUUUAGAAUAUAAUGUAAAUUUAAUUCCAUGAUUGACCCAAAUUCUUUUUUUUUUUUUAAUUUUUUAGCUGUAAAAUUGGAAACCCUCCUUAUCCUUUCUUGUAAGAUACAGAUGCUUCAGGCAUUUAAAGAAUACCUAUAGGGAUGCCUCACUCAUUUAUUAAAAAAAUUUACAGGAUAAUAAAGAAUUCUGCUGGGCAAACAAGUGGAAGGUGUAAAACUUGUUUAUCACAGAGGAGGCUCCGAGAUCACACAUGUCCAUUAGAGGUAUUCAGUGCAGGGUCACGGAAGGGUCUUCAAGAGACAGCCAAUUUGCUGUCUGUUUUUCCUUUCAAAGUCCUGUCUGAUUCCUUCACCCUCUUCAAAACACCCUAAGUAGACAUAUAUAUCAUGAGGUCAAAGCAAGGGGAGAAAAAAAAAGAAAGAAAAAGAAAAGCAAAGUAAAAAAGAAAGACCAAAAAGACAGCCGUGGAACAAUGAGAGCUUUCUUUUAUUCUCCAAUAGUCAUGUGCCAGGUCCCUGAUAAGAAGAUGUGCUGCAAAGCAGAUUAGUAUUUAGAUUUGUCAAGAUUUAGGCCAGAACAUACUGAAUAAAAGAGUUCACUCUCCACAGGGGAAGAAAGAAGGCUUCAAAGUUGGAGCAAAAGUGUUUGUUUAGAGUGGGGACGACCAAGUCUUGCUGGUAUUUACGGCGAAACAACCACCAGCCAGCCUAUCUUCUCGGAAAGGAAUGCAUGGUUAAAUUGGCUCAGCUUGUCCUUAGCAACCUGAACUCGCAGGCCACAUUUUUUCCUCUCUAAGAAGCAAGUGGGAACUUGAAAAGUAUGUAGCAUGUCGUGAAAAGGGAGCAGUGAACUUUGCCCAGGUCUGCAGCCAGCACUGAAAUCUGAACCUUCCUAAGUCCCGGGCCUGGUGUUCCCCCUCCUUCCUUUUUAAUCGCCCUACUUUUGGGGCCUUAGCAAAGUGUCUUUGCAGGCAGGCAGGCAGGCAGGCAGGCAGGCAGGUACAGCCGGGGACUCCUUGGAAAAGGUCUGCCCUCUAAGGUUUCUAGGGUCGUGAAAGAGGAAGUGCUAGUCGGAACUGUAGGUGAUGGUCAUUGUAUUCAACCUCGUUUCAUGAGUCUGGUGGUCCUGUAGGAUGAACCUUUUGCAACAUUCAUUUUGAAACAAACUUUUGAACUUUUUGAGGUUCCCAUGUGGAGGUUAUUACUGAUUAGAAAGAUUGCGCCGAUGCUAUUGGGGAAAAUUCACCACGUGCCCUGGGUUGAAGCUGCUUGCAGUAGGAAUCUUGUCACAAGGGCAAGUUCCUUGGUAACUUGAGCUGUGCUCGUUCCUGAAAUUCUUUCACAUAAUUGAAGAUUAAUUUGAUUGCCCAGAUUGUUGAGGGUGGUUGGCAGUGUGUGUGUGUGGGGGGGCUCUCGGUGGGUGGAAAUAGAUUAUUCAAAUCUCAAAGAAGUAGGUGCGUCCUAAAUGGCGGCAAACAUUUCUGUAUAUGUCACACUUGGGGCUGCGGGAUCCUGUGGGGAGGACAAGGUGUUGAGAAAGCGGGUGCCCCUCAGGGAAGGGGACGUACUUUGUAGAGAGUUGUGGGUAGAAUGGCUACUCCAGAAUCCAUUAACGCCUGCACAAGCCAGCUCAAGGGUUCUGACUUUCUUAAGUGUCUAAUGUAAACAAUAUGAAAGUCAAUAGUGGGGGACAUUCCAAGAUAGUAUUAACACGAUUGAUUUAUUGAAGGUUGCACAAUGGGAGGUUAUCUUUUGUUAAUUACUCAGUAAAUAAGCUAGCAGGAGUCAGUGCAUGGGGGACAAGCAACCAGAGGAGGAAAAGGUGAGGCGCCCAGAUUGUAAUUCCUCACACUUCCAGCUUGUCUUGGGAAAUUCCAGACCACUUUUGCCAACCUGAUACAUUUAGCAGUGUUAAUCCCCGGGACUGGACAUACGUCCUCCAUGAGAAAUUCAAAGGUUCUGAAUUUCUGUCAAAUACUGCAGUGUGCAUUUUUAGAAAUUACUUAUUGAUGCAUUUGAAAAGCAAAGAAAAAGAGCUCCCAUCCUCUGGUUCAAAACUCAAAUGCUUGAGGGCACCAGGGUUGGGUCGGGUUGGAACCAGGUGGCCUAGGAGAGUGGCAAGAGCCCAACUAAUCUGAUCCAUCAUUUGCUGCCCCCCAAGGUCUGCGUUAGCGGGCAGCUGGAAUUGUGGGUAGAGUUGGGUAUCUAAACAAGGUACUCUGAUAAUAAAAUGCAGUCAUCCUAAUAGCUAAGCCAAGCCCUGCUCCAUGAACACACACACACACACACACACACUCUUGAAGUUUUUACUUCAGGAAGAAGUAAAACCUAGCAAUACUACAGGUGUGCGGAGAAGAGAGUGAGAGCAAGAGAGCACUGUCAUCUUGGCCCCAAAUAUAGAAAUCGUGGGGAAGAUACAUGAUCAGCUCAUAUGACAUUGUAACCUCUGAGUAGUAAGUGACUGAAGUAUGAGGAAAGCAUACUGGUUGCUAUUGACAAUUAUUUACAUCACAUUUCAAUGUAGAGGCUACCAUAAUGUGAUAGUUCCUCUUGGAAAAGAAGAGGGAGAGAGAAAAAAGAAAACUUUAUAAAUUCUGGCUGAUUCCUAGCAAUACAGCAUCUAGAUGAAUUAUUUUCCAGACUUUCAAACUUCCAAGGGAGAGUUUAAUAGGUAAAAUUUCUCACUAUUCAUCCCUUUCUGUCUUCUAGAACAUCCAAGAAACAUCAACUCUCCUUUCAAGCCGGUUUCUCUGCUGCCUCCCUAAGGCUUUUGUUUGAUAGUGGACACUCUGUCAGCUCCCCUGAGUCUCUUCUGACUUCUGGCUGCUGCUCUGUAGGGGAAUGUAGAGGUGCAUGACCUGCACAGCAACACUUGCACCAACCCUGCCUCUGUCUCCAUCUGCUGCCCUCCAAGUCUCCCUUCCUGACCCAGCUGUUUCUGUCCAUAAGCACCACCACCUCCUCCUCCCAUUGUCUUUUGGCCCUCAGACUUGUGGUCCACUUUACUUCUCCACUUCCAUCUUUUGUACAUCCAGUAAGCCCUAUAGAAUCCACUUCUUUUACAUACAGUUUUUAAACUGGGGACUUUGCCUCCCAGCUAGGAUAAAGUGGCCCAGGCGUUGACGCAUAGUAAGUAUUCAAUUAACAUCUGUGGAAGGAAGGGAUGGGUAGCUUUUUCUGCAGCCAGGGUCUCUGCUCCAAAAAGAAUCCUACGUAUCUCUGCCUACUCCUGCAUUAUUCUUCAUGGUAAUCGUAUCUGAUCACAUUCUUUCAGGGCUCAGAAACUUUCAGUAUCUAGUUUUUACAAGACAAUCACAAUCAACUUUUUCUUUGUUUUCUCUUCCACCAAACUCCUAAACGCCCUAUGCUCAGUACAGAGCAUUGCUCUCUUCCUUCUAAACUCUUUAUAUCCCUCCACCUUCCUAUUUCAGCUCAUCUUCAUGUCUUCAAUCACUAUGUUUCUUCAACCAGCCUUUAAAAAUGUUAUUUGUUUUCAUUUUAAUUGGAGGAGAGAAAGAAAGAGAGAGAGGCUCACUCCCCAAAUGUCUGCAACAACCAAGGCUGGGCCAGGUGAAGCCAGGAGCCUGGAACUCCAACCAGAUCUGCUACACUGAUAGAGCCAUCACAUGCUGCCUCCUGGGGUAUGCAUUAGCAAGAAGCUAGACUGAAAGCAGAGGCAGAACUUUAACCAGGGAGUUCAGUAGGGGACAUGGGUGUUCCAGGCUGGCAUCUUAACUAGUGCAUCAAAUGCCCACUCCCUAUCAGCUUUUUAAGUUGAAUUUUUACUUUGUUUUUCAUGCCCAUCUCAGAUGCUAUCCUAUCUGUGGAGCUAUUGUUGGUUCUCUUUUUCUGCCAAGCUGGGUGUGUUCUCCCGAUAUAAAUCAAUUGUGUUCAAUCUGGAUUGCAGGUGUAUCUGUGCUUGAUUUGCUCUUUCCUAGUAGAAAGUAAAUGCUUGGGAGGCAAAGGCUAAAUCUUCGUCUGUCUUUAGACUCCCAGUGCCUCAUUCAUAGUAGGACACAGAAUACUAUGAUUGACUUACAGUGAAAUAGUAGAAGCAAUUAUUUAACUUAUGGAUAAACAAUAAUAUGAAAUUACUUUGAAAGGAUCAUGGAAAAUGAAAUGAAAAGAUAAGUUUAUGCCACAGUGUUGUGGCAUAGCAUGUAAAACCACUUGCCCCUAAUGUAGGCAUCCCAAAUGGGUGACGGUUCAAGUUUUAUUUGCUCCAUUUAUGAUUCAGCUCCCUGCUAAUGGCCUAGAAGGAAAAGUAGAAGAUGGCCCAAGAGCUUGUGCCCCUGCCACCCAAAUGGAGCCUCUGCCUCCUGGCUGUGUCCUGGCUCAGCCCUGGCUAUUGUGGCCAAUGGGGAGUGAAUCAGUGGAUGGAAGACCUCUGUCUCUUUCUCUCUCUCUUAUCUCUGUCUAUAACUCUGAUUUUCAAAUAAACAAAUCUUUAAAAUGUCAGGAUAAGCUUAUUUUGCAGCAAAAUUCUGAGAUCUAUGUACACAGUUAUUAAAAAUUCAUGAAAAUGCAGAAUAUGAAAAAGUUAUACAUGGAUUUAUUUUUGCAGCAAAAUAAAUAUAUAUUUUCAUUUCAUAUUCUUCCAUGAAUCUGUUGAAGUACUCUUGUACAGUAAUUGUUAAAUUAUUAUUUUUUACCAUUGCAAGAUUUUUCUUUUAUUUUUGAUUACAUGUUAUUGAUCAGCACUGUGUGUGUUUCUGCAUUUUCCAGUUCACUUAACUCCACUAUUCUUGAAAUACAUGUCUGUUAAUCAUUGUUUUAGACUUCUCUUCUGAAGAGGGGCUGAAGUAUGGGGGCAAAGCCCCUUCUGUGUGUGCUGCCGUGGCUUUCUGCUCUUUCUUUGCCCAUCAGUGUCUUGGAGUUAGUUCCAGUGCACACAGUGCUGCCUAGUCACUGUGGCCACUUUCUAGGAGCCUGUGAACAUUUGGGGAGAAAAGACACUGCUGUCUCCUUUACCCCAUAACAAUGAAGACAUCAGAUUAAUACAAUCUUUAAAUUCCUGUAGGAUGCUUGCAGGAGAGUUGUGUUUGCUUUAACACAAAGGAAUACUUUCUGAACUCUAAAGGUCACUCAAGAAAUAAUGGAGAGAGGCUUAUGAAUCAUGUAUGCUGAUAGUAGGGGAAUGGCAUGUGUCCUUCAUAUAGUGUUCUGACUUUGGAGCUAGCUGGCAUGGAAAGGGCCUGAGCUUUAGUCUGAGAGGCAUUUCCUGGGCAAGGAAUCCCCUGUAUGGAGGGGGCAGGCCAUCAGGAGAGUCUGAGCUGAAAUUCCAGUAUUCAUCAAAUGAGUGUAAUGUUCUCGCUAAUGGGAUUUAGCCACAAUACCUAUCCCUAACCUUGUCACCAAAAAAGGUAGUCUACAAGCCCCUUUUUUCAAUACGGUCUGCCUGGUGGCUGUGCAGAAGUCUGUUCUCCCAAUUUUCUAAGUGGUAAUCCUAGAAUUAUCUUGGCUCAGAAAUAAAUGAGGAACUCAUGUACAGGACUCAAAUUUCCCUACAGGGCUUGUAACUGAAACAAGGAUUAAGUGCCAGUACACAAAACCUCCCAAGCAAUGGACAACAUGUCAAUUGCUAAACAUCGUAUCAUAGAAGGCCCUCUGUUUUUCUCUUUUAUAAAGCUUGAGAUCAAGUUUUCGUAGGCAGUAAAAAGCAAGGCAAUUGAACUCCUUUAAAGGAUUGCUUGUUGGGAUGGAUAGAGCUAUAUUUAGCGCUGUGUUGUCUCUCCAGGAAGUUAAAACAACUAGGCAAUUAAAGGGUAAAUGGUGAGUGUGUGUGAGUAUAGAGGGUAUGCAGGAGGAGAAGAGGUUGGGGAGGUGAUAAUGCAGUCUUAGAAAACAGACUGUUCAAGAAAAAAAAAAGUUCCGCACAGUUGUAUGUUAUCCAGCAGAGAAAACAGCCUUUGAGUAAGCACCUGUUACGUAUCACAAAUGUUUAUUUUGAAUGGUGCAGAUUGAGAAGAGGACUGUGCAUUAGAUAAUCUCUCAUACUCAAGCCCACUGUAUAGUAAUAGUAGUAGUAAGAGUAAACUCUCUGCCAUUUAUUGAGGACCUACUAUAUCCCAAACACAGUGCUUUCCUUUUAUUCCAUCAUUCAGUGUUGACAGCUGCUCUGGGAAGUGGAUCACUGGAGUGAUUGCUCGAGACCAUGCAGCUGCUAUGUCGCUGUAGCAGAUGUGACUCUAGGUCUUUCUCUGACCCCAUUUUUAGUUGCUUCUAUAGUCUACCUCCUGUGUUGCUCCCUCCCCAUUGCACUGGUAUUUCAUGAUUGUAAAUUCAUGUAUGAGAGCCCUUUGACUUUUUCAGGAAGAGGCAUGAAACACACCUACAUACAUAAUAUACAUACACAUACAUUUGUAUAUAUAAAUCUACAUCUAAAUCUACAUUUUAAGUGGAUGGUAUCCUUAAAAAAACUAAUGAGGAACUCUCAUUUACAUUUUAAUUUAGAUCCAGGUUUUCUGGAACUACAACUCACGCAUUUUCUUUCUCUUUUUAAAUCCCCUCUCCCCUCUUUUAUCGAUUAUGAUUCCUGGAGACUGUGCUUUGCUCAUAUUCUAGAUAAUAGGUCAUAGGGGUGGGGCAGAAAUUGGCAAGAUAGAAACUCAUCAUGAAAAGACACAGGUAUAUAUGGCAUAGAUCCAGCUCUUGGUGGUCUUUCCUCUUCCAUUUUACACGGCAAUUUUAAAUCCUGUUCAGAUUGGCACAUUUUGUUUUAAGCUCUGGGUAAAAUCAGGUAGAUGACAGCCAGUGAUUCUGAAUGGAUGCUGUGUAUUUAUGAAAGGUUAAAUAAUUUGACCUGAACUAAGCAUAGGAGUCUUUUAAGGAUGGAGUUUAAAAUUCCAGUGCGUUGGCUGGCACUGCGGCUCACUUGGCUAAUCCUCUGCCUGCAGCGCCAGCACCCUGGGUUCUAGUCCCAGUUGAGGUGCUGGGUACUAGUCCCUAAUGCUCCUCUUCCAAUCCAGCUCUCUGCUGUGGCCCAAGUGCUUGGGUCCCUGAACCCACAUGGGAGACUGGGAGGAAGUUCUCGGCUUCUGGCUUCGGAUCGGCACAGCGCCGGCCGUAGUGGCCAUUAGGGUAGUGGCCAUCAGGGGAGUGUCUCUCUCUCUCACUGUCUAACUCUGCCUGGCAAAAAAAAAUUCAGUGCAUUUAGUGCAAAGUGUGCAUCUCUCCUCUUACUGAGAUGGGUGAGAAACUUGUACUACAUCUUUUGGAAGACUAUUGCUCACUCUACAAAAAGGUAUAUGAACCAGAAGUAAGUUACUGGAAUGACACAGUUUUAGUUUAAUGCCUUAUAUACAGAAGGGGCUCAAUUACUGGAAAAUGAAAUUUAGAAAUAAACAUUCAGAUGUGAAGGUGGCAUUAAAGUUUUCUCAGAGUAAAUGAUAGAUUGCUUUCAAUCUUAUUGCAUUUCUUUGGAUCUAGUUGGAUGAUAUUAUCUCUCAGGUUCUGUUGAGCCCUAAUAAUCUAUGAAUCAAUAACAGUCAGACUUCCUUUCAUUUUCUAGUCCAUCGGGAUAAGGAUAAAGUGGUCAAGGAUUCCAAAAUCAGCUGUUGAGCCCAGAUAUAGUUGUAGAUAUAAAAUGGAGUCUCCCCUCCUCCCACAUCAAAGAGUUUUUGGAGCCUCAAGUCUGAACCAGAUGAGGAGGAGAAAUUAACACUAAGCAUCUACAGCAAUGGUGAAUAUAAAAAUAUGGGCUCAUUGCAGAGACCUGGGAAUCAAUUCUCAGGGGAUGGUCCUGCUGCCAGGGAUUAUUUAAUUACAGGCGACUCCUGAUUGCCUGUGAAGGAACGAGAUGGAGUGAGAAAACUCAAACCAUGGAUAUUGCAAAAUCACAGAAAUUGUCUUGGGAAUUUUCUGUAAAGUUUCCCCUAGAAAUUUGCCUUCCUAAUUGUGUUUUGCUUAGCCCAAUAUUAAAAAUUAGCGGCUUUCCCUGGAGUAGCUUUGAAGCUGAACUACAGAGGGAAAUUGUUCAGAGACUUACCAACUGGAAUAUGGAAUAUGGAAUAUGGAAUAUAGAGAAUGAAUCAUUUUCUUGUGCUAAUGUAACAAAACAACCUCAAAGUUAUUUUAAUGUUACAAUAAAAUCAUACCUUGAGGAUUUACCAGUCUUCGUACAUUGCUUGUUAUGCUACAAACAUCUGAAGUGAUUUAGUCAAAGAGAUGAUUCUGUCUUAGGUGUGUAUGUUUUUACUCUGAGAAGUCCACUCCUUGGAAAGUGUACUAAAUAUGGUCUGUGUCUCUCAGACUCAAGUGCGGAUCCUUCAUAUCAAAGGGUGGAAGUUAUUUAUUGAAGGAAUCAAUGCUAUAACUUAGGCAGGGUCUCAUCUAGAGCGCAGUACAUCAAGCUAGAUUUUUUUAUAGAAAGCUUUAUUUAAUAAACAUAAAUUUCAUAAGUAUAACUUUUGGAUUAUAGUGGUUCUUCCCCCAAUACCUGCCCUCCCACCCCACUCUUGUCCCACCUCCUACUCCCUCUUCCAUCCCAUUCUUCAUUAAGAUUCAUUUUUAAUUAUCUUUAUAUACAGAAGGUCAACUCUAUACUAAGUAAAGAUUUCAACAGUUUGCAUCCACACAGGCACACAAAGUAUAAAAUACUGUUUGAAGACUAGUUUUACCAUUAAUUCUCAUAGUACAACACAUUGAGGACAGAGGUCCAACAUGGGGAACAAGUACACAAUGACUCCUGUUGUUGAUUUAACAAUUGACACUCUUAUUUAUGACAUCAGUGAUCACCUGAGGCUCUUGUCAUGAGCUGCGAAGGCCUUGGGAGCCUCUUAAGUGCACAAACUCCAACAUUAUUUAGACAAGGCCAUCAUCAAAGUGGAAGUUCUCUCCUCCCUUCAGAGAAAUGUACCUCUUUCUUUGAUAGCCCCUUCUUUCCACUGGGCUCUCACUCACAGAGAUCUUUCAUGUAGGUCAUUUUUUGCCACAGUGUCUUGGCUUUCCAUGCUUGAAAUGCUCUCAUGGGCUUUUUAGCCAGAUCCAAAUGCCUUAAGGGCUGAUUCUGAGGCCAGUGUGCUGUUUAGGGCAUUUGUCAUUCUAUGAGUCUGCUGUGUGGUCUGUCAAGCUAGAUCUGAAAUGACACAACUGGAUGUGGAUCUCAAUCCUGAAUCUACAAAGUAUUCCCACAGGGGUUCUUUUUAUAUUUUAUUUCACAAUAGGUUUAAACUUACAAAGCAAAAACUGUGAGGUAGUAAUAUAAAGAGUUCCCAUGUACCCCUCAACCCAGCUCCCCUAUUAACACCUCAUAGUAAUGUCUUUGUCAUGAUUCCUGACUGAGCUCCCCACCUCUUUCUGUCAUUCUCCUAAAUUUAAAUUAUUUCAUAUUCUAAUAGUGCUUCAAUAUAUAUAUAACCUGAAUGUAGGCAUGCAUUCCUUAAGAUUAUGGCUGCUACACAACUGCAAAUCCAACAGAAAUUUACAGAUUGAACUCAAACGAAACAGCAAUCUUCAACACUCAAAUUAACAGAAUGAAUUCAGUGUGAGAGAUGAUGGUUUGCUAACAUGAAAUCCCUACUCUGGGCGUUGGGAUUACACCAGCUGGUCUGCUGGAGCCGUUGUGAUCUUAGCCCUCUGUAUUUCCUUGUGACCCAUACAACAGUUUGCUUUACCUUCUGCAAGCUGCUGGCCUACAUAUCCUGCCAGGACAUCGCUGGACCUUCACGUGGCAUGAAUCCACCAUUUACUUACUAGAGAUCUCACAUACCCUGGCAUGAGUUACUUUCAAUAAAAAAAAGAGUGAAAGCAAAGUUGCUAGGCCCCUCACAAGAUGUUGGGAGGAAUCUAUGCACAGGAGAGUACUGGAGCUCAGGCUUGAUUGGCUUCACACCAAAUCCAUCUGUGUCCACGGAUGAAGCCCUUCUUUGUCCCUGUUGCCCAUAAAGAGGGAUGACCUGGUGACAAUGGCAUUUUUGAAAGUUUAUUUUUUGGAGAUCAACUUAAAGUUAUGUUAAUGUUUUUUUUAAAGCUUAGUCUAAAAAAAAAAACCAAAACAUUUCUAGGAUAACAUAGAGAUAGUUGAGAAAUACCUUUGCAUCAAACACUUUUCCCAGGAUAGAUUCCUAGGUGGAGAUACUGGGACAAAGCUAGACGUUUUGUCAUAUUUUGCUAAAUUGGAUUUAUGGAGAUCAGAAUUUGGGAUGGAAGCAGAGAGGCAGCAAUUUGCCAGAACAACGUUUCCCAACUGCCCAAGCUUUCUGUGCUGGAUCUUUGGACGUAGCCACUGUUGAGUGCACAGUCCCUGGAAUGUGUACUGGCCCAGCCCCUGGCCUAACGACAAGGUUAGGAGGAGAGGACCCUUGGGCACGGAGGGCCUUAGGGAAUCACAGGCCAGUGUUUCUCUGGGGGUCAGAGGAAAGCACAGAAUCCAGAGGUCAGGCUCUGCCUCAGGGACAAUGUCUCAGAGUCCAGUGGUUGUAAUCAGGUGUGCUCUGAGUCAGAGCUUGGAGGCAAGCUGCAGGCAGAGGACUACUGAAAGGUCAGACAGACAACGGAAACCAGAGGUCGGGAAGAAUUUGGAGUCAUGGUAUCAGUUGGCAGGGUGGGGCAGAUACUAACAUCACCAUCAAGCGAGUUGCAUUCUUUGGAACCCAAGGUUUUCCUGCUUUCCCUUCCUGGGAGGACUCGUGCAUGCAGGACUUGGCUCAUAGACCAUGGAUGAGGACAGGAAAUGGGUGUGACUCUUCCUUACCGGAGAGAUCCUGGAAUUAUUUUUAUCACAGUAGAAAGGGGAAUAAAGAAUGAUAGUCAAGAUCUGACCUCUCCUCCCAGGCUCUCUUCCUCCUAAGGGAGACGACGAGGAGAGAGCAUCUGUGGUACAUGCUUUCAGCGUGCACAGUCUGAGCUGAGCUUAGUUCUAAGAGCGUGUUUAUGGUGGAGCACUUUAAGGCUUCGCAUUAAAGAGCUCUACCCUUCCAUCUCCUUAUCUUACGACUGUGAAGUUCAAGUGGAAGCAUAUAUAUGUAUGUAUCUAUGACAUAUAUGUAUAUAUAUAGUGCAUGCAUGUACAUGUGUGCAGACACACACAUACACACAUAGUGACUUCAAAAACUUCAUGGAAAAUGGAAUUAGAAGCUAGAUAGCUAGAUUUAUUUUGGAGCAAAAACCUUUGAACUUCAAAAAGUUCAUAGGAAGUACAUAUUAGGAAAUGCUAUGCAUGGAUUUCAAAAUAUUUUUUGCACAAAAUAAAUCUCUUUUAAUUCCAUUUCAACGACCUUUUUGAAGUACCAUAAACGCAAGCAUUUUGUCAACAAUGAAUAACUACCAUACACCAGGUUAUUAGAAUCCCAUUUCUUUCCAAUGGAGGAGCUUAUUUUUAGCUUACCUGAUAAUUGUUUUCAGGUGAGAAUCUCACCUAAUUAAGAUCGUCUUUUCAUUUUCUUUAUAUUUUAGUUUCUUCUCUGCUUUCUGUUGGGAAAUGAUUGCAUUGGAAAAUUUAUAUCAGAAAAAUGUUCUUAGAGAAGAUUUAAAGGGAAACCUUCUUCUAAAACUUGGAGCCAUAAGAACUACCUGUUUAUCUCAUCAAGCAAGUCUUUAAUAGGGUACUCUCACCUGAUGCGGUAGCAGACUCUAAAUUCCCAGUCACAUGAAGUCUUAUCAGUUAUACGACUGAGAAAGAAUUAGCUGCUCUGUUUGGGUAAGAUGAUAGCUGUGGGUUCACUCAUUUUUCUUGAAAUAUUUGGGAUUUGAAAGCUUAGAAAAUAAACAGGUUGUUUUGUUCAGGGAACCUUUUCUGCGUGAGUAAGCACAGUUCAUCUGAUGACAUUAGCUUUGCCCAUAAUUUCCGUGAUGUCAAGGGCACCCACCGGAGAUUAAAGCAGGAUUAAGACCCACUUGCUCAGUCAAAGCAGCACACUAAAUUGACUUGACUUGGCAGCUGCCCCUCGAGUUGGCACCUUUUCACCACCUAAUCAUACACAACCCUGGUUUGUGGUGUUAGCGUGGCUACUUUUCACAGAGGCCAAGAAAUGUGAAGCAGGCAAAGUGGGAGGGGAAAGUGGCUGAGAAAGAGGGGUAGACAUGCAGGGGGUGCCCUCACCCCAGCUGCCAUCAAGACUUGCCCAGGAGGAUUACGGCGCUAAGGAGAAAGGUUUCUCUUUUUUGUUCUUGUUUUCAGAAUGUUUCAAACAUGAAUUUAGUUUUUUGUUUACCUUCCUCCCACCCACUCUGGAGUCUUCCAGAUAUGGCUGUCUCUUCAAGCCUUUUUAAUCCUUCAUAUUAUUAUCAACUGUUCUGCAAAAAGCAGUCAGGUUUGCCCAGGAACUUCAGGGAAUAAAGAUGAGUUUGUGUUUUAAAAAGGAAACAGCUGGAUGGCCAGAGCCAGGCAGGGAGGCAGCUCUUGUUUCAUUAGCAAAGGGAAACUUGAGGGUCCAGAGAGAACAACUGGGCUGGCAGCCACGGAGAGGAGAAGAAAAGGAAACACACGAUCAUAAAGAACUAAUCAUGAAAAAUGGAAAGUGAGGACGAGCCAAGAACAACAAGCAAUAAAUAGAUUUGGAAGGGGGAGAAGUCGGAGAGGAAUGCAGUGCCACUCUCAGGAAGGGGCAGCAGGAGUGUGUUUGUCUCCCUGGAAAAAACGAAAUCAUUCUGAAAAUCAUUGAAAAGACCCACAGAAGAUGUUUUAAGGCAACAUUUCAGACCUGGGUUUUAGUUCCUUGUGUCACUUCAGAGCCUAUUUCAGUGCAUGGUAAAAAAAAAAAAAAAAUCAACUCCAGUUAGAACGAGAAACUUCACGUGGAAUGUCCCAGAGUGUUUUCUUCCUUUUUGCAUUUUUUCUUUUAAUUUUUAAUUUCUGCCUGAUGGUGGGGGAAGGAAGCAAUUAGUUGGCUAUGUAGGUUCAAAGACUAUAUCCAAACUAAUAAAUCAAGUGUUUCGAAGUGUAACUCCAACAAUGCUAGCCUUGAUUAGACGGCAGACACAUUUGUACCUGUGUAGUAAUCCCCUUGUCCAUUUGUUUGUCAUGAGUAGGUGAUGAUUCAGUACACACAGGUACAUCUCUAAAUAUUUUCAGAUGACAUUAGCAUGGGUUUAAGGAAGACCUAAGAAGAAAACCAGAUCUCAGUCUCUCCUCCCCUAUAGUGAAAUCUGUUCAACAUUAUAAAGUACACAAACAUGGCCAACAGUCCAGAAAAUCCUAGAGAGAAGGGACUGUUUUAAACUAUUUAAAAUUUCACAUUAGUUACAGGUAAUCCUUUACCAAUGAAAUGCCGCUAGUCUUUCAUUUUGGAGGGGUGGUGCUUAUUAGCCUUUUAAAAAAUUAGUUUUUAAUAGCAGCAUUUGUUUAAGGAAGAAGAAAAAAUGCUUGGUGGUGCCUUCUGGAAUGUACAUUAAUCUUGUUAAUGACACCACAGUUCGUGUCUGGCAAAACAGGACUUGUGAAUCAACCUGAUACUUCUUUUCCCUUCUCCUCCCCCCACCCCCUCCUUUUUGUGGUCACUAUACUUGAGAAAUAAAGCUGGGGCACUAACGAUACAUGAAAAGUGCAUGAAGACAGGAUACAGGAUUUCCUAUGAUUUUAUGUUGUUCUUAAUUAGGAAGCAUAUUGGCAGCAAAUGCUAACAUGUGUUAGGAUGUUUAGUUGUAGCCAAAUAAAUGUUUUCUAUUACAAUUCUGAAUUCCAUGCCUCGUCGGAACCCAUGCUGUUCUGCUCAUGGCUCACAAAAUCUCUUUACAAGUCAUCUCAAGGGCCAAUUUUCUGUUGGCUCACAGAGAAAACUACUUUCACCACAUGUUUUCCUGAAGGGUCAUCCACAAGUCCAGGUGGGAGUGGGAGAUAGGAGGAGAACAGUCCCUGAUGUUGGCUUGGGGUUGCUUGAUGGUACAAGUGGUCUUUAAUGAGGAUACUCAAUUUGAACUCUGAGUCGGAAAUGAGCAUCAACAAGCCAAAGCAGCAUCCUUUCAGCUAUGUUUACUUUUUUUCUUGCUGGGGGAGGAGCCAAGGGAAAAAAGAUGGAUGAUUUAGCAAAAAACAAAACAAAACAAAACAAAACAAAACAAAACAAAACAAAAAAACAAGCAAUGAGUUAAGGUGGUUACAUUAGGGAAAUGUUUGCUUGUGUACACUUGGAACCAUGUACUAGUAUAUUUAUUUUAAGCAUUGCCUGCAGGAGCAAAAUUUGGAAACAAUUUAAAUGUCCAUCACAAGGGAAUGGAUAAAUAUAUUGUGACAUAGAGUACUCUAAAAAAAGGGAUGAGUUACUACCUCUCAAUAACAUGUUGCGCAGGGAAAGUAAAGAUGGAAAGUAAUGUUUCAGAAUAGUAGAGUGUUAUCAUUCCAUUUGGUGAAAGAAACCCAGUGCGGCUGGCAUUGAGGCUUAGAGGGUUAAGCCGCCACCUGCAAUGCAGGCAUCCCGUAUGGGCACUGGUUCAGGUCCUGGCUGCUCCACUUUUAAUCCAGCUCCCUGCUGGGGCAUGGGAAGGCAACAGAGAAUGGCCCAACUGCUUGAGCCCUGCCCACCAUGUGAGAAACCCAGAGGAAGCUCCUGGCUCCUGGCUUCAGCCCAGCCCUGCCCUGACUAUCGCAACCAUUGAGGAGUGAAGCAGUGGAUGGAAGAUCUCACUCUCGCUGACUCUCACUCUUUCUCUGUAACUCUGCCUUUCAAAUAAAUAAAUAAAUCUUAAAAAAGAGCUGCAAUUCAAGUAAAAAAGGAAACCCAAUGUAACAAUGGGUUUGUAUAAAUGUAUGCAAGAAUAUCCCAUCAGUUCUGGAUAGCAAUGUAUGCCAAGUAGUUCUAUUUCGUAGGUGCUAGAGAAGGAAAAAGCUAGGUAAUAAGGGAAGAGUAUCUUUUUAUCUUUACCAGUAUAUGCUUUUAAAAAGAAAGUAUUAUAUUUCCAAUCUAAGGUUAAAAACUAGUGAAUAGUGAUUGAGUUUCCUAAAUUCAUUAUCAAAGUAUUUUCCCUAAACAUGGCUAUUACAGUGUAAGCUGACUGUGUAAGAUCUCAAUGCUGUUAGGGGAUAUUUGGUGCAGAGUUUCUGUCUGUGUUAGAAAUUUCCAAAAAUCUUUCACUGUUGGGUCUGAGAGACUGCAUAUACUUUCAUAUAUGUAGCUAACAUGACACAGCACUUGACUCUUAGUGGGAAACUCCUUUUUCCACAUCAUCCAUGAGUGAACUUGGAUUUCUAAGGGCUAAUUGAGGUAUUCAUCCACUAUGCUGUGACCACACUGCCUGCAACUCUUCUGCUCUUUCUCACUUGGGUGCUUGCUCAUAGGUCAGCCUCCCCUUCUGGAACAUUCUUUCCCCAAAGUUUGCCUCUUCCUUCACCUCAUUCAGGUCCCUUCUCAGUUGUCCCCACUCCCAAAGCUUUCCCUGAUCUCAUCAUUGUCUCCUCUCCUCUAUUUGCAAAUAUUUAAUUAUUUAUUUAUGUUCAUUCAGUUAGCUAGCUCCUUCCCCUCCUCUAGAAUAUUUCAAGGGGGAAGGAAAUUGUUUUGCUUUCACUGCUACACCUUAAUACUGCACGGCAUAAGGGACACAGAAGAUGUUCAGGAUACAUGUAAUUUAUUCCCUGAAUUAGCAGGACAUGGUGUUUUUGUUAUUUAUUAUACAUCCAUAUGUGACAUCGUCAAAGCCUGGGAGAUUACUAAACCAUUUUCUCCAUUUUAUAUGUAAAAUUUUUGUUGUUCCUAAUAAGAAUCAGCCAUACAUGCAGGCUGCUUUUUACUUUGACUCAUAAACAAUUCUACUCAGUAUAUGGGCCUAAAAAUUUAACAAUAAAAAAAGCAAGAAUGUACAAAACAGCAUUCAGCUAGUGAAAGGGGACUUUUUUUCUACAUUCUUGAAUGAAGAUCUCAUAACAUAUAUCAGAUCUUUCCUAAACCAUGAAAUGAAAUGACUGGCUAUCAGGACUAAUUUUGAGAAGAAAAACUGUCAUCUCCAAAGCAGUAAAAUCUCCAUAAAGCAGUGUAAACUAAUUACCAGGUUAAAAUCACUGGAAUCUAUCAGGGCCUCCUCAUGUCCCCAAGGCAGACAUAAUACAGUAAUUCUCUAAUAGUCACUCUGGGAAGAUACUGUAAUGGGUGGGAUGAAGUCAUUACAACAGUCUCACUUAGUUCUGGUCCUGAGACUUAUAAAGAGAAUGUUGGCAGCAGAUCACAUGUGCAGAAGAGAUGACUCUCCGUGGAGCAUCAGGCUAGCUGGCCUUGCCCAGUCUCUGGGCCAGGAGCUCAGUGGAACUCAAGUGAGGAGAGCUCACUUACUUAUCCUGUUCAGACAAGGAAUGUACACUUCGAAACCUAUUCCAGGAUUUCUUCUCACCCCUCCUGAUUGAAAGUGAGGAAAAUAUUUUGUAUAUUGUGCUUUCUAUUUUAGGUUAUUUAGAUGCUUGCAAAUAUUUUAUGUUUAUGUGUGCAAGUAAUAUAAACUGAAAACAUGAGCAAAUCCUACCAGAAGCCUCAGGAAAAAAAAAAAAAAAAACAAAAAACAGAAAAACCACAACAAUCAAACCAGGUGUACAAUAACGGACCCUGUGUUUCUCUCUUUUCUAAAAAAGGUUUAUUUAUUUAUUCAUUUAUUUGAAAGAUGGAGAGAGAGAGAGAGAGAGAGAGAGAGAGAGAAUCUUCCAUCUGCUGGUUCACUCUCCAGAGGGCUACAACAGCCAGGUCUGUUCAGGCUGAAGCCAGAAGGCAAGAACUCUAUUCUGGUCUCUCAUAUGAACGGCAGGAGCCACCGUUGACCACCUUCCUUGGUGCAUUAACAGGGAGAUAGAUCAGAAACAGGGUAGCCAGGACUCAUAUUGGUUCUCCGUCAUGAGAUACUGGCAUCUCAAGCAGAGGCUUAACUCUCCGUGUACAAUGCCAGCCCCCUAUUGCAUGUUUCUCUAGACUAGUAAAAAGCUCUAUCUUUUAAGAAGUCAUGUUGGUACUUGGGGUAAACCAAAAUGACUGGAUAAACUCAUUGGAACAGUGGGUGUUUAUUUUAUUAGAUAAUUUUGUACAUACACAUACAAACGUCCAUGGAAAAUGGAACUAAAAGAUAUAUUCAUUUUAGUGCAAACAUUUUUGAAAUCCAUGCAGUUUUAUCAUAAAAUGCAUGUCCAUGAACUUUUUGAAGGCCUCCCCAUCACGUGUGUCUGCACAGGCACAUGUAUUUACAUUGGUGACAUUUGUUUUCUCAAGCCCUCAGAUAAUCUUUGACAACGCAGCAGGUAAUCAUAGCUCAUCACCCUGGGUUGUAAUGGAUUGUUUACACUUAUGUCAUUCUCAUGAGAUUAUGCACCGUGAAGGGAAGGACUUCACCUUGUUUGCUUUAUUCCCCAGUGUCCACUUUGUGGAAUGGAUGAACCACCUUUAAAAGCAGCAGAUCUGUGCUUUUCAUAACUGUUAACUUUUCCUAGAGGUAUGAAUUGGAAAUAGAAGUUGUUGAGAAAAUGGCCGGUGCUCAGAAACACAAGUUCACAAGACACAAAGCUGAUCUCUUUGUGUUCUGCCAUGGUGAUUUCCACCUUGGCUCCAGGCUAUAUACUCAUGAAGGAGAGGGUUAGGAAUCAGACUUCCUUAAACUGGUGAGUGCUGAGCCACACACUGACCAUCAUACACGAGAAGUCAAAAUGGGAAGAGACAUUAACAUUUGCCUAAAUGGCUUGCACAGGAAAAGCUGGACACCUCCCCCCGCUCCAAUUAACGUGGAUGGAAAUCUUUGAGUAGAUUUGGUUCUUCCCUCUGUGUUCUUAGCCUGACGUUGCCUGGCUGGCCGGUGUGUCCCUUUGGAAUUGAUAAUGAGGUUCAAGAGAGGUGGAGCCUUCACUAAACAUGUCACCCCUAUUUAGCACCUUUUCCAGGAUGGCAGCCACUAUUGUUUUAUUAUGUCCCUGAUCAGCUGUCACUAUUCAUGAAGUAAUCACUGCCAUUAACACGUCACGCCUCAAGCCAUCUGCUGCAGAAAGGCACACACGGAGUUGUUGGUUGCAGGCAAAGCAGGUGUCACCUAGGACUGACAGUCCCAUGGUAAAGGCGGGAGUCACCAUGGUGAGAUAGGAUGUCAUGUCAAGUAAUUCUAUUUUUAUUUGAUGUAUUACAGUCAAUGGACAAUAACAUUCCUGCUCAACUUGCAGAAUGUUAAAAAAUUCAUAUUUGAGGUAAUUGAAUUCAAUAUUGGUUUUGGGGACAAAAAUGUCAUUAAAUGUCUUGACAACAGUAUCUAGAUUAUAAAUGGACGAUUGUGUGAAAUUUGCAGUCAAGUUUAAAGUAUUCUUAAGAAAAGUAAACUUUUGACCAUUUGAAUCUUUUUCUAGCAAUCAUUUAUUGAGCAUGUACUAAGAACUGGGGGUGGCCCAGUCAAAAUGUAAAAUUACUGUUCUCAAAAACAUCAUCAACUAAUGUGUGCUGUGGGGAUUCCUGCAUUUGCAACCUUUGAUCUGUCCCUAACAACACUUGUGUUGAUUUUCAAAAAUUUCAGUUUCUUAUUACUUUCCAUACUGAUUAGAUUUCAUGUAGACAUAUAGGAAAGUGAGUUUGCAUUGGGAAACUAUGAUAAUUUAAUAAAGUCUCUCAAGAAGGAUGAUAAUCAGUUAUCUUUAUCACCUUCAUUAUAAAGGGGAAUUAAAUUUAUACAAUGGAGAGAAUUAGAAAUUUAAUUCAGGACUUCAAGUGCUGUUAGAAAGUGAGAUGAGUGAUUAUACUUGGGUCUAAAUAUCCUUCUAGUAUCUUCCACUACUGCAUAUACAGUAGAAUUGCAUUCCAAAUUUCUUUAACUUCAGAAAAUUUCCUUAUUUGCCCCAGGCGAAUAAGAAAAAGAAAUACAAAAAUUUAAGUGUGGUAGCUACUUCCAUGAGUUUUGCUUUUUUACCCCUGGGAAUGAAGAAGGUUGGUUGAAGGUUGGAUUUGCCAGCCCGUCAGUUACUUUUAGCAACAACCCCCAGUUCCCCUUGUUCGUGUGAGCAUUUUGCUGCAUGGGUAGUGGUUUAGGGCAUGCACAACACAGUACUGUUAACUCUGAUGCACAUAUCUAUACGUCAUACAUGUUAAUGAUGGUUUAUGGGGUGUUUCAAGGAUAAAUGUGACUCUAACAUUUAGAGUCUGUCCUGUGUGGAGUUAUGUUACUCCAUUAAAAAUUAAAUUAAAGAGGCUUACACAAUCCUGAAGUCUAUACGAAGCAAGAUAUCCAUCUUUCUAUAUCAGGAUUUCUCACCUUCUUUUGAACCCAAUUUCCUUUUGAGAAAUAUAAAAAUCUCAAGCUUUCUCCCCAACCCUGGAGAUCUGUAGGGCCAUCUGUUGAAAACAAAAAUAUAUAACCAGGCUUUAUUUUGGUAGUUUGUAUUAAGAAAAAUGUUUUCUAUUUUUUGGAAUCUAUAAUUGUGAUACAAACUGUAUGUGCUUUUCAAAAAGGAUUCCCUUUUUCUUUGGAGAUUGUGAUAUGUCCUGCUCUUCAUAUGAUUCUAUUUCUCUGCCAUGCCGCAAGAAUCAUGAGUGUAGAUUUCAGAUAGGAAUCAGACUGUUUCAUUUUAAAACCGUCUAAAUAUGAGAGCCCCUGUGGUUUGGAUGUUCUCCCUGGAAUUCACUUGUUGGAAACUCGAUGCCCAAGGCAGCAGUGUUGGGAGGCGGGGGCUAAUAAGAGGUGAUUAGGUCAAGAGGGCUCUGACCUAAUGAAUGGACUAAUGUCUUUAUGGUUGGGCAUUGGCUGCUUAUCCUGAGAGUGGAUAGUGGAUUUGUUCUAACAGUGGCAUCUCUCUCUCUCUCUCUCUCUCUCUCUCUCUCUCUCUGUCUCUCCUUCUCUCUUGAUAAGGUGCUCUUCCACCAUGCUAUGGUGCAGCAUGAAAGCUGUCUGCCAAGGCUGGGGCCAUGCUCCUAGAAUUUUCAGUCUCCAGAACACUGAACCAAAUACAUUUCUAUUGUUAAUAAACUUCUAUUGCUACUCUGUAAUGGACAGAGACAGGGCCAUUUUAAUUCUAAGCAUCAAAUUUGGGGAUCUGAGAUGCAUGCCAUUCAAAUGGCUCUAUCAUAGUGGCUCCUAACUACACUUAGAAGAAACAUAAAGAUAUAUGAUUCUUGAGUUCUGACCCAAAUCACUUACAGUGUUAUGUAUGGCUUUACAAGUCCAACCAAGAAAAUGGCUAAUAUUUCCUGUAUGUUGUGCAGGCGAUUGUAACAUUUUUGUUAAGUUAUCAGGGAUUGAGGGAGGCAAAGAGGGAGGAAGGGAAAUGUGGUUAUCUUAGAAUCAUAUAUAUGAACUACAUAAAAACUGUUCUCUUUAAUAAUUUUUUUAAAAUUGUAAGGCAGUAUAGAUUAAAAUUAAAAGAGUGUUUUAUUAUAUCUUCCUGACAAAAGAAUGAAUCUUGGGAUUUCAAGACAUCCCUGAAUACAUGUGGCCAUGAGUUUACGUGGGUUCCCAUGUAAGUCAUGAGAAUUACAGUGUACACCUGGGGUGUGCACAUAUCUGUACAAGGGAUGCACUUGCUCUGCUCCAUGUUAGAGCUUAUGAGUCAGCAGGAGGCUGAUCAAGUUAAAGCGCAUGAAUAGGUUGUGAAUAUUGAGAUUGAUGACCAUCUCCCAUAAAUGAACUUCCAUCUUCAUUUUGAAGUCUUCAGGAGAAAGUUGCUGUUCGUUUUGCCAUUUGGUAAGUGUCAGGAUGAAUUUAAUCUGUCUUAAGAACAAAUUUUAAGCCUUGCUGAUACAGUUCUGUUUUCUCUGGUUCCACUCCCUCACCCCAUUCCUACUUCCCUUCAUCCUUAACAAAAUCUACUUUUCUCUCUGCUCACAAACCUUUGGGGUCUCCAUAGGCUCUUAUAGGGUCAGACAAUGCUGCAAACAUUUAUUUGAGCACUGAGGUCCAAAAUGUUUCUGGGAAUAAAAAUGAGUGCAACCCAGGGCAAAUAAUUAUUCUCUGUAGUAGGGACAAUUUAAGACCUAACCAAAUGUUGCUGAGUUGAUUAUAUACUUUUUAUACUUUUAAGUAAUACUUAUAUGAUGUGCAGUGUUAAGAAUAUAUAGUUACUGAAACAUGUUUUACUUAUAAUAAUAGAACAUAUUUAUAAUUAUUAUAAAACACAUAUGUGUGUAGCAUCUGACAAAAUCAGUUACUGUUAUAGAUGAAGACAAAAAGUCAAUGAAAUAAAACUGGGAUACUAUUUUUGUAUAAAAUCUACAGGAGUAGGACUGAAAAUGUGGGUAACUGAAUUGAACACUAUCAAAGAUUAUUUUACAGGGAGUUUAUUAAAAAUGGGAUGCAUUUUGGUGAGAGAGUGGAACCUUCCAGGAGAAGUAACAUGAGCAAGUUUUGAACCAAAGAGGAGAAUCCGUUGUUUUCUUCCUGCAUCUACAGACUGUAGUGUUUUUCUUACAUUUUGUUUUAUGGGUUCUUCUAUUUGGCCAUUUUUAUGUUGACCUGAACAUUAAAUCUGUCAUUUAGAUUAAAUUUAUAGAGACACUUAUAUUUUAAAAAUGUUCAAGUAAACAGUAUCAUUUAUGAGUACAAUGGGUAUUAGUAUAGUUGAUAAUUUUAUAUCAGAGAAUCAUUUAAAAUUUUCUCAUCCAAAAAUCAUCUUCUUUAGCCCUGCUUAUUAUUGACUCAUUUUUGUACUUAACUUAUUGUUUAGAUCAUAUAUUGUUAUUUAGAUCAUAUAUAUAUAUAUGACUGAAUAGACAUGGGAAAUGAGCAGAAUGAGAGAAGAAGCAUGCAAUCAAAUAAAAUUGUAUAGAACACUGGCUAUUUUAUAUUAAAAAUGAAAUUUGAGACCUUGAGGUUAGUAUAUGAUCCACAGGCAAGAGUCUCAUGAUUCCAUUAGAAGAUAGGAUCAGAGCAUAUCUGCUAUGUUGUCAGGGUCCUGGUUGGUAUCUGUUGACUUCCUCAUCCAUGUCUUCACUCAGGGUCACCUGACUUUUCUUAGUGGAGCCACUCCUGCGUAUUCCUUAGUUCAUGUGGUUUAAGUGCUUUGCUAAAUCUCAUCCAUAAUCUCUUCCAAUCCCCAACCCAAGGGCAGCCAUCCAGGCUGUCUGUCCUGGGAAACUGAGGUGGUAUAUCAACAGCUGACUGAGCUUGCAUUCCCAGGAAUUUCUCAUUGAACCCUUAUUUUGAAAAUAACGCACAUAAGUGAUAGACAGUGUUCUAGGCACUUAAUUCAGUGACAAAGAAAGCAAUAUAAAGAGAAUAGGUUUUCUACCAGAUUUAAGCAGUGGGACCUUCACAAACUAAAUUAACAGGCUAACAACUUUUAAGAUUCAUUCAACUUUUAAGAUCAUUAUUGAUAUGAUCCUCUGGGAGAGCUGUUAAUAGGUUUUUUACAAGAAGAAUAAAACUACUAACAACAAUUCAGGUAAAUCUCUUAGAAAAAGAGUUCCUUCUGUGGAAAGCAAGUGAAGUGUUGAUUUAAAUUUCUCAAUGAUCAAAGUGUUAAUAUAUUUUGAAUAGAUCCAUCUAUAAAACAUAUCUGUAUAAACAACAAAACUUGUAACUGUGUAAUGGGCAAAAAAUAAAAUAAUGCAUUUUCUUCAUUGUAAUGCCACCCACUAAUUUUUUACAGUUUUCUAGCAUGUAACAUUACCCUUCAUAAAAGAUGAUAUUUUGAAAUAAGAAGGGGUUGGUAAAAGAAACAAUGGAUAGUUAAUGGAAGGAGAAUUGCAAAGCUGUGCUCUGCUGGGUGAAGGAGAAGGGAAAACAGAAUUCAUCUGGGGAUUUUUCAAGCCAGAGGUCAUGGUCCGAAGCCUUGAAAGGAGUGAGCAAAGCUCAGUGCCAAGGAUUUUAUAUCUUUAUUUUGAUUAUUUGUUUCUUUUUUCUAAAGAAAUCAAGCACAAGUUAUUUAAAAUAACAGAAUUCAUUUCAACAUAAUACUUCAUAAGCAGAGUUGAGAAUCGCUCACAUAUUAAACAUUCAAGUAUUCUGUGUGGAUUCCCAGAUGGUUGCAUUCUCUCUGGGCCAAUACGAUGGUGUUCACAUGAGGCAGUUUGGUGCAGUAGAAGGCAUCUGGGAUAUGAAUGCUUUAUUUUUCCAUUUAGUCAAUGAACACCAAGCACCUAUUAGCUGUGUGGCCUCAUGGUAGGCAUACAGAUACAUAGGACAUAAUUCUGAACUUCCAAAAGCUGGGAUGCAGGAUGAAGAAGACAGGCAGAGAAUCCUAUACAAGGAGGUAGGUGAGUAUAUUGUGGGAGCGUUGAGGAAGGAAACCUCACAGGUGAGAGUUGGGUGGAAGUUGGCAGGGAAGACUAUCCUCGGGAAGUGGUAUUUAGCAUUAAGUUGAAGUUUAUACAGAUGGACUAGGUGGGGAGAUUGGAGGGAGUGGGCAUUCAGGCAGAGAAGCAGGGCAGAGUCACAGGCACAAACAGAUGAAUCCACACUGUGUGUGUGUGUGUGUGUAUUUGUGUGUGUAUGCAAACACAUGUGUAAGGGACUAGCAGCAAUCAGUGCUAUGGUGCACAAAGCUAGAAGUGGGAGAUAGUGAAAGGGAUGAUGUUGCAGAGGCAAGAUGGAACUGGAUCGUGGUAGUUUUCUUUUUCGGGCCACAUUGCUUCAGUUUUAUGCAGUCAGACAAAAGAAGGCUUGGGCAGAGUUGUAAUAUCUCUGCUCAAACUUGUGUGCAGAAUAGUAAUUAGGGGUUAAAGCCUACAGGAAACUGGUGCUGUGGUCUGUGGACAGGCCAAGGUCAGCUGCAGUGGGACACAGAGCAGUGGGAGGUGCCAGCAUGAGCACCAGUUGGCAGCAUGAGCUCAGGGACUGAGGAAGACGGUAGGGUUCAAGGUGACUCCCAGUGGAAGCAUAAGUGCCUGAGGUAGUGCCACUACCUGAGCUAGGGAGCACAUAAACAUGAAUGAGGUUUUGGGUUCAGUUUUUGCUGUUGGAUGAAAUUGCAUGCAAAGGACAUGUAUCACUAGACUGUGGGGUCCUUCGGAACUGGCCAGCACUGUGAGCUAGGAAUACCUCCGUGAAACGGUGAUGCUAUGCUCUCACUUACUGCUUUUCCUGGUGGAUGGAGAGACCAUGGCAUCGCAAGAUGUGGAGCGGCCUUCAUUCUGCUUCCUGGUAGCUCUGGGAUUGUGGACGAGUCAUUUCAGCUCCGUAGCUUUCUUUCCCUCACAGAGGGAGUAGAUUUGGCAACUGGUUCCUCAGUUACAAAUCUAUUCUAAUUCGGCUUAUUACAAACCACUUAAUGUGGUUCCCUUGCUCUGAUUUUUGGCAUUAUCCCUUCUCCCCAUGUACAAAAGUUACCCUCCUGCAAAUUUAGGGUGCAUUUGAUAUUUGAUGACAUAAAAGGAGUUUUCUUAAUGUAUACAGAUAAUCUUUGCCCCUUCUUUUCAGGAAUUUCUUUCAGUUCUCAGAUGAUGUGAAUAAUCCAUAGAGAAGGUGCUUGAUUACUCAAUAUUUGGGUGUAUCCUUUGAAAAUAAAUGUCAGCCAUAAAGCAGAGCCUCUCUGUCUGUGGCACAAACUCUCACACACAAAGUUUCACCUCCCUCCCCUCUUAGGGAGGCUGCCCAGUGCAAACAGUGGCCACUUUGGGAGCAGUAGAUUCUGCUGUGAAAGAAUGCAUUAUAAGUAAAACAAUAUGUUCUUCAGAUUAACACACACACCAAAAAAUGUGUUGACUUAGUACACCUAAUGACUUUCAAGGAGCCAUUAGGCUCAAUGGAGUGAAUAUUGUGUGUAUUGCCAAAAUAUGCCCAAUGUAUCCCCAAUUAGGCAUUUGACCUGCAAACUUAAUAGGACAAGCUAAUUUCUCUUUCAACUCUCUUUCACUGCUUCUUACCAAGUAAUUUUCAUAGCCCAUCUUAGAGCAAGACUAUGCAUUUUUCCCAAGGCCUGGGUGUUUGCUUGCUCUGUUCCAAAGUUCAAAGAAUAAUGGAGAAGUGUGUUCAUGCGUUAUUGAAUGGUCUGAGGGAGGGGAAUGCUCUACCUGGUCCACAUUUGCUACAUUUUCCUUAUUAACAGAGGCACCAGCAAAGUGUUAGAAGCGAAGAAGACUAAUGUAAAUUGCCUACAGAAAACAACAGUUUCUUUAGGAAUGAAACAGUAUAACCCCUACCUCCAUCAUUUGCAAGUUUAGGCACUUUAAUUUGACAAACUCAGUGUUUAGGCUGGGAGUCUGACCAAUUGCAAUCUGUCACCAGAGGAAGCAGAUGCAGAGGGGUUAAUAAUUACUGACAAUUUUUUAACAAGCAGUUUUAUUGCAGAAAUGGGAGUUGAACCGGAACAUUCCCAAUCAGAAUGAAAGGGCUCACAAACCCAGUCUGGAAAACUCACUAUUGUACAUGAAAAGGGAGUCUUUCUGGAUUUUAAAGAGGCCUAAGGAGAGGGUUUAUUUUCUAUUUGAGAAUAUAGUUUAAUUUAGAUUUUUAGACAAGUCACAAAAUCUUUGAAAUCCACGAAUAGUGCUCUGGAGAAAUGGAACAACCCCUCUGUCUGAUAAUGGAAAGGAAGGCAUUGACAUUUGAUUGUGCCCUCUGCAGUUUUCAUAAGAUGUUUGCCUCCAGGUGAUUUCUUAAGAAGUCAAUGUGUAAUUUAAUGUGUUGACUUUUAUUUCCAAAGAAUUGCGUUGCUACCCGACUAUCUUAGAGGCUAUUGUUCCACUUUGAAUAGUGACUAUGAAAGGGUUCCAAUUGGUCUGCAUGGAUCUUAUGAUAAUUUCCAGAUGUUUCCCUAGAAACUCCUAGCAGGACACAUCAUGCAUGGGUGGCACCUUAUCGUAGAAAGAGCACUGCACUUGGAGGUCAGAAGAUGGAAUUCAGAGUCUCAGCUCUUCCACUCAAAAAUAUGGCCAUUAGGCCAUAGUUUGUUUCAGUGGUUUCCAAACGUAAUUAACCAACAAGCAUUGUCUGUUGAGUUUACACGUGUACACCUGGGCCUUACUCCUGAGAUUGGGGUUCAAUAGGUUAGCAAUUGGAUGCUGUGUUGUUUACAAGCAGCUGGGGUCAAUAACUAUGAUAAAUCCAUUGAACUUUAGUGUCCUCAUUUGCAAACUAGAAAUAGCAUUUCCUGUACAUCAUGCAGGAUUGUUGCCAGAAUGAAACAUAAUGAUGGAUUUAAGACACCAGCAUAGUGCUCAGAGGAGGCUCACAUAUUUUCUGUCCCCACUUGGGCCUUGAUUGUUCUGGUUCAGAUCUCCCCAAAGUGGAUUCUAAGGCUCAGCAGCCCCAUGGGAUGCUUUCUGGAAAAACUGCGCCAGUCAUGUCUGGCAGCUGCACCUGUGCUCCCUUCCAGACUGUUAAUGGGACAACUGGCACCUCAAGCUUCUGAGAGGACCUGAAGAAACACACCUGGCUAACAUUAUUGAGUUCACUAUUUAUCAAACGCAUUUGACUUCUAAAUUGUUUUGAAAAUGGCAGUUAUUGAUGGUUGUUGCUACACAUUUUAGGGAUUGCUCUUUGUACAGUCUCUGAGCUAUGAUUCUGUAACCUCUCUCAAGGAUAUUCUCAAUACAAUGAAGACCACUGCAUUACCAUGUUUGCCCAGUGCUUGAGGCUUUACAUCAAAGGACUGGGGUUCAAUUUCUGGCUCUUGCUCCUGCCUCCAGCUUCCUACCAGUGCAGAGCUGAGCAGGCAGCAAUACUGGCUUAAAUAAUUGGAUUCCUGCCAUUCACGUGGGAGAUCUGGAUUGAGUUCCUGGUUCCCGGAUCCCAGCUCUUCACUUUGGCUCCCACCCUUCUCCUGUUGUUGUAGGCAUUUGAGGAAUGAACCAGCAUAUGGGAGCUUUCUGUCUCUCUGCCUCUCAAACAAACAAACAAGCAAAAAACAAUAAAAGACCCAAGCUUCUUGAUCAUCUUGAAUGAUACCUUAUCUUUUCUUGAAUUGAAGUUAAAAUGGGCUGUCAUAUUUGAAAUGAAUCUGUUUAAAUACUUUAGUUUUUACUUUAACUGCUCAAACUUAGGAGAACAGAACACAAAUCAUUUAGAAAGGACUUAUACCACCAUUUUAGAAAUAAAAUGAAUAACUAAACAGUAGAAAUUCUUAGUUCAGUAAUUGUUAAAGGAAAGGCAAUUAGAUUUUAAGAGAUCAAACCUUACCCUUGAAAUCAAUGGAAUACGAUAAAAUUAGAAAUCCAAGUAUGCCUACAUCCAAAUUAAUCUACUAGUCAAAAAGAAGCUGGGUAGAAAUUUAUAUAAAUGAACCAAAAAUAAAUGAAGUAUGUGUUGUAAUAUAGUGCCAUUUCCCCUAAGUCAACAGUUUAAGAGCUUUUGGGAAAUUGAAUAUAAUCACAAAGAUUUUCUGGCAACAUAAUCUGCCUGGUAUGUACUCCUAGAGUAAGGGAAAUGUUUGGCUUCUAAUACAUCUUCCUGGGAACAAAAAGCAAAAUGGAAAAGUCUAUCUCUGGUUCAGGUGUAUUCGUCCAAGAAUCACCUACCCCUUCAGGCAUGAGUAGAAGAAGGUACAUCUGCAUGGAUGCAUUGUUUUGGGAUGGAUGAGUGGACAGGGCUGGGAAGAAUGCACUCAAUGUACAAAAUUCCAAGUCAGGUUGGGUGGGGUUUGCAGUAAGAACUUGUAUCAGAUAACUGCUCUGAAAUAUUCCUUUUGCAAGCAUUUUAUUUUGCAGGUUUGGUAUGGAAAUCUCAGAAGAACAGCUUUGCUUGUGAGCUUUCCGAUAUUUCCACUCUGGUUCUGGCCAGAAACACUGUGAGAACACCCUUUCAUUUGGUAUUUGAGCCCUUAUGCCUCUGUUUCUGGCUGCGGACCAAAGGGAACAAAUGCAACUGAACAUUUCAGAACCUCAAAAUAGUAAACCAAAAAUGGUUUUCUCUGCUUUUGGUUCUAAAAAUGAUCAACCUCAGAGCCUUGUACCAAACAGUUUGGUUGAUCUACCACUAAGGUGGAUUACUGGAUUUCAGAAUCCUUUGGAGAAUAUAUUAUGAUAGAUGACUAAAAGCAAAAAAAAAAUUGCUCACUCAAAAUGGUUGUAAUACAGGUACCUGGUCAGGACCCUAGAGCCUAGAUUUUAUGAAUAGGAUUUAUGUUUCAGUGUCAAAUAAUUCAAAGAGGCAGGAGAUUGGCAUUUAGAGUAGCAUAGCUGGGCUUGAAUACUGACUUGGUCCAUUACUGGCUGAGUGAUGAGGGCGUAUUUCUGUGGCUCAGUUUCCUAUGAGUAAAAUUAAUAAGAAAAAUGAAAAAUAAUUAUACUCAUUAUAACUGGGUCAUUAUGAGGAGCAGAGUAUUUUAAAAUAUAUUUAAAAUUAUAGUGUUCAUAAUAAUACAAAAGUCAAUGAAUCAUAGUGAUUCAGAGUUUGAACAUUGUGAUCAAACUGCUCCUGCACUUCCGUAGCUCUCUGACAUGCCCAAGUCACUACAAAUCUUUGACUAUCAAUUUACCAUCUGUGAAUGGGGACAGUGUUGUAAGAAGAAGUUAGUGAAAUAAUGUGUAUAAAAUAUUUGGCACAUAGUUGACACUAGAAAAACUGCCAUCAGUUAAUAAAUUUAUAAAACGAUGUUGAUGAUAAUGACAGCUUUAUAUACUCAUAGUUUCAGGUGCCAGUCCAAAAUGCAGACUUUGGAGGAUCUGGAUAACACCCUUGAGAGUUCUCUGAAUCCUUCUUCCACACAAUUACAUACUCCACAGUAUCUUACUGCAUGAGUCAAUACAGGAGGGGUGCAGUGGGAGCCUGAGAUGGCUUACUUGGUCAGAUAUAGAAUAUAGGUUGAGGCAAAUGUAAAAAACUCUCUGGGCUAAUGUGUGAAGCAAUGCUGGUCUUAGCAAGUUUUAGUAUCCAGUAAAGAGGGAAAGGUGGAGGUGUAAGGGUGUGAACGUAUGCACAGGCUGUAGGAAAGUGAGAAAGUUGAAUGCUGCACAGCGGCCUGGGAUUGUCCCAGUGCCAAGACAGCUUGACUAUUUCCUCCCCUCUGCCACUUUGCACCCUUGGCUGUCUUCAAAUUCCCUUCUUUGCCUUCUGCUGCCCUAGGAUUGUAUUCUUUCCAUUUUUUAUGAGUCCUUUUCUGCUGCUUUAGGGUACUAGCUUAGGAUUCUCUCCUUUAUCACCUUCUCUUUGCCUGAUACUGUAUCAUUAGGCACUCACCUACACUUGUUACCCCAGUUGUCUCCUGCACCUUCAAGGCUGAGCCACUGUAACUUUUUCCCAGAGUUCCUUUUGUCCCUGGAUUUGCUCAGGCUCAUGAUGUGAAGGCAAAGCUCAUCAACUGCCUCUGUGAGCCUGCUCUUCUAACCUUUCUCCUUUGUUUCAGCCAUGCUGUUUCAAUAUGUAAAUACAUUUCUCCUGGUGUUAAAACCUCAAAAUUUCCUCAUUUUCUUGAUCUCUACAGCUUUGUUUGAUCUCCAGAACCAGGAAGUACCCACUCCAGUAAUUCCAUCUCACAAUGUCUGCCACACUUGGAGCAUGGACAGAGUGAUGGAAGCACAGAAUGUGGACCCGUACAUCGCAUACACAUUUAACAUGAUCUCACAUAAGAUGAGGCCUCACAGAUCUGGCCCAAGGGCUUGAGACAGGCCCUCAACAAGAAAUGGAAACCAGGUAAGGGUCACUAUUUUUUGUGAUGUUUUAAAGACAUUGUGUGAUUAACCCAAUCUCAAACAGCAAUAUAUUAAAAGUUAUAUGAGUUUAUAAAUGUUUUAGAAGCUGAAUUUUUAGUCAACACUGAUAAAUUCUUGCUGGCAAAUGAUGAUGUAUAGAGAAUUUUCACCAUCCUCCAUUCACUACUGGAAGGAUGGCCAUCUUUAUUUAAAAUUUUUUUAUUUAUAUAAGGUGAAUAAAUUUCAUAUACACAGAUUUGGGAGUAUAAUGAUCCUUCCAACCCUUCUCUCCCUCCUACUUCCUUUUUUAUUCUUUUAGUUUUUACAAUGACAUACCUUCAGUUUAUUUUAUCAUAAGAUUAUACUCACAAUACUUCACUAAAUAAAUAAUUCAACAAAUAGUAAGAAUAAAAAAAUACUGCUCCUCAACAGUAGAGACAAGGGCUGUAAACCAUAACCACUUCUCAAAAUAUCAAUUUCGCUCAUAUACAUUUUUUGUACUUUAUUAGUUACCACAGAUCAGGGCAAACAUAUCUUUUUUGGGACUGGGUUAUUUCAUUAAGUAUAAUGGUUUCCAGUUGUAUCCAUUUUGUUGCAAAAGAAAGGCUUUCAUUCUUUUUUACAGUUGAGUAGUAUUCCAUAGUGUAUAUAUACACUAUUUUCUUUGUUCAGUCAUUGAUUGAUGGACUUCUAGGUUGAUUCCAUAUCUUAGCCAUCGUGAAUUAAGCCUCAAUAAACAUAGGGGUGCAGAUAACUCUCUCAUAUGAUGCUUUAAUUUCAUUUGGGUGAAUUCCAGGAAUGGGAUAGCUGGAACCUAUGGUAAAUCUAUUUUCAACUUUCUGAGUGAUUUUCAUACUAUUUUCCACAAUAGCUGUGCUAGUUUGCAUUCCCACCAACAGUGGAUUAGUGUACCUUUUUUUCUCCACAUCUUUGCAAGCAUUUAUUAUUUAUUAUUUACUGAUUUUUGUAUGAAAGCCAUUCUAAUGGGGGUAAGGUGAAACUUCAUUGUGGUUUUGAUUUGCAUUUCCCUAAUGGCUAGUGAUCCUGAGCAUUUUUUUCAUUUGUAUGUUGGCCAUUUGAUUUUCAUCUUUUAAAAAAGAUCUGCUCAAGUCCUUUACCGUUUCUUCUUUUUAAGUUUUAUUUGAGUUAUACAAGUUUCAUGCAUUUCACAUAUAUAGAUUUAGGACACAGUGACAUUUCCCCCCACCCUCCCUCCUGCCCACGCUCCAGACUUUCUUCCUCCUCCCUCUCACAUUCCUACUCUUAAUUUUUAUAAAGAUCUAUUUUUAGUUUACUUAAUGAUCAUAUAGUUAACCCUACACAAAGUAAAAGAUUUUUUUAUUUUUUAUUUUUAUUUUUGACAGGCAGAGUGGGCAGUGAGAGAGAGAGACAGAGAGAAAGGUCUUCUUGGUUCACCCCCUAAUGGCUGCUGCGGCCGGCGCGUUGUGGCCCUCGCAUUGCGGCCUGCGCACUGCGCUGAUUCGAAGCCAGGAGCCAGGUGCUUCUCCUGUUCUCCCAUGUGGGUGCAGGGCCCAAGAACCUGGGCCAUCCUCCACUGCACUCCCAGGCCACAGCAGAGAGCUGGACUGGAAGAGGAGAAACCGGGACAGAAUCCGACUCCCCAACCGGGACUAGAACCUGAUGUGCCGGUGCCACAGGCAGAGGAUUAGCCUAUUGAGCCGCGGUGCCGGCGGAAAGUAAAAGAUUUCAACAAAUAAUAUGAAUAAAAAAGAAAAGCACUGUUCCUCAAUGGAAGGGACAAGAGCUAUAAAUAAUCAUUGAAUCUCUAAAUGUAUAUUUCACACUAAUACAUUACAUUUCAAGUACUCUGCCAGUUACCUCGGAUCAGGGAAAACAUAUGAUUGCUGUCUUUUUGGGACUGGCUUAUUUCACUAAGUAUAAUAGUUUCCAGGUAUGUCCAUUUUGUCACAAAAGACAGGAUUCUUUUUUAAAUUUAUUUUAUUUUAUUUUACAGCUGAGUAGGUCAUCUUAAAGGCAGAAGGUUUUGAAAGUCAAGACAACUGGAUUAUAGAAUUUCUUUUUAUUCUCUCUUUGGUUCUCACUGAUGCAUGUAAACAAAAAUCACCAAAAAAUCACAUGGUAGCUGCCGGUAUCGUGGCACAGUGGGUUAAGCUGCCCCCUGUGACACUGGUUUGCCACAUGAAUGUCGUGUGAAGUCUCAGCUACUUCUCCAGCUCUCUGUUAGUGCACCUGGGAAAGUAGUAGAAGAUGGCCCUAGUACUUAAGCCUCUGCCACCAUUUGGGAGGCCAAGAUGCAGUUCUGGGCUACUGAAUUCCAUUUGGCCCAGCCCUGGUUGUUGAAGCCAUUUGGGGUGUGAAUCAAUGGAUGGAAGAUCUAUCUCUCUCUCCCUCUCUCUGUGUCUCUUGUUCACUCUCUUGCUUUUGCUUUCUGUCUCUGUUUCUCUCUGGCAUUCUGUUUUUCAAAUAAAAGUUUAAAAAUUACACGACAAGGUGUGUUUGUUGUAGUUUAGGGAUAAUUAAAAUAUCUUUCAAAAACAGUAAGUUUAGAAUUUCCAAUUGUGGGGAGCAACUGGGAGCAACUCGGACUAGACUAAGUUACUGGAAUUAAGACUUAUUCUAUGCAUCUGCUCUCCCACAAUAUGGCGCUAGGAGAGGAGGAAACAGCUUCUACACAGCUGCCUCCAGUUCAACCAAUAAACAGCAGGACCUGCUCCUGAUUGGAGGAGAGCAGCGUACUCAGCAUGUGGGUAGCAGAGUUGGGAUUGGUGGAAGAGGACUAUAAAGGAGGAGAGAGAGACAACAUGCACCAGGAACAUCUAAGGGGAACAUCUAUCUGAAGGAACACCUGUGCAGCCCCCGAGAGAGCCGGCCGGCGGUGUGCCGCUCCCCCGCGGAAGUGGGGAAAGUGGCAGGGGGAGCCGCCCUUCCACGGAGGUGGAAGGGACGGUAGCCAACCCGGGAAGAACCAGCAGCAAACCCAGGGAGGGCCGAGCAGACGAAAGAACAGCGCAGGGUCCUGUGUCGUUCCUCCACGAAGAGGGGGAGCGACAUAAUGGUGCCGUGACUCGGAUAUAAAGCCUAGGCAGGGCUUAGUGUCGUUCCUCCACGAAGAGGGGGAGCGACACCAAUCUUCAUAUAAUUAGAAUAUAGUGUGAUGUCUUCCUACCUAUACUCUUAAGAUUGCUGUUAGCAAACCUAUUUCUCUUUGGCAUUUUCCUAAUGUGUAAUAAAGGGUUUGUACUCAUAAUUUGAGCUUAAUAAAUAUUUGUUAAAUGAACAAAUUAACUUAUAAAUGUUAAUUACUUUUAUUAUAAUAUCUGAGCAUUGAGAUAUACUCAGUGUCAAGUAUAAUGGUCUUUUUAUGAUAAAUUUUUAACAAUGGCAUCAAUGUUUAGCUCCCCUUGAAUUCCGAAUGCUUGUUUGCAAUGGUAUCUCUUUUCCAUGUCCAAGAAGUAGCAAAUUGGCAGCAUCAGAUGUUCUGUUCCUACUUAUUUGGGUGGACUUGCAUGGAAUGCCAGUAAGAAAUUUGAAUCGUAUUGUUUCACAUUAAAACAUGAAAACAAACAACAACUCUUUAUUAUGGAGAAGCCAUUUUGUCAAUGUGUUCAUUGUUAGUCCAAAGGCCUCUGCCACUCAUGUUGCUGACUUUUUGGCCACCUUACUUUUUCUUGUAUCUUCACCAUGGAAGAGACAGCCCUGAGAGGCAGCUAUUGAUUUUGUUCCUUGGUGGCAGCAGCGUUGCUAAAGCAGUUGAUUAAGACAUUGUUAUAUGGUAAACAGGGAGAACACGCUUGAAGAAAUCAUUGUCCUCAGGAUCAGGUAAGGGUAGAAGUAUGUGGGCUCUGGAUCUCUUUGUCAGUGACACUAGGCAAGCUUGUAGGGAACUGUGACCACAUUCUUUUUUUUUUUUUUAAAGAUUUAUUUAAUUAUUUAUUUAUUUGAAAGGCAGAGUUACAGAGAGGCAGCAGCAAAGAGAAAGAGGUCUUCCAUCUGCUGGUUCACUCCCCAGAUGGUUGCAAAGGCCAGAGCUGGGCAGAUCCAAAGCCAGGAGCUAGGAGCUUCUUCCAGGUUUCCCACACAGUUGCAGGGGCCCAAGCACUUGGGCCAUUUUAUACUGCUUUUCCAGGCUUUAGCAGAGAGCUGAAUCAGAAGUAGAGUAGCCUGGAUGUGAACUGGCACCCAAAUGGGAUGCUGGCACUCCAGGCAGUAGCUUUACCUGCUACACCACAGUGCUGGUCCCUAACACAUUCUUAACAACAGCUGAGGUGCUCCUGAUGUGAUUGGUUGCUGGACCCCACAAAACACCAGUUGAAUCAGUUUAAGGAGACAGUUAAGCAAAUGAAGGACUUCUUUUAGCCUCCUAUGUGAGUCUGAUCAGCUGGUGUAAGUUUUAGAGCCUGAAUCUGGGGUUUGAAUCCUGCUCCGUCAUUUACCCAUGUGUGCUACCAGGAAAGUUAUCUAACUUCUUUGCCUUAGUUUUCUCAAUUGUCAAGUAGAGAUAAUGCUAAGGGGAAGAGAUAAUACUACCUCUUAGCAUCUUCAGAAGAUUAAAUGAACACUUGCAUAAUGUCUGGAACACCGUAAAUAUCAUGUGAGUGUUACCUCAGACUCUAUUGAUUCCAAGUCUUCAAAAUAGGCCUUCCCCUCCAUCCUGAGGUCAUGCCACAUUUUGUAUGACUGCCUUAGGAGAUAAACUGCUUGUAUGUUAGGAGUGUGGGUGUGAGUAGUUAAAGAUAUUGAUGACUUUUGCUCUUUCAUGGAAAUACCCUGCAUUAAGCAAGCCAAAAGAUUGUGCUACAAAUGUGAAUUUGUAAAUUCUUAGAAAUUCACAUCAAGCAAAAACAGAGAGGGACAUGUCCCAAGGGACAUGUUACUAAAAUUAGGUUCCAGAUGGAGAAGUUAUGUGAUUUGGUACAAGUUUAAGUUUAGAAUUGUUUUACUCCGAAGCUAAAUAGGAGAGCAAAGAAACAUUUUGGCCUUGGUUGUUACAUUUACUCUUGCUUAUUUUCAAAACUGAAAUGCAGGCAACUAUGAUUAUUUCUAGUAUUUGUUAUUUAUCUCAACCAGUGUUCUGACUUCUACUCUUAAUUUCUCUCUUUUAAUAUAAUUUAAUUUCUAAAAGCUUUUAUUAUGUGAUAAUUUGAUCUUUUAAAAGAUUGAAAGGAAGAAGUUGAAGGGGAAGGAAUCAAAGCUGUUCUGGGAGCGAAAGUCGGCACAGCAGACCAGAGUGGAGGACAGGCCCAUAGAGACUGAUGCUGGGUGUCCCGUGGGCCUCAAUGGCAGCUAUCUCAGCCACGCCCUCUCCUUUGUAGUUUCUGACCAUCAUCUGACUGUGGAUCAGCCACUCAUGUCUGUUUUUUUUUUUUUUUUUUUAACCAAAUGAGAAAAAAAGAUGCAUGGAGAUUCUACCGUUGGUGUCAAUGAAGUCAUAGAAGAUAAACAAACCUACGUUUAAUGAGGAACUUCUACGUUGGAGGGUCUGUUUGAUCUUUCUUUUCUAUGUCAUCUUGCUCUAAUUUAAGAGCUGCGUUCAAGAAAUGCACAGAUUUGAAAAUAGCACACUCAGUAAAUGGCCGUAUGUGAAUUCUUCAGUGGAAAACAAGGAACUUGAGCAAGGCCUGGUGACCCUAAAUUAACUCAUUUAGAAACAGGAUUCUUGACUUGGUUAUGAAUUCCCUUACCUCCGGUACUACGCUCGUAAAUGUUUAACUGGUUCUUUGGAAAUGAAGACCUGAAAAAGGGUGUUGGCUGAUUUCCACAAUAUCCCUAACACUGCCAAUUUUGAGUCACCACCGUGAUGCCACUGGACGCUGAGUUGAGAAGAGAGGUGCACAGUGACCUCUUGCCGGCCUGCUUGAGAUGACACUGCUGCAACUCUGCUUACAACCCAGGAAAUAUGAAAUAGAGACCAAUAUAUGGGAGGUGCUGAGAACUGCCUUAUAGAAAAAAGCCCUGUGGCUUGCCCAGAGAAAGUGAGGCACAGCACUAAGACAGCACUGCACUCUGAACAGCAUUGGAUAAACCAGCCAAUAGUCACCGUUACACUACUAUUUCAUGACACCACAUUAAACUCAACUAGUCUUGUGUUUAGAAAUUUCUAUUGGUGUCCAUCUGGGUAGAAUAACACUCUAAAACUGUGCUUUCCUAAGAUAUGUUAUUUUCCUUUGCUUCUCUGAACUUUUCAGAUUGUGCAUUACUUGAAGAAAAUUUCUCUAUGGAGUCCAUAUUCCUAGGUUUCUGAAGCACUGGAGGAGUUCACUGUAUAUUUAUUUCCCCCUGUUAAUGCAGUGAUGUCCGGGAAUGUAAUAUCCUAAAGUCACUCUCAGGAUCUGUCAGAAAGAAUUUAAGAACCUGACAUGGUUGAAGUGUUUCAGAGGAAGAGAAGGGCGUCCAUGUGUAUAAUAUGUGAUCCUCACAGGCGACAGAGGAUCAAGUGCUAUGGGGAUGGAAGUCUUCUCCGGGCAUGUGAUGCUUGUGGUGAACCCCAACAGAUGAACAAGGGCCACGUACUUCCUGAGUUGAUCAAGAGAUAGGCCCUAUCUCGGGCUGAACUGAUGGUUGGAGAAAACACAGGCCUUUCAGGUUGUUGGAGGAGUGCCAGACUGGAGCCCAGGGGCUGGAGGGAGCCUCUGUGGGACAAGAACAGAUUUUCAAGGGAGUGGCAUUCAGGAGCGGGACUCUAGGCUUGGGUCCUUGGAUGGGGAUGGGGGCAGGAGAGUGAAGGGUCAGGUGUAGUUGCAUCAUCAAGGAGGGGGAGGUGUUCAUGAGAGAGGAUCAAUAAAUUUAGUGAGCAACAUUGCUUUGGGUCUUGAGUGAUGUGGAGCAAAGGAGACUCUCUGUUUCUGAGUAGUCUACAGAGUGAUGGACAACCACACAAAGGUGACAAAACGGAGAUGCAUCUCAAGGACUAAGUUGAGAACUCCAGGAAGACAAUCAUAGGGAGCAAGAGGCCUGUUCUUGAAGAGGUGUGUUUGCUGCAUGGUGCAGAAGCAUCUCCCAUAAGAUGUAACACACAUAGCUGUGUAGUUUGCACACUUGGCAAAGGCACCCCACAUGGGAGGACUGGGAUUCUCUCCAGCCCUCCUUUCACAUUCUGAGUCUGCACUCUGGCAAGGGACCCAAGUGAGUAGAAGUGGGUUCCCUGCCAUACUCACAAAGGCUGUAGGAACAUCUUAGAGUAAAAGUGUAUUUGGGUUUGGGAAGAGGUUCCUGAUAUUCUCUAUUAUCUAAGAGGGGGUUGACAGGCAUCAUUUGUCCCUAUGGGUUCGAAAGGAUUGUUUAAUUUUUUGCCACACCUAUGUGUGUAUAUAAAAUAUCCACAUUGCAUGAGUAUGUGUGCAUGGUGCGUGCACAUAUGGCAUGCAUAUUUAAAUGGAGAGGAUGCUCUACAAUUACAUUCACAUCCUUUCUCUUAUUCCCACUUACCCUCCUCUCCCAUUUUGUCCAAAGUAUUCAGUUGCUUCAAGGAGGAUUACAAUUACUCUAAUGUGAUUAUAAAAACAAAGAACGACACAGUAUUCAGUAUUUCACAUCAGAUACAGGAUUUGGGUGAGUCUCCGAAGUUAAGUUUUGUUGGAAAAUACUUUUCUAAAUUACUUCAAAUUCUGGGUAACUCACUGAGCAUUGGGCCUGGGAGGGGAGCUCGUCAGUUCACAAGAUCUGUUGAGUCUCCAUUGCUCCCCCAGUACUCCAGGAGGCAUGGGUGUAUUGAGUUCAGUGUAGCGCUAGCAGAAGUCUAGAGCUGGAACGAAGAUUCAGUGGCACAUGGACUCUUCAAGACCAGAGACCUGACAUACCCACGGGUCCGGAAGGACACCCUGCUGUCCAGCCUCAGGCCAGAGCAGCCAGUCUUCACAGAUGUAUGGAUUCACCCUGUGAAGCAGACGCCCUCUGUCUGCUGCUGUCUCAGGAAGGAGCAGGGGAAGAGGAGGAGACCCUUCCGGGAAGAGCAUUGGCUCUGGAGGAGCAGAGUUCAAUUGGAGAUGACCCUGGCUUUGACGUUUGGCAAGGCUACUUUUGUUUCUCUUCCCAUGGGACCUGGUGGGAUGUAGGCAUAAUACAUCAGGGAAGGCUCCUCAGAGAGCUUUGAUGAACUCUAGCAAAUAAGACACCAAGGUGGGUAUGGUGCACCUGUGCUGCCUGAGGGUGCUUCAAAAAGUCAAUGGAAAGCAGAACAAAAACAUUGUUUAUUUUGGUGCAAACAAUUUUGAAAUCCAGGCAUAGAAGAGAUCCUCAAAAAGUUCAUGGGAAGUUUGUAUUAUGAAAAAACUGCAGGAAUUUCAAAAAAAUUGAAGUAAAAUAAGCUUAUCUUGUGAUCCUGUUCUAUAAAAGCAUUCAGAAGUUCCCUUGUUUAUGUACAUAAAAUCGAGCUUCAAUGCCAGAUCAUUUACUUUUGAGUUCACCCUCGUAGGGAGACAAAAUGAACACAAAUUGAAAUUAAAAUUAGGGAUUUUAGAUUUGUAUUAAAAUGUGGAAUUUAGUGAUACAUCAGGUUAAAAACAUUAUUUGAGUUAUGCCAUUAUUCAAAAGAUCUUGUUAGCCACAGAUAUGCGUUAUCACUUUAGAACCUAAGACUAGGGAAAAUAAUAAAGUUGAAUGAUCAAGAAAGUUAGCUUCCCACAAAUCAGAUGUUCUCCAGGUAUUUGAGCAGGAGACAGUCACACUGAUGAGGUACCAGAUACAAGCAUAUGGGAUGGCACAGAGGACAUUUCAGGCACUCCAACCUCCUCCUUCACCAAGUAGAAUAUUCACCUGUACUUCAGAAUGGUGACUUCUGAAGUGACAAGACUAAUUUUCCCUCACUCUAAGUUAAACGCAGACUCACUGACUCCAGACAGAAAGCAAUUAUAUGGGGAUAUUGCAUUACUAUUGCCUGCAAUUUAGAUAAAACGAGGGUGCACAUGGUGCGUAUGCAUGUAUACACACACCCUGUGAACUACUUCAUUGACACGCGCACUCUCCACAAAGCAACUCCAACACCAAGAACAAAGCGAUUGUCUCCCUUCGUAAAACACUACAGUGAAAAAACAGCUAUUUGUGAUGUGGAAAAAAGUUGAGAGCAACUUCUCCAGGCACCCAGGGAGAUCAGGCUGCCUGGCUGACACCCUCAUAGUCCUUUUAAUAUUGAAAGCGAUUGCUGUCAGACUGCUGGCACUGUGUAUAUAAAUGCAGAAAGGCAGGCUGCUUCCUCUGCUCUGUUUGUUCUUUUUGAUAUAAAAUACUGUAAAAACAAAAGGAUGAUGUGAUCUUUAGCUAGAUAAAGAUGUAUCUCCUUUGCUCUUCUUUGUGUGCCCAACCCCACUAACCGGGCCAGUUGCCCUGCACAGCCUGGUGUUGACACAGAUCGGCAGCAUGAACCUUAAACUGUUGUAAACACCUAUAAAAUGUGGCCUUCCUCACAUGGUCAGUGAUGGGGCCUUGACAGCAUGGCCCUCGCCAUCUGAUAAGCCAGGGUCAGGAGUCACUCGAUUGCUUUGCUUUUGCUUUGGAUGUCAAAGAACCAAAAACUUUUAAUGUUUUUAAUAAGUCAAUUGUCCAAAUAUGUACAGUUGUGUUACACACAUGAGCUCAUCAAAGACCAAUGGGGAUCCAGGAGGACACCUGGAAGGUCAGAGGCUGUUCACCUGGUGUUGUAACUGUGGGAUCAGGUUUUGGUGAGAAUUCUCUAUGUAACUGAAAUUAGGGUUCACGUGCUGACGCAGCAAGGGAGUCACAUGCUCCUCCUUAGCAAGGAACCAGAGGGAACUACUUUAGGGGAAUAGUGAGAUGGACUUCAAAUGUUGACAAUCCCUCCACUCCAGGGGUGGGAAUUGUCAGUAGGAAUUUGAUGAAGAAAGGAUCUUUUCCUUAAAGCAAAAUGAAUUUUAGUGAUAGAACUAGCUUGUCAGUUUAUCAUUAUGUGUUAGUAUAUAAGAGGCUAUUUAGUAGUUUUAAAAGUAGAAUUAAAUGUAUGAUUUAUUUUGAUAUAAAAAUAUUUUCAGCAAAGCAUUUUUUUCAUAACAUGUGGAAACUGUGUUUUAUUAAAAAAUUCUGCAUAGUUUUUCAAGAUUGUUUUUGCCUCAGAAUAAACUCAUACUUUAAUUCCAUUUUCCCACAAAAUUUUAAAGUACUCUUGUGUGUGUGCAUAUAUACGCACAUACAAACAUAUGUACACUUGUAUGUAUCUAUGUAUGUUUUGCCUGUUUUAUAAUAUCUUAGAGAUUGAGAUGACCAGAUGUUCUCCAUACCAAUGUUUGGAAUUCAGUAAAACCAGGUGGCUAGGCAAAAACACCCAAUAAAUUAUAACAAGAGCUCCUCCCUUAGUUACCAUGUGGAAGGUGACUUAUUCAACAAGUCAUCAAGUUGUGAAGAGAAAUGGCUUGGUAGAGGAAAAUUUUGAACUGAUACAGACAAAUCUUUAUUCUUUUCCAGGUCUCUUUUGUAUUACUGAGACUCUUCUGGAGGAUGAUGUGUGAAACAAAGAUUUCAAUGAUUUCAUUAAAACACUGUGGUAGGGGCCAGCGCUGUGGCUCACUUGGUUAAUCCUCCACCUGCAGUGCCGGCACCCUGGGUUCUAGUCCCAGUUGGGGCGCCAGUUCUGUCCCGGUUGCCCCUCUUCCAGUCCAGCUCUCUGCUGUGGCCCAGGAGGGCAGUGGAGGAUGGCCCAAGUGCUUGUGCCCUGUGCCCACAUGGGAGACCAGGAGGAAGCACCUGGCUCCUGGUUUCAGAUUGGCACAGCAUGCUGGCCGUGGCGGCCAUUUUGGGGGUGAACCAAUGGAAGGAAGACCUUUCUCUCUGUCUCUCUUUCUUUCUGUCUAACUCUACCUAUCCAAAAAAAAACAAAAACAAACAAACAAACAAAAAAAAAACACACUGUGGUAACACAGAGGGAGAGUGUCCGGGGAUGUUGGAAACGUUCCUCUACUCUUCUCCUCUGGUCUCUUCAUGUGCUUUGAUCCAUGCUUGAGAGUGGGUGGCAACUGCUGCAUCAGCCUGGAUGUCUAUAAAGCUUUUUGGAAAUAGUUUUCUAUUUACAACCUUAAAAUUCCGCACUUACUAGAUCUCUCUCUCUCUUUUUUUUUUCGACAGGCAGAGUGGACAGUGAGAGAGAGGGACAGAGAGAAAGGUCUUCCUUUGCCGUUGGUUCACCCACCAAUGGCCGCUGCGGCUGGCGCACCGCGCUGAUCCGAAGGCAGGAGUCAGGUGCUUAUCCUGGUCUCCCAUGGGGUGCAGGGCCCAGAUACUUGGGCCAUCCUCCACUGCACUCCCAGGCCACAGCAGAGAGCUGGCCUGGAAAAGGAGCAACCGGGACAGAAUCCGGCGCCCCGACUGGGACUAGAACCUGGUGUGCCAACGCGGCAAGGCGGAGGAUUACCCUAGUGAGCCUCGGCGCCGGCCCUAGAUCUCUUAAAGUAUGUAAUCUUGCAAAAUUUGGGACUAAGCCAUUCUCUUUGCACAAGCAUCUCUGUCAUUGCUUUGAUCAUCCUAAUUGCAACACUGGUGGUCUUAAUCUUGGUGAGGACUCAGUCCAUGCAAAAGCAGCUCUCACUCUCCAAUCACAGAUGCAAAUCCAACAAUUCAUAAUUCAUAGAUACUUUUAGAUUGAAUCUUGCAGAAAUUUUUUACAAAGAAAUGAGUGGUAAAUUGAAAGAAAACAUUGAGUAACAACUGUGCCAAUCAAACCCAGCCUCUUUAUAGAAGGUGAUUGCUUCCAACUGAACAACAUUUGGCAAAGUUUUCAAUUUUUCAUCUACACUGCAAGACUCAAUUCUGGGCCAAAACAAUUUGUGACUAUGAACAGGUAAAGAAAAAGUUGGUUUUUAAAUCUAUCUAGCACCUAGGAGUUGUCUUAUCAACCAGGAUAGAUGGCUUUUUCACAUUUUAUCUAAUCUUUGACACUCUGCCUUAACACUGGGUAACGGUAAUGGCCCAAUUUCAAGCACUUACUUACUCUUCCAACUGUGGUUCCCUCCCUUUUUAAAAACUCCUAUCCCAUCCUAUCCGUAACACCAACUAAUCCAGAGUUUUUCUUAUUUCAAAGCCACUCUCCAUUUGACAUACACAUAAGCUUGAUGCUGAAAUCCUGUGGAAGUUAUCGGCAGUUUCUGUAUUUUACAUCUUGUUCUUGAUUCUGAGUCAUCACAUUAUGAUUUGAUGUAAUUCACAGGUUCACUUUCAUAAAAAAUUUAACCAACUCAAGGUCUAGAUUCAUGGUGCUUGGGUGGAAUUGUGAGAUAUGGCAACAAAUCAGAGGUUUGACCUGUAGUCCCCUAUCCUAUCUGACCUUCCAGAGCUGGUUGUGCAUAAAUCAUACCAAAAAGGUGUGUUUCUGAACUGUUUUCCAGUCUUACUCAUCAAAUAUAUUUUCCCCACAGGAAUAUCCAGUACUGUCUAAGUGGGUAAUUAACAUUCAAGGUGGUAAGACCAUGUCCACAUGAUGAAAAGUGUUCUGGAAAGGAACAAAUGGGUGCAUUACUAAUGAAAGAUUUUUUUUCCUUUACAAAAAGUCGCUGAAUUAUGCUAUCCAGACAGCCUACUGUCAGAUAAUGCAUUGAUAAAUGGAGGAGUAGACAAUCACAUUAAGAACGUCAGGCCAUUAUUUGCAAUUCUCAAAGUCGGUAUUCAGAAUCGACGAGCAAUGAACUUUCUCUCAAAAUUAGAGGGAAGAACCCACUCUCGAGUAGCAGUGAUGUGCUCAGUUGGAGACAGAAAAAGGAGAGGUCUACUGUACUCUCAGGAGCCUUUAGUCCAGAGAAGUGGUUUUCAAACUGUUGGCAGACACACAGAGCAAGACAUUGUCUUUUACAUUGCAACACCAAUGCAAAUGCAUGUGUAUAAAUUAAACAAAGGUUUCCAAAGUAAUGUUUACUAGCCACAGUUCAUACUGACAUUUUCUAUUCUAUUUUCUUUAAAAAAUAAAUGCUAGUUGCAAACCACAAAAUCCAUAUCCCUAGUGGGGAGCCAGGAUUCACAGUUUGCAAACAGCUUUGGUAGUUAUUGUCAAUCUACAUUUUUGAUGAACACCUCCGAUGAACCAUGAAGGUUUCACAAAAAUGAGCAUUCAUGAAAUGAAUGGACCAAAGACCACCUUAAGGACAGAUACAGUAUGACAUGUGAUAAGGGCUCAAAAAAGUUUGUGGUGAAAUUAUUCCUAGAACAUCAUAGACAAGAAGAUGGUACAGGUGGGCAGAAUAUCAGUUGAAUGAGCAUCAAGAAAUCAGAGAAGGGGUGGCCUUGUCUGGACAAAGAUUUUUGGACUGGUUGAAAAGCAAACUGGCAACUACUGUUGCUGCAAAUAGUAAAUAUUUCUGUAAAAUAAAAUGAGCUAUAAUGGAAAGUUUAAAAUGUUUGUGAUAAAUGGAUCUGGAUUUGAAUCCCACGUUGUCCACUAACCAGAGUUUAUAUAAGCAUACAGAUACAUAAUUUACCAUAUCAGUUAUAUUUUCAUAUAUGUGUAAUAAGUUGGUGGUUUACUAGUGACACUUAAAAGAUGAAAGGCUAUCAUCAGAGAAUUGUUAAUAAGAUGGUUCUCUGUAUCAUACAUUACAUUUGCACACAUGUGCACAUUACAUUGACAGUUGUUCCAUUUUUUCAGUUGUUCCAUUUUAAAUUUCAUUGGAUCAUGGUUAGGUUAGCAAUGCACUCAAGGAUUUUGUUUUUUAACUUAACAGUGAGGAAAACCCAUGUAAAAGUUCAUGUUUCUAUGUUGGGACAGCAGUAUUUAACACAUACUUAUCACAGAUUUCUACACAUUUGCAAUCAUUUAUAAUUAAAAAUUUAGAGAAUAAAGAAAUAUCAUGUGUUUCCAAAUUCCAUGUAUGGAAUUUCAAGAAAAAAAGCACAGAAGUAUUAGUUAUAACGCUUGGAAUAGUCAACUAAAUGUCAGACUUAAUAUAAACAAGCUAGGCCUAUUCAUCUAAUAACAGAGGACAGUGUCUCUACUGUUUGACUUUACUUAUGAUGGCCUGGAUCAGAGUUUCUCAAGUUGUGGUGCACCACCAUUUACCACUAUUGUUUGUUAGUGAUACAGAUUUGGAGACCUUCCCUCACAGAGACUCUGACUCAAGCUUUGAGAUAGACAUGCAUGUGUUUACAAACCCAGCAGUCCAUUCUUCUGACUGUUCCUUGAGAAGCUGGGAUAAUUCAGACCAAUUUUGGUUUUUGUUUUCCCAUCCCUUGGCGCCAACCAACACAGUAGUACACACCUUGUAAAACUCAAUAUUUACUCUAAGCAAAUAAGUAGAAAUUCCAGGUGACAUUCUGAUCUCACUUUCUGACUUUGUUUUCCAUCUCUGUUGUGCACCUACACCAAUACCCCAGUGAUCUUUCUUGAGCCUUUUGAAACAGCUUUGCACCCCACAUCUGCCCAUGAAUUCACACCCACAGGCAUACACACGUUGCUUGGAGUUCCGUUUCUUACAGCAGGUGUGGAUUGAUUAAGAUUCUGGUAGUGCUGGCAGUAUUACUAUCAGAAAUGGCAUUGCUUCAUGGCAAAAGCAAAUUUCUAAUUGCAGUCAACAUACUUCCUACAUUAUUUUUUUUUCUUUUUGACAGGCAGAGUGGACAGUGAGAGGGAGAAAGACAGAGAGAAAGGUCUUCCUUUACCGUUGGUUCACCCUCCAAUGGCCGCUGCGGCCGGUGCAUUGCGCUGAUCUGAAGGCAGGAGCCAGGUGCUUCUCCUGGUCUCCCAUGGGGUGCAGGGCCCAAGCACUUGGGCCAUACUCCACUGCACUCCCGGGCCACAGCAGAGAGCUGGACAGGAAGAGCAGCAAUCGGGACAGAAUCCGGCGUCCUGACUGGGACUAGAACCUGGUGUGCCGGCGCCACAAGGCGGAGGAUUAGCCUAUUGAGCCGCGGCGCUGGCCACUUCCUACAUUAUUGAUGGGGGACCAGCAUAGUUUAGAGUGACACACAGCAGAGUUUAGAGUGAGUUAAAACAAUAUGGUAGGUGCCCCACAUGGUAAGGAUAAAUUACUGGACAACCCUAAGAAGAUGUUAGCAAAAUGGAGUGCAAGCUUUCUGUAGCGACUUAGCACUGCAAACAUAUUUCAUUCUAUACAAACUUUCAAUAUUCUUUUAUAUACUAAAUGGCCACCUGUCUCCUGUUAGUUCUUUGAUUAUGGGAAGAGGAUGUUUUCCUUUGCCCUGUCUUCCCUGUUCUUCAUCCGUCUUCUCAGUCCAAGCUACAGUGGCAUCAUGGAAGUACCCUUGGUGCCUUUUUUUUCCCUUCCCACACCAACCCGCUCUGUAGAGUCCAAUGUCUUUGGAUAAAAUGCCUGGAGAAAUCUGAUGAUGGCUCGCCACAGAAAAGGAUUAUUGAUGACACAAAGACUGCAAUAAGGUUUACAUUUCAUAUAUCUGUGGUGAUGUCAUUCUUAAAAUGGACAAGAAAAAUCAGGAAACUUAUGUAAUUCCCGAGUGUCUAGGUCAAAAGGGUUAUAGUCUGUAGACUUGGAGGUUGGUAUAAUUAGGCUUUAUUACUAUUGUCCUCACUAUUAUUCCUGCUUUGUGGGCAGUGAUAAUCUUAUGAAAAUCAGGAGGGUUCUAUGCUAAGUUCAUGCUGAGAGAGCAAGAGACAGACAGCCAGUGAGCUCAGUUAACUCCAUGGUGGGUCCCCCUCCAACUCCUACCAAGCCCCUGUUUUCUUACUGUUACUUCCCCAAUCCCUGCCCUGCGCUAUUUGGUGAGGUUCCUGCCAGGAUCCUGGAGACCACUCUAAAGAGUUUAUUAGAAAGAGUAGGAGGAGAGAAUGAUACAAAAAUGUGAAGAGAAGCCCCUUGCUUCUGACUGCUCAUGCCACUUCUCUCAUUACAUACCUGGCUAAGAUUUACUAGGUUGUUCACCAUUGGAACAAUGGUAAUCUCCAAGGACAUCUGGGCUAUGUGUCUUGGAACCUAACUGUGGAAAUUGUGGAUAAUGGUCUUGAUGGAAAAAUGUGUUGUGAGGUUGAAUCCAACAACGUGGGAGCACAUAUUUAGCAUUUAACUCUGUUCACACAUAGAGAUCUACUUUUCACCUGCAUGGUAUAUAAUUCCACAGGCAGAAUCCUGAUAUCCCACUAAAGUCAAGCAAGAAGCACUGAGGAAAACAUGCUGUAAAUGACAGUAAUCUUUUUAAUGCUAAGCGAGAGGCAACUAACAUUGUAAGGAAAACACACAGCAAACUGCCGAAUGUGUAGGGAGGUUUCCCAGGCUUGAAGUAAAGAUCACUCUGAGGAUGUUUAGCAUUGUCAAAAAUUUUAACAAUCGUGUGCUGAGAAAUGUACCUUAUUAAAAAUCACAUCCCAAGAAAUAUACCUCAUUCAAGUAUAAAACUAAUAUAUAUUACUUUAUUCUUAUUAUACAGUAAUCUGCAAAUGAUGAAAAAUAAGUGUAUUAAAGGAAAAUGUGAACUAAGGAAUUUCUUUGAACAUUUUAAGCAACAUAUAUAAACAUACCACACAUAUAUUGUAAAGAAAAAUUGGGUCAUCCUGAAAUAUGAUAGUGUGAUCUAUUUUUCACUUAAAUUAGAGGAUAGCCCAAAUACCUUUCCAUGCCAUGUACAAUACAAUAAUUAGACUAUGUUCACCAUUGAUUUAUGGUUGACUACAUUUUAAUUAAAUAAUCAUUUUUAAAUAACAAUUUAUUUUUAACUAGUACAAAAAUUGAAUACAUUUGUAGAUUACCAUGUUAUGUUUCAGUACAUGUAUCCACUGCAUAAUGUCCAGUCAGGGUUAUUAUAUACAUUUACUCAAGGAUUUUAACAUUGCUUUAUGAUAAAAAUAUUUGGAAUCCUUGCUUUUAGUACUUGUUUAGAAAAAUAAACAGAACGCUAUCAUUAUCUAUAGUCACUCUACUGUGCAACAGAACACUAGAAGCUCUUACUCCUAUCUGACUGCAACUCAGUACCCAUUAAGUAACCCUUCCUCAUCCCUCCUUCCCCCUGUUGUCCCCAGCCUCUGCUAACCACCAUUCUAUCCUCAGAUAUAUUAAACUAGCUUUCUUGGAUACUGCACAUGAGUGGGACUGUGUGAUAAUUGUGUUUCUGGGCACAGAAUACAGAAGCAAAAACAGACAAGUGUGAUUUUGUCAAAUCGAAGCGCUGCUACACAAAACAGUGAAUAGUGCUCCUUUUCAGCAUUCAGAUGAUUGACACAUUUUCACAACUUCAAAUUCUCCUCAAUGGUUGUACUAAGGCACGUUCAUUUCUUUUGGACAUGAUAUCGGAUGUUUAGAUUGUUUUGAGUGAGUUUUGUGCAGUUGGUCUUCUAAGUCUACUGGUUUGAACAUGGUGCCUGUGUUACCCAGACAAUUCAGACAACACGACUCCCAGCCACCUGAUUAUUUCAGUCAAUUUGAAGGAGCAACUGGUCAACCUUGUGCCCGAUGUUAUUUUUUUCCCUUCUUAAAUCAGAAGAGACAUCAAAUUCUUAGGAUAACUCACAAUCUCCUACUGCCUCAUGUGAGACAGAAAAUGCAGAUGACAAAAGACCCAGGUCAACAUCAGCUUUCAUUUCUCAGAUGCCUUGUGAGAAAGCAUGCCUUGUAUUAAUUUUCUCAGUUAAGCCUAUAGUUUUAUGUUAACUUCUCAUUUAAGUCCAGUAAAGGGGUAAACUAAUUGGCCUUUCUACUUUCCCAGUGAUUGAAUCAUUAGAUAGAAUGCUUGAAGAGAUCAGAAACAGUAUAAUAUAAUAUAAUAUAAUAUAAUAUAAUAUAAUAUAAUACAAUCAUGAUGAAUGAUAAAAUUAGAUGAUGGCACUGAAAAUAAACUGAAUGUCAGGAUCUUUCUGGAAUCUUUCCUUGGCAUGAGAAAACUGGUGGACCUGCAUUUCAGAAUGAGUGGUCAUUGCUCAUUCAGCUAAAUUAGCAUCAAAAUAUGCUGACUUUCUACCCUUCCUCCAUUGCUGCCAUUCUAUUCAAAAUAGAUGCUUUGAUAAGAGACAGUGACCAAGACUUGGGAAAGACAAGCAAUCAGUCAUUGUAGUCAAAGAUUGUGCAUGAAUGUUUGUACGUAUGCAAAAGGCCAGCUUUCUGUAGGCCAUUUCUGAUUAGAUGUGAAUCUAUACAUAGCACAGAUUCAUUUAAAUUCACAUUAUGGUGAGGGGGCAAGCAGGCGCAGCACCAGCUGUUUAAUUUGUGGCCCUCAUUAUUUUCACAUUAGCACCUGUUGAAUUAGAGUUAUUAGCACAGUUGAUUUUUCCUGUGUGUCUCUUUGGUGUUGUGUUCCUGAAUAGGAGCAUAGGGGGUAAGGAGCCAUGCUAAGAGAUCAUGACAUAUAACAAAUGAUGACACUAUCCUUCUAGAAGUAUUUAAUAAAUAAAUAAAACAAUUUUGGGAUGCUAACGCUGAGCAGUAGUUACUCACCAGAUUCCGAUUUCUGAGCCCUGGAGCCUGGGGCCAGCACGGGCAAUCCUCCUGGGCGUGACUUCAUGGUCACCUAAACCAACACAAAUAGAAGGCAUUUCCUUGAAAAUGGUCUUUAUCAUUCUCUGCUAUGUAAAGUGCAUCAACCACACUGUUUCCUCCGUAAUAAUAUUAAUAUGGCAUUUUAGAUCAAAAUACUUUUGACCAUUUCUGACUUUGGUAUUAAAAAGAAACACAAAAAUUCUCCUUUUCAGUUACUUUGCCCCAUACGUUUAGGUACUGUCAGAGUUUUCAGUCCAUAUUAAUUUUAAGAGAUGAAAAAUAUAAUAAGUGGCCGGCGCCAUGGCUCAAUAGGCUAAUCCUCCGCCUGUGGCGCUGGCAUCUUGGGUUCUAGUCCCAGUCGGGCGCCGGAUUCUGUCCCGGUUGCUCCUCUUCCAGUCCAGCUCUCUGCUGUGGCCCGGGAGUGCAGUGGAGGAUGGCCCAGGUCCUUGGGCCCUGCACCCGAAUGGGAGACCAGGAGAAGCAACCUGGCUCCUGGCUUCAGAUCCGCACGGUGCGCUGGCCGCAGCGGCCAUUGGGGGGUAAACGAACAGAAAAAGGAAGACCUUUCUCUCUGCUUCUCUCUCUCACUGUCUACUCUGCCUGUUAAAAAAAUAAAUAAAAUAAAAUAUAGUAAGUGGCCAUAAUAGUCCGUUACUGAUGAAAGGCAUUUAACUUAAGGUAGUGUGUGAAAUGUGUCCAAGUAAGUGUACAAACUUUCUGUGUGAUAGGAUGAGAAAGUAAAUCUUGUUGCCUUUAUCUCUCUUGGGUUAGGUGGCUGCACACCAGCCGCGGGUGCUCUGUUUGCUGCGGCUUCCAUGAGCUCAGUGCCUUAGCAGCAUCAGAGAGCUUUGCAGCCGAACUCCCUGGGAGCGGCUGGGCUCCCCAAGGUGGGAGGAGCCUGAGAACGCGCAUGUCUGACAGUGCUCAGGUGCUGCUGAUGGUACGGUCCAAGAACCGCAUUCUGAAAACGCUGCUUUCAAGACUCAGUUCUAUAAUCUCUCUUAUAUGCUCGGGGUCCUUCACAUCCAUGUCUAGUGUCCUUGCAGUUUUUUAAGAUCUAUUUAUUUUCUUAUUUUGCAAUGAGAAUUAGAGAGAGAAAGGGAGAGACAGAGAGAUCUUCCAUCUGCUGAUUCACUCACCGAAUGGCUGCAAUGGAUGGGGCUAGGCCAGCCUGAAGCCAGGAACCAGCAGCUUCUUUCAGCUCUCCUAUGUGUGUGCAGAGGCCCGAGGACUUGGGCCAUCCUCUGCUGGUUUCCUAGGUGCGUUAACAGGGAGCUGGUUAAGAAGUGGAGCAACCAGGCUCAAACAGUUGCCCUUAUGGGAUGCCAGCACUGCAGAUGGCGGCUUAAACUGCUGAGCCACAGUGCCAGCCCCUGUAGUUUUAAGAUUUAGCUGAUAGAGCAGAAGAAAGAAAGGAUGGUUGCUUAUUUUCACAGUGAAGUCACAAAUUCCUGAUCUACUGCAUCCUGAAAAGUGACAGAUUGAUGUCCAGCCAAUGCCUUGAAAUGCUCACUCAGAGACAAAAUUAUUUACGGUGAUAAAUUAUCAUCAAAGAACGGGGUGGGGGUUCUCUUGAGGCCUUAUGGGACAGGUACACAAAACAUACUUAAUAACUUACUGAAUGAAUGCACAGAAAAUUCAACUAUAUCAUAUCAAAUUUAUAUAUCAUGGCUACUUGCCGCUACCCCUACCACUUUCAACACCAUCUCCAUGUUGUGCAGAAAAUUGGAAAGCAAACUAUUUUCUUCACAUAUCCUCAUGAGCAAAUCACAUUUCAUUUGUCUCCAAGUUCUUCUGAGGCAAGGAAGGGUAACAAUCUCUCUCCCCAUUGGAUGGAUGUAGAAAUGAGGCCCAGAGAAGGGGUUUUCUAAGAGCACUGACUAGCAAAUUAUGCAGAGGGACUGAACCAAGGCCUUGCAGUCCCAGGUUUUGUGUGGUCCUCACUGAAUAGGGUCUUCACUUUUGGUGCCAUGGAGGACAAAAGGUUACCUGAGAUGAGCAGCUGCCUCCUUGCCACUGACCUGGCCUGGUAAUGAGCAGGAAUAAGCUGUCGGGUAAGAACUCCCUGAGGACCCAGCUCUGUGGCGUCACAAUCAAGAAAUGUAAACACCUGUGGAGCUCCGCCCAAGGACCCACCACCCCUGUUAGGCACUGUCAGCUCCAGGUAGAAAGCCAGAGCAAGAAAAGCGAAUGGCUGACCUGGGACCAUACUGCUCACCUGAGGGCCCACCCCUUGUGUCUUCCUUUCUCUCCUGCCUAAGAUCUGAUGGUUCCCUCCUCUCUCUGCUUCUCCAUAUCUCAAAGCCAAAGCUGAUCAUGUAUAUCCUGCACUACAAGGUGUGCAGGGAAGGCUGGGAGGUGGAGUCUGGCCUGCCUUACUAGAAUUCCUUGUGUUGUUUCACCUCAUCCAUCGACACUGGACCAGGCAUACGAAAGGCAACUGAACACGUGUGUGGAAUGAAUACCGUGCAGGAGACAAAACGAGGUCACUGGCUAUUUGACUUCUGAUAUUCCAGAAGUAUUCUGUGUGCCUACCAUUUGGUGGGCACUAGGCUGUGUGUUGGAGACAUGCUAGUAAAGGGGGCUGACCCCUUCCCUGCCCUUAAUAUAUUUUAACACAGAAUAAAGACAGACAAAUCAGUUAUAAGUGAGUGCACAUGCUGCUAUGAGAUCCAAGGGAAGAAAAGCUCUGACACCCUCCAGGCUCUGCCUGGUACAGAACCAUAGUAUGUGUGAGAGCCCUCAAGUUCUGCUGACUUCGCAAUCUGGACUUUUCGACAUUUAGUGUAGAUAAGGAGCCACUGCCUUUCCCUACUUCCUGCUCCUUCUGGCCUCUCCCUGGCCUCAUUUGGCCUUGGGUGUGGAGCUCUCCUGCCUUGCAGCAUAAUUCACCUUCUAUAUAGUAACCCCAGCAUUGGUGGGAGACUCUGGCUAUUUAGCUUUCUACAUAUGAAAGCUUGAACUCUGAACUUCGAGAGCCAAGGGAGCUGGAGCAGGCUUUCCCUUCCAGACACCUCCCAGCCAUCCUGGGAGGAAACCUGGCUGUGUAUGUGUAGCUUUGCUCAGUCUUCUGGCACAAGAGGUGUGAGAUAGACUGAGCAUUCUAGGGCACAAGUAAAAUUGUCCCCAAGUGGAGGUGAGAAUUUGAAAGGCCAAUAAAAGUUGGUGAGUGUGCAUAGGACUGUAGGGUUUAGAUACUUAAGUAAUUGUCUUUUAGUUUCUGAAAAGAGAGUUGUCAACCUAAAAUGAGCGAGAGUGAAAAACAUGCUGACUAAUACAGUCAUAUUUGGUUAGGGGGAAAUGGCAUAGACACUUUUCUUUCUAUAGUAAAAAUCAUACACUUUGGAAAUGACCAAGUUACAGAAACUUCUGGGGGCACUUUUUGGCCUUAGUAGAAACUUGGCUUGUGAUACGAGGUUAAUUUAUUUGGGAUGAAACAUCGCCAGUUCAACUCCCUAUCACACUCUCUAGUAAGCCCAUGGUCUGGGAGGCCCCAGGCAGGCUCAUUUACAUUUUUUAUCUCCCCAUAGUCAAUUCUGAAAUUCCAGUGGUCAUGUUCAGACAUAACUUACCAGAGGAGUCAUUUCAUUCAGAAACACCUUAAUUUUCAGUGACAUUUCCAGUCUCUAAAUCUGGGCUACAGAGACUUCUCUAUUUUGACAUGUUCAUUCUAGUUGAGUAAAUUUGGUGUUGAAGAAACUGAUUUGAAACUGGGCAAGGCAGGCUCCUUCUUCCAUUACCCUUUCUGGAAGUUCAGAUUUUUAAUUUCUACUCUGAGUGUUUGCAAACUGUAAUGGAAAGUGAGUUUUCUGCUGAUCGUGAGUUGGAAAUGAAAUUUCUGAGCACUUGUGGAACCUUAGCAAAGACCCCACGGAGGCACAACGAAGGAGGCUUAGAAGAUUGCAAAUAUCCGAGUUGUGUGUUGGGGAGAGCCUCCCUUGGGGAGCUGAGUGACCCAUAUUCAGAGAUCUGAACAUGAGCACUUGCCAAGUUCAGCUCUGCCACUUACCCUCAGUGUGAUUAACCUCUCCACCACACAGGGGGAUUAUUUGAUCUUCGUGCUUGUUGUGUGAAGAUUGGGGUAUGUGAAGGGUAUGCCUGGCACAUCAUAAAGGUUGGAUAAAUGGAAAUGAUUAUUGCUACCACUCUCUGUUGGCAAAUUCAUCCCGCAUAAAUUUAACUUGAUUCACCCAAGGUUUUUCUCAUUUCUGUGUUGGGAGACAAGGUACUCCACUGUCCCAUUUUUUUUUUUUUUUUUUUGACGGGCAGAGUGGACAGUGAGAGAGAGAGACAGAGAAAAAGGUCUUCUUUUGCUGUUGGUUCACCCUCCAAUGGCCGCUGUGGCCUGCGCACUGCGCUGAUCCGAUGGCAGGAGCCAGGUACUUCUCCUGGUCUCCCAUGGGGUGCAGGGCCCAAGGACUUGGGUCAUCCUCCACUGCACUCCUGGGCCACAGCAGAGAGCUGGCCUGGAAGAGGGGCAACCGGGACAGAAUCCAGCGCCCUGACCGGGACUAGAACCCGGUGUGCUGGCACCGCAAGGCGGAGGAUUAGCCUAGUGAGCCGCAGCACCCACUGUCCCAUCUUUUAAGUAAAUGAUUUCACAAUGAUGCCUGGUUCACAGCCCUGGUUCACUGGGUGAGACACACUUGCACUCAGGAAGUCAGUGCUGCUUAGAAUUUUAAAUCGUGGCGGUGGGGAGAACUGACCAGAUAGUUAGAUUUCUCAAGUAAAAAUGCACCCCAGAGAAGGGAAAUGUAGAGCAGAAACAAAAGAUGCGUUUAUUUUGUUUGAUGAAUAUUUAAUUAUUUAAUGCAUCCUGGACCUUGUUGGGAUCUUUAAACAGUGGACUUAAAAGUGUUAGUCCUGGGGCCGGCAUUGUGGUUUAGUGGGUUAAGCCGCCUCCUGCAAUGCCUGCAUCCCAUAUAGGUGCUGGUUCCAGUCCCAGCUGCUCCACUUCUGAUCCAGUUUCCUCCUAAUGCACCUGAGUAAGCACUGGAAGAUCGCCCAAGUGCUUGGGCUCCUGCACCCAAGUGGGAGAUGCAGAUAAAGCUCCUGGCUCCUGGAAAUAGUCCUGGCCAUUGACAUCAUUUGCAGCAUAAACCAGUGUAUGGAAGAUUCUCUCUCUCUCUCUUUUUCUCUCUCUCUUUCUCCUUCCUUCCCUGUAACUCUGCCUUUCAAAUAAAUAACCAAAUCUUCAAAAAAAAAAAAAAAAACCUUGUGGUUUCUAUUGAUAUAUUUUCCGCCUUUUUAUAGCUGAACUCAGUUAACUUAGAACCUUCUAUUUCAGAACCUUCCAUUUCUUCUCAGAAGCUAGAAACUUAGUCUUUACACCCAACUUAAUGUCCUAAAGCUAACUGGACUACUUUUGCCUUAUUGGGUCAUUGCUGAUUCCUCAGUGUGAAUUCAGGGAGGGGCUGGGGUACAUUUUAUGCAUUUGUGGAAAUAGAUUCAUGCCAUCUUGACCCAACUGAUCUUCGAGGGAAGGUGUCAACCCUUAUUGCACGUGCAGCAGAAGUGGCUCUGGUUGAGCUAAAGACUUUCCUUUUAAUAGUGCUAGUGCACGCUUAGAUGCUAGCCUUAGAUCUGGCUGUGGGAGGACCAAGUGCCCAUCUUCAUUCUCACACAGAGGAAAACUUUCACGAUACUACUAAAAGAGAAGAUGGACAGUAAUACAUUUGAGAGAGCCAUUGGGCAGUUAGAUGUAAAUUCCUGAUAGCCUCCUUAAAUGUGGGGCUGAUGCUCUAGAUUAAAGCUAGAGAUGACAGACACACAUUUGUUAAUGUCUGGUGAUAACAGCUGAAGCUCUGAGACCAGGGGAGACACAAGCAGAGUGUCAGUCAGGGUCUUGGUGCUGGAGGCAGGGAGAGAGGGGAUGAUCUGCCUGGUUCCUGGUGGAAGGGCUCAUCUCCCAUCUGUAGGAUUUAGUCCUUCCUGAUUCUGAAGCUCUAUUCCCUAUCAGGAAUAGGGAUAUUCCCUAUCAGGACCAGGAGUGAUUCCUCAUGCUGGUAUCUUGUAUCCUCUCAUUUCUUGGUGGGGUGGCUUAUUAUUGGGGUUCCAGUAAUUCAUUGCCAUGUCCAUCUACUUGGGUUUGAUGUUCUUGGUCAUGUGGUGUAGAAGGGGAUUUGCAAGCUUCUAGGGACCUUGGCAAGUGCUCAAUAGUACCCUGGGAACUUGGUUGUCCUUGGUGAUUGAGCAGCACCUAUCUAUGGCGUAUGGGGGCACAGGGUCUAGUGUCCAGUGACACCUCUAGGUCAGGAUAGGUGAAACAGCCCUAGCUCGAUAUCCCUGUCCACACAGGACAAGACAGUCAAGGGGGAGCAAGAUGCAAAUCCAAGAGGACCCAGAACCAUGCUGGGGAGGAGCAAAUUCACUGGUAGGUGUUUUUCAUGCUUUCCUGUCAGAUUACCUGGAGUCUCCUUGAGACAGAUCGUGCUUAAAUUCUGACUUAUUCUUAACCUCCUCUCCUAAUGCCUAAACUCUCUGUGUCUCAGUUUGCUCCAGGGACAAGACCAUGAAAAUCCUGUCCUAGUGAUGAUUUUCUGCUCCUUAUCUCUCAGGUCUUCUUGGUAAUUAGGCUUUGAACUUGGUCUGCACUACUUUCUCCUGGCCCUGCUUAGUCUCAUCUGUUGGUUUACCAUGGUCAGCCUUUUCCAGACCUAAUCUCUGUUCCUGGGGCAUUCUCUGAAAUGGCUAUCUUGGCACUGUGAGGGUGUCUUGUCUUUUGCAAGUCGCUAUGUAAAAUGAAACCCAAUCUUCUCAGUGUUCAGAGGGCUUGUCCGUCAAGGGCACCGAUCUUUCCUAGGAACAGAUUUGUAUGUGAUUGUCUCUAAAACACUUUCAAUGUAGACUUAUAAUUCAUUAUAUGCCUCAAAAGAAGGCUCAGAGUGGUCCAGGAGCCUUCCCAAUGCCACUGAGUGAGAAAGAGCAGGUGCUAGGAUUAACUGUUGGAUGGGUUUUGUCCCAAAGCCCAUUCUCUUUCCAUCACUAGAGGUGCCUUCCAAAGAGGCAUGGGAGUUGGAGAGGUGAAAAGCAUAUGGUCAGGAGAACAGGAUCUUUAGAAUUGCACAGUCUGUGGGCAGUUAAUGUCAGAUGAGGGGCCUUGCUGGUGAGUGGAGUCCAGUAAAAAAUCACAAGUGUGAGGGAACUUGAGGGAGGUUCCAUUCAAUGUUUCAGAGGGGCUACACUAUGUUGCUGGUCACCAUAGCCAAUUCUGCUCUUACAGAUUUAAAAUCAGGAUGAAAUGUAACAUUUCCUCUAAAAAUAAUUGCUAGGAAACAAAUAUUAUUGGAAUGAAGGUUGCUGAAUUCACCUGGUCUCCACACUCAAUCCUGUUAUCUAUAGGCCUUGGAGAUGCACAUGCUGUGUGUUGCAAAUUUGCCGGUAUGACUGGGCCAAUAAUCUUGACCACAACCUCGGGGAGGUAUGAAUUUAACAUUUGUGAGAAACGCACACAUGUCGCCUCUCCAGUUUGCUAUAAAUAGAACUUUGCUAGAUGUUCCUGAUGUAACACAUCUGAAUCUCCCUGCCAAGUAUAUGCAGAAUAGCUAACAUUCUUCCUUUUCCUCUCAGAAGGAGGAUUACUACCACCUGUCUCAGCUAACAUUCAUGGGAUUCAGCAGGAAAAACAGUAUUAGGAGGAGAAAUCUCCUUUGAAUGCGGUAUUUUAGGAUUAUUUCUUUGGUUGCCAAACUGCUACCUUUGUAUUCAAAGGUGAUGAGACAUUUUUUGGCUAGGAGACAGAGACAUCCCAGAAAGGUGUCAAGUUAAAAGAGGGCUGAUGAAAAUAUUUGAGCCAUUGAUUGCAGGCGUUGUUCAUGUUUUCUUCUUACUGUUACAGUCAAGGGGAGGAUUGCGGUCAGUACCUUGCUGCCCCAUCCCACCCCUUCUUUGAUAGAAGGUUUAACCUGGGCCCUCAGUCCAGCUGGAUCUUUGCCAGCCAGCCCCGCCUGCUGGACGGCUUUCUCAGUAUGGAGGAAGAGGGAAGGUACAAUGUCUCCUGGUUCAAAGGGCCGUCUAGACCCAAGAGUCCUGAAACUUUCUCUUGGAUCUGGCACUCAGAAGGGAUGGAACUAUGCAUUGGGUACUUAACCUUUUGCUAUCUUUUCCCUCUUCCUAAAAUAAAAAUAAUAGAAUUCUCUUGCAGGAGUGUUGGGAAGAUUAAUGAGUUAAUGUUUGGUGAAGUGCCUGGAAAUUCUCAGAUGAAAGGUGCUACAUAAUAAUCAUAACAACACUUUGUUCUUACAUAGUGCCUUUCUUCCAGGGAGCUCAGAAAGUUUUAUAAAAAUUAUUUCAUUAAUCCUUGCAGCAUCUCUCAGAGGUAGAUAGCAAUUAUUAUCCCCUAUUCUUAUAUCUGGAAUUUGGGGCACAGAGAGGUAAAUUAACAUGACCAAAGUUACGAAUUCAUCAGCAGAAUUCAGAGAUCAUCUAUUCAUCAUUGAUUGACAUUGACCAAGUGCUCCUCAGGAAUAUAAGCCAGAUACUGGAGCUGUUAGGUACCGGGGGACAGGCUGUACAGCAAAGUCAAUGCGUUGUCUGUCAUCGAAGAGACUGAGGUUAUCUCACUUAAACCAUGUAGUGAUAGAAACAAACAUGCAUCCAAAGUGAGAAAAAUGCAGCAAGUAGCUUUGGUUUUGCCCAAGAGAUGUCACAUGUGCGAGCUCUGGGGAUGAGUUCACCAGUAGAGAAAAGGAAGUGGGAAAAGCAUGUCUCAGACAAGAGAACAAAGCAGCAGGAUGCUUCUGGGCAGAGAUGGUCACUUGGCAUGGUAGGAACAAAGAGAUUUUUAGACAAAAGAGUGGGUUAGAGAUUUGAACUUCAUGUGAAGGCAAGCAGAGGGAAUGAGGUUUGCUUUACAGUGGUCCGGUCGUACCUGCAGUUUUGCAAUUCAUUUACAGUCAGCUAUGAUCUAAAACUACUAAAUUAAAAUUUCAGAAAUAAGCUGUUCUGGGUAGUGUGGUGAAAUCUGGCAUCAUCCAGUUUGGUCCUACCUAGGUAGUGAAACAUUGCUUGUCCAGCAUUUCUCCACUAUGUCUACUUCCUGCCUGUGAGUCACUUUGUAGCCAUCUUGGGUAUCAGAUUGACUGUUACGAUAGUGCAGGUGGACUUGUGUCCAGGUGAUCCUUGUUUUACUUAAUAAUGGCUCCCAAGUACGAGGGUAGGGAUGCUGGUAAUUUGUUUAUGCCAAGGAGAAGCUCCAUAGUGCUUCCUUUAAGCAUCAUUUCACAUCAUCAUAAGAAGAGGAUUAGUGCAGUACAGGAGGAUAUUUUGAGAGAGACUACUUUUAGUACAGUAUAUUAGAAUUGUUUCAUUUUAUUAUUGGUUAUUGUGACAAAUCGUUAAUUGCAUGUAAUUUAUAUAAAAAACUUUAUAACAACUUUUUGUGUAUAGGAAAAAAAUCACACUAUUUGUAGUGUUUGGGUCUAUCUGCUGGGGGUCUUGAGUAAAGAGAUGAUUUUCUGUUUAGAAAAUUAACUUUGUUGGUUGAGUAUUAGAAAGUGUGGAUGUGGAGAAGAUCUGAGUUUGGAAAAUCUUGCCCUGACUCAGAAUCGAGACCAUCUUCUGGUUCGCUUUGCUUCUCAGAGCUUCAUGAACUGGAGCUCCCAGUUUGUUUAGCAAUUCUGCACGUGGUGCUUCAAGAAAGCAGCCAUAACAAUGCUUUCAUUUCAUGAGGCAUGCAAAUGUCUUUUUUUUUUUUUUUAAAAAAAAGACAACUGAUCUAUAAUGCAGCUUUUCAAUGAUGGCACAGUGAGAGACUGUCACUCUUCUGCCUGGAAUUCCAUCAGGCAAAAUGGUUGCGUCUGCAUCAAUUACUUAUUAUAAUAGAAAGUAAGCCUUUCUUACACUAUUUGUUAAGGAUCUCUCCAAAUUAGAUUCAAGAGAAUGAUCUUCAAAGCAAGAGUGUUCAUUCGUAUUUCACAUGAUAAACUAUUCUGUGAUUAGACAUAUUUAUUUUUACUUUCACCCAUGAUUAUAACUACUGUCAAUUGUAAGAACAGUUUCCUGAUCACUUGUAUUUUUUUUUCCUUGUCAAAACCUCUUUUAAGUGUCUGACAGAGAAACUAGUAAAACUACUUUGCCUCCAUUGGAGACUCUCAAAAUAUGUUUCAGACUACUGGUGGUAUAAAAGAGGUGGGUGCACUUGGCACUCAGAGUAACAGCUACUUGACAUCAAAUCCUUUCAUUAUUCAUGGAUGAUAGCGACUUGGGAAAAGUUGUGAAUUCAAAACAUUCUACAAAGUUUCAAUCCUGACACAUGACUGGUUAAACUGUUCUGUACCUAUGGAUAGCCAAUAAAUGGUUCUUGGUUAGAUGGCAAUUAAAUCAUUCAGAAUUCAUAUUUUUAAGCAACAACUACUUUAUAAAGAAUCCAAUCUACUUUGCUUAACUAUAAUGAGUAUAUCAUCGGGCGCCAGUACUGUGGCGCAGUGGGUGAGGCUGCCACCUGCAGUGCCAGCAUCCCUUAUGGGCACCAGUUGAAGUCCUGGCUGCUCUACUUCUGAUCCAGCUCUCUGCUAUGGCCUGGGAGAGCAGUAGAAGAUGGCCCAAGUCUUUGGGCUCCUGCACCCUCAUGGGAGACCUGGAGGAAGCUCCUGGCUCCUGGCUUCACAUUGGCACAUGUCCAGCUGUUGCAGCCAUCUGGGGAGUGAACCAGCAAAUAGAAGACCUCUCUCUGCCUCUUCUUCUCUCUCUGUGCAACUCUGCCUUUCAAAUAAAUAAAUAAAUCUUUGAAAAAUAUGAGUAUAUCAUUGAAGAUAGGCAAGCUUGUGCAUCAGUAAGAAGCAUCCCUAAGUAUCAGUGACUAACAAUGAUGGUUUAAUUCUGGCUCAUGCAAUGUUUAUUGCAGACCUAAGUGGCUCCAGAAUACUAUCCAUGAAAUUCACUUUUCUGUUAAUAUGUAUUUCAGUGAUUGCCAAAUCACAAUAAGAAAUAAUUCAAGUAUUAACAAUUAAAAGUAUCUGAGAAGUUCUACACUUCAUUUCUACAAACAUUUCACUGAUCAAAGAAAAUCAUAUGAUCAUACCUAAUUUUAGAGGGACAGGAGACUGCUAUCCUGCCUCACGUCCAUACAAGGGAGUCACACCAGCGAACAAUAGAGCAUUUGCCCACCAGCCUUUACUGUUGCUCUUUGAGAGGCAAUAUUUUUUUCUUUGAAAUAAAUCACAUAUUUCCAUUCAAGAAACAUGUAUGCUAAUGUCUGAAAAUCAAGUGAUUUAUUCUUUGUAGCAUUCCUGGAAGACUAACGGCUGUUAUUGCACUGCUUAAGUGUAGUCUACAGUCUGAGACUCUUUACUGGGUGGUGUCUUUCUCUGAGUGACAAAUACUUGAAGAAUCUUUCUUUCCUGCAUUCUCACCACCUGGAAGGGCCGACCUGAUGGGCACUGAAGUCUUCUCCUGCAUUGUGACAUUGGCAAGUUUUACUUCAGACACAUCUGGAAAAAGACGUGGGCAGGUAAAUCUGACUUUCUCUAAAGAGAAAAAAAAUCCCAUUUUAUCAUGAUAGAAAAUAUUAAGAAUCCCCAUAGGUGGACUUUUAUUAUGCUUUCAAAUUACACAAGCACAUUAAGAAAAGCAGAAGUAUUUUUGUCCCACCUCAGCCUCACCAAAUGACAUUUGUAAAACAUUUUUGAAUUUUGGAAAUAAUUUCAGUGCGGGUGGGAUGAAGUGCAUUGUGCUUGAUACCGUGAGGAGAUUAUAGGGAAACUGUACUUUUAUAAUGAACCUAGGUAACCAACCAAAGGGAAUUUUACACUUCCAGUGGAGAAAUGCAUUCCAAUUCAUUAUUGUUUAGGAAUCAUCCGAUCUCUCUCGGAUUUAUUUAUUUAAAGUCAGUUGUACAAAGGUGGGGGGGGGGGAGACACACAGAGAGGUCUUCCAUCUGCCAGUGGGUUCCUUGCUGCUAUCACCGGAGCAGCAGGGAGUUUCCCCACUUUACUGUCCCUCUCGGACCCUGAAGGCAGGUAGAGGAUCACAGCAGGAAUGAGAAUAGAGGUGGAAGCUAUUUUUAAUAAGGGAUGUGCCAGUGAUAAAGGGACGAUGUCAACUAUUCUAGGGUCACUGUGGUUACAUAAGGUCCCCCUUUCCCAUUCUGUGCUUUGUGUGCACCACAAAGUGUAGUUUAAAAGCAGCUGCUUGAGGGGAGAGGGAAGAACCCUAGGAAAGGCAUCUUCUUGUUUCCUCUCAAAGGGUGACGGGGUCUUGGCAUGGGAGCAGAAGUGGAGGUGGACAAGGAAGAAGAAAAGAUUUGGGGAAGCUGUAGGCUGGGCCCGGCGCUGGGGUAUAGUGGGCUGAAGCCUCUGCCUGCAGAGCCUGCAUCCCAUGUCGACACUGGUUCUAGUCCUGGCUGCUCCACAUCUGAUGCAGCUCCCUGCUAAUGUGCCUGGGAAAGCAGUGGAAGGUGGUCCAAAUCCUUGGGCUCUUGUACCCACAUAGGGGACCCAGAAGCUGCUCCUGGCUUCUGGCUUUGGAUUGGCCCAGCUCUGGCCAUUGUAGCCAUUUGGGAAGUGAACCAGCGGUUGGAAGACCUUUCUUUCUGUCUCUCCCUCUUUCUAUCUGUAACUCUAUCUCUCAAAUAAAUAAAUACAAUCUU